UUUCUCUCUUUCCAAGUCAAUCUGCGCCUGAAACAAACUACAGACCCGAGUCGCAGAGGAAGAGCUCCAUAAUGAGGUCCGCUUGUUGUCGGGACAAACUGAGUACUCAUAGCAAUUCCAGUUGUAAAUAUGCUUUCGAGAAGCAAAUGGAAACAAAACAAACUCAAAACAUCAGAUGCAUGCCAGAAAAGAAGGAACAGGCAGGGCAACAAAUCAAAAAUAGACGAUAAUACUUCUUAAGCCGAAUAUCCAGCCUUCAAGGAAAGCAUAUAAUUAUCCUCAUGUUACAAGGGUGGGCAUCCCCAAAACAUCAGAACAACCCAGACAUAUCAGGAACCAAAAGACCCUGUCAUCCCAACAGACUGGUGUAGUGAUACAAGGUUAAGCUUUCUCCUCGUUGUUCGCCUACUUGGAUCGCUGCCUCAUCUUUCGGCGCUUCCUCUUGAGCCUCCUCAUCCUCUUCUUCUUCCACUGCAAAUUUUAGUAACCACAGAUUUCAUCAGCAGAAAUUGUGUAGUACUACUCUAGGAGAUGCACGUGAACAUAACAAGAAAGUAUCCUCGCAAAAAAAUAACAAGUACAAUUUGUUUUGGAAUCAGAAGAUAGAGUGUUUCAUUGGAUAUCAUCACGUGAUUUUCAGAAACACGGACCAAUUGUUCUUCAUCAUUUCCCAAACUAAAGUGGAUUUCAAAGGCAAAUAGGAAACAAUUAUGCUAAGAUAUCUAAAUAACUAGUUAAGCAAAGUAGAGAUCUGCAGUCCGUUUGACAUUCAGAAUGAGUAGGAGGAUUUUAUCUUCAAAUAGAUCAGACAGCAAUUGUCUUCCUCAUCAUGCCAACCAACACAAUUAUUUAUACAAAAAAAAGGUGGGGAGAAUGAGCACUCUAGGAGAUGCAUAGGAACAUAACAACAAUUCCAAAAUGAAAAUGGAAAGAUAGUUCAUGUGAUUUAGAAUCAGAAGAUUUGAGUGUUUCAUUGGAUAUCUUCACAUGAUUUUCAGAAACACGGACCAAUUGUUCUUCAUCAUUUCCCAAACUAAAGUGGAUUUCAAAGGCAAAUAGGAAACAAUUAUGCUAAGAUAUCUAAAUAACUAGUUAAGCAAAGUAGAGAUCUGCAGUCCGUUUGACAUUCAGAAUGAGUAGGAGGAUUUUAUCUUCAAAUAGAUCAGACAGCAAUUGUCUUCCUCAUCAUGCCAACGACGCAAUUAUACACAAAACAGUGGGGAAAACGAGCAAAGCAAAUGGCUAAGCAAUCAGUGUUCUCUCAGACAAAUGCCUCGAUUGUCCACAUGGCGUAAUAGAAUGGAUUACAUCAGACUCGUCAUCUGUUUUAAUCAUCAGAGAGAACAAACACAACAAUAACAACUUUGUACCUAACACCAGCAGUCAAGCAAAUCUAAUGAAGACACCUGCAGACAUUGUGGCAAAUGAAAAAGAAGCGAAAGGCAAUAGGGGCAUUGACAUGUAUUCUCUCAGACAAAUGCCUCGAUUGUCCACACGGUUCAAUAGAAUGGAUUACAUCAGACUCGUCAUCUGUUUUCAUCAUCAUAGAGAACAAUAGCCCAGUUGACUUGAGUGACACAGGCGGCCAAGCAAAUCUAAUCUUAUCCUACAUCUACGCAGCAGCAAUAACAAAAUUAAAAGCUUAGAAAAAAAACCAGAGUUCUCUCAGACAAAUGCCUCGUGUUGUCCCCACGGUUGAAUGGAAUGGAUUGUAUCGGACAUCUAAUCAGUGUUGAUCAUCACGGAGAACCCACAAACAAAAAGAACCCGAUCAAUGCAAAGCACAUCUAGACUCAGACGAACAAGCUGCAUCUACAAAAUCUAAUGUUCUCUCAGACAAAUGCCUCGAUUGUCCACAUGGUUUAUAGAAUGGAUUGCAUCGGACUCGUCAUCUGUUUUCAUCAUCACAGAGAACCGCAAACAAGCAACUACUACUACUACCGAACGCGGGCUCUACAUGGUGAGCAACAGCAGGGAAUCACUAGAUCGCAUCGAGCAGUCGGAUCAAGAGGUAAGGUAGAGGUGAAUCGGGAACGAACCUUGGCCCUCAUCGCGGAGGUGGCGGCGGCGCAGCAGGCGGACUGGGUCUCGGUAUCUGCUUGGUGCGGCGGCGGAGGUGUACGAGGACGGCUCUCGCGUGGUACUUAUAGAGGUCGGACAGGAACCCUAACCAGGAUGGAUGGACGGCUCAGAUCGGGACGCGCUGAGUUGGGCCUUAACUCUUCGGCCCAUAUGUAUUUGUAAGAGAUGAUGAUUAGAAUUUUUGGGAGCAACUUUCCUUGGGCCACAGCGGCCUGUUUGGGACUACUUCGCUCCUUAAAAUUUAGCUCCGCUCUAGAAAACGCAAGAAAUAGGGUAGCUCCACGAUAUACCGCUCCGUAAAAAAACUAGAAUCUGAGAGUGUGUCGUGCAUCCAGCCGCCGCCACGUGUCGCGUGUUGUGCGCAUCUUUGGGAUUUUAUUUUUUAUUUUUGCACGUGUUUUUGGAUUUUACAUGGUUUUUGGGCUUUUGCUUGGCUUCCUCUUUAUUUUGGCAUAUUUUUUUUCUUCUGAAAGCAACACAUUUGGGCGAGGAGCACAGCAUGUGCUUCUCCGAGAAGCGCAUUUGUGCUUCCUAGAAAUAAAAACAGUCAUAAAAAGUACAGCCUUGCUUCCGUGAGAAAUACAACCUUGCUUCCGCAAGAAGAAUAUUUGUGCUUCCCAAAAAGGAAAAAUAGAGCAAUGCUUCCUUAAAAAAGGGAAAAGCACAGUUUGUGCUUCUGCGUGAGAACCACACAUUAUGCUUCCACGCGCUUCUCCGAAAAAAGGGAAAAGAAAAGCCCGUGCUUCCUAAAAAAAGGCUAAAAUGAAACUAUGCUUCUGGGCUUCGGUUUUAUUCCUUUUUGGGUUUUUAUUACCGUUUUUCUUUCAGUUUCCUACUAUUUCUUGGUUUUCCUUUUUUCGUAAAAAAAGUUUGUUGAAACAUUGACAUGGGAUCUAGUUUUGAAUCUCGAGGCGAGAAAUUCAACGGUGUAAAUGGUUCGGGAUUUGGAUGCAUGGUUCAAAAGAUGAACUAUUUUGAAAAAACAAAUCUAUAAAAAAAAACUCCUAGAUUGUGAGAAGUGACGUACAUGGACUGUGGCACUAAUUAGCACCAUAGAAGGUAGAGAAUGACCUUUGAAAUGGGGUACCUCUUAAUUAGUGAUUUUGAGAAUUUUGUAUCCUAUUGUUCAUACCUUCGUUUUGUUUACCCCGCAUUUGGUCCAUGUUCAUUUUAUAAGUCGUAUUUUGGCUUAUCACAGAAAUUGUUUUUAAGAUACUUUUUUUUGAGUUCUUUCAAGAUAUUAGUGAUCAUGCAAUUACAGGUGGACAUAUUAGAGCACCUACAACCAUAACGCCACUUCCCCCUGAUGUCCGAACGAACAACUUGGACAUUGCUCGGAUCCAAAAAACGCUACCCGACCGGACCCUCCAAAGCCAACUCGUACGUUCGGCUUGUCUGCCAUCCCUCAUAUCCAACCUAUGUGAGGCGGGUUUGAGCCCGCCUAGACGCACUUGCCAUGUCGGACCAGCAUGCAGGACCCGUGUAGAAAUGCAUCGGUCUGCCCCGAGGCUUAAUAGUUUGGUGUUCGCAUUCAUGGCGCCACUUCGGCGCGCCGUGUGAGAGGUCAAGCCCUGCCUAUUAAGUAAGACAAACCCUAGGCACCCUCACAUCGCCUCCCCCGGUCUGGGUCUUCACACCGUGUGCACGGCCACUUCCCGUCCGCGCCCGAGCUCGUCGAGUGAAAGGGUGCGCACAAAGAUCACAUACUACAAGCUUUUGACGUCAGAUCGUGGCAGUGGUUCGUCCGCGUUGGCCAGGCAUGUAGCCCGCAUAGCGGACACUCUUUCUCUGACCUCGGAUGAGGACGGGGCUUUACGCUCGAAUGUGGCUAGGUGAUACAUCUCCGUCAUAUCUAUAAUUUUUUAUUGUUUCAUGCCAAUGUUUUACAACUUUCAUAUACUUUUGGCAACAUUUUAUAUCAUUUUUUGGGACCAACAUAUUGAUCCAGUGCCCAGUGUCAGUUCCUGUUUGUUGCAUGUUUUUUGUUUCGCAGAAAAUCCAUAUCAAACGCAGUCCAAACGCGAUAAAAUUUACGGAGUUUUUUUUUAAUAUAUGUGAUUUUUAGGAAGCGGAAUCAAAGCGAGAUGAUGUCGGAGGGGCCCACAAGCCCUUGAGGCGCGCCCCCUACCCAGGGCGCGGCCAGGGGGCUUGUGGCCACCCCGAAGGUCGGUUGGAGGUGUCCUUUGGUCGCAAGGAAGCUUAUAUCCGGAUAAAAACGUGUUAAAAUUUCAUCCCAAUCGGAGUUACGAAUCUCUGAAUAUUUAAGAAACGUUGAAAGGGCAAAAUCUGGGUCGCGGAACAGAAGAGAAACAGAGAGACAGAUCCAAUCUCGGAGGGUCUCUCGCCCCUCCGCCGCCCGCCGCCAUGGAGGCCAUGAACCAGAGGGGAAACCCUUCUCCCAUCUAGGGGGGAGGUCAAGGAAGAAGAAGAAGGAGGAGGAGGAGGGCGGCUCUCUCCCCUCGCUCCCGGUGGCGCCGGAACGCCGCCGGGGUAAUCAUCAUGUGAAGGCGAUCUACACCAACACCUCUGUCAUCUUCCCCAACAUCUUCAUCACCUUCCCCCAUCUAUAUAUUCAGCGGUUGAGGGAGUCCUGGACUAAGGGGUCCUCGGGCGUCCGACCUAUUAGACAUGGGCCGGACUGAUGGGUUGUGAAGAUACGAAGGCCGAAGACUUUCUCCCGUGUCCGGAUGGGACUCUCCUUGGCGUGGAAGGCAAGCUUGGCGACCAAAUAUGAAGAUUCCUUUCUCUGUAACCGACCUUAUGUAACCCUAGAUCCCUCCGGUGUCUAUAUAAACCGGAGGGCUAGGUCCGUAGAGGCCAAUCAUCAUAUUCAUAGUCAUACAAGCUAGACUUCUAGGGUUUUAGCCAUUACGGUCUCGUGGUAGAUCAACUCUUGUAACACUCAUAUUCAUCAAGAUCAAUCAAGCAGGAAGUAGGGUAUUACCUCCAUAGAGAGGGCCUGAACCUGGGUAAACAUUGUGUCCCCUGUCUCCUGUUACCAUCAACCUUAGACGCACAGUUCGGGACCCCCUACCCGAGAUCCGCCGGUUUUGACACCGACAGCGGUCCACUCUCCCAUAGCCCGAUGUACGCUUUACUUGAACAUGGUGCUUUAUGCUUCGUACUAUUAUCCAUUGAUAUGUUGCCAUCCUAUGAUGCUUGAGUAGAUUUUUGUUGUCCUAUCGGUGAUUGAUGAAUUGCUAUGAUUGGUUUAAUUUGCUUGUGGUUAUGUUGAUGCCCUUUGGUGCCCAUCAUAUGAGCGCGCGUGUGGAUCACACCAUAGGGUUAACUGUAUGUUGAUAGGACUAUGUAUUGGAGGGCAAGGGUGACAAUGAUACGUCCAUUUUGCAUCAUGUUUUCCUACUAUUAUUUAUGAUGUUUUUAUGCAUAAUAAUGCUUUUUGGAGUAAUUCUAAUGCCUUUUCUCUCAUAUUAUGCAAGGUACACUCAAAGAGGGAGAAUUCCGGCAGCUGGAAAUCUGGACCUGGAAAAGCUAUGUCAGGCCACCUAUUCUGCACAACUCCAAACAAGCUGAAACUUUACAAAGAAUUUUUAUGGAAUAUUUGAGGAAUAUUGGAGCCAAUAAGUACCAGAGGGGGCCCACCAGGUGGGCACAGCCCACUUGGGCGCGCCAGGGAGCCCAGGCGCUCCCUGGUGGGUUGUGCUCACCCAGGCCCACCUCUGGUGCCCAAAUUCUGGUAUAUAAGUCAUUUUGACCUAGAAAAAAUAAGGGGAGGACUUUCGGGAUGGAGCGCCGCCGCCCCAAGGCGGAACUUGGGCAGGAGCACUUUUGCCCUCCGGCGGAGCGAUUACGCCGGGGGAACUUCCCUCCCGGAGGGGGAAAUCAUCAUCAUCAUCAUCACCAACAACUCUCCCAUCUUGGGGAGGGCAAUCUCCAUCAACAUCUUCAACAGCACCAUCUCCUCUCAAACCCUAGUUCAUCUCUUGUGUUCAAUAUUUGUACCGAAACUAUAGAUUGGUGCUUGUGGGUGACUAGUAGUGUUGCUUACAUCUGGUAGUUGAUUACUAUAUGGUUUAUUUGGUGGAAGAUUAUAUGUUCAGAUCCAAUAUGCUAUUUAAUACCCCUUUGAUCUUGAGCAUGAUUAUCAUUUGUGAGUAGUUACUUUUGUUCUUGAGGUCACGGGAGAAAUCAUGUUGCAAGUAAUCACGUGAACUUGAUAUGUGUUCGAUAUUUUGAUAGUAUGUAUGUUGUGAUUCCCUUAGUGGUGUCAUGUGAACGUCGACUACAUGACACUUCACCAUAUUUGGCCCUAAGGGAAUGCAUUGUGGAAUAGUUAAUAGAUGAUGGGUUGCGAGAGUGACAGAAGCUUAAACCCUAGUUUUUGCGCUAUUCCGUAAGGGAUCGAUUGGAUCCAAAAGUUUAGUGCUAUGGUUAGAAUUUAUUCUUAAUACUUUUCUCGUAGUUGCGGAUGCUUGCGAGGGGGUUAAUCAUAAGUAGGAGGUUUGUUCAAGUAAGAACAACACCUAAGCACUAGUCCACCCACAUAUCAAAUUAUCAAAGUAGCGAACACAAAUCGAAUCAACAUGGUGAAAGUGACUAGAUGAAAUUCCCGUGUACCCUCAAGAACGCUUUGCUUACUAUAAGAGACCGUUUUGGCCUGUCCUUUGCCUCAAAAGGAUUGGGCUGCCUGUUGGGAAAAGUAGUAAUUUCAACAAAAAUCCUAUGCACACACAAGAUCAUGGUGAUGCAUAACAACAAGAGGGGAGAGUGUUGUCUACGUACCCUCGUAGACCGAAAGCGGAAGCGUUAGCAGAAGGCGGUUGAUGUAGUCGUACGUCUUCACGAUCCGACUGAUCAAGUACCGAACGCACGGCAUCUCCGAGUUCAGCACACGUUCAGCUCGAUGACGUCCCUCGAACUCCGAUCCAGACGAGCUUUGAGGGAGAGUUCCGUCAGCACGACGGCGUGGUGACGAUGAUGAUGUUCUACCGACACAGGGCUUCGCCUAAGCACCACUAUGAUAUUAUCAAGGUGGAUUAUGGUGGAGGGGGCACCGCACACGGCUAAGAGAUCAAGAGAUCAAUUGUUGUGUCUAUGGGGUGCCCCCUCCUCCGUAUAUAAAGGAGGGGAGGAGGAGAGGGCCGGCCAAAGGGGUGGCGCGCCCUAGGAGGGGGAAACCUACUCGAAGUAGGUUUGCCCCUCCCUUUCCUAGUCCAAGGAGGGGGAAGGAAGGAGUGGGAGAGGGGAAAGGCAAGGCCCCCCCCUUCCUUGUCCUAUUCGGACUCAAGGGCAGGGGGCGCGCCUCUUGCCCUGGCCGGCCCCUCUCUCUCUCCACUAGGGCCCAACAAGNNNNNNNNNNNNNNNNNNNNNNNNNNNNNNNNNNNNNNNNNNNNNNNNNNNNNNNNNNNNNNNNNNNNNNNNNNNNNNNNNNNNNNNNNNNNNNNNNNNNNNNNNNNNNNNNNNNNNNNNNNNNNNNNNNNNNNNNNNNNNNNNNNNNNNNNNNNNNNNNNNNNNNNNNNNNNNNNNNNNNNNNNNNNNNNNNNNNNNNNNNNNNNNNNNNNNNNNNNNNNNNNNNNNNNNNNNNNNNNNNNNNNNNNNNNNNNNNNNNNNNNNNNNNNNNNNNNNNNNNNNNNNNNNNNNNNNNNNNNNNNNNNNNNNNNNNNNNNNNNNNNNNNNNNNNNNNNNCCUGGUACUCCGAUAAAUGUUCGAAACCUUCCGUAACCUUUCCGGUGUCCAAACAUAGUCGUCCAAUAUAUCGAUAUUUUCGUCUCGACCAUUUCGAGACUGCUCGUCAUGUCCGUGAUCACAUCCAGGAGUCCGAAAAACCUUCGGUACAUCAAAACACAUAAAUUCAUAAUAUAACUGUCAUCGAACUUUAAGCGUGCGGACCCUACGGGUUCGAGAACUAUGUAGACAUUACCGAGACACGUCUCCGGUCAAUAACCAAUAGCGGAACUUGGAUGCUCAUAUUGGCUCCCACAUAUUCUACGAAGAUCUUUAUCGGUCAAACCGCAUAACAACAUACGUUGUUCCCUUUGUCAUCGGUAUGUUACUUGCCCGAGAUUCGGUCGUCGGUAUCUCAAUACCUAGUUCAAUCUCGUUACCGGCAAGUCUCUUUACUCGUUCUAUAAUACAUCAUCCCGCGACUAACUCAUUAGUUACAAUGCUUGCAAGGCUUAUAGUGAUGUGCAUUACCGAGUGGGCCCAGAUAUACCUCUCCGACAAUCGGAGUGACAAAUCCCAAUCUCGAAAUACGCCAACUCAACAAGUACCUUUGGAGACACCUGUGGAGCACCUUUAUAAUCACCCAGUUAUGUUGUGACGUUUGGUAGCACACAAAGUGUUCCUCCGGUAAACGGGAGUUGCAUAAUCUCAUAGUCAUAGGAACAUGUAUAAGUCAUGAAGAAAGCAAUAGCAACAUACUAAACGAUCAAGUGCUAAGCUAACGGAAUGGGUCAAGUCAAUCACAUCAUUCUCCUAAUGAUGUGAUCCCAUUAAUCAAAUGACAACUCAUGUCUAUGGCUAGGAAACAUAACCAUCUUUGAUCAACGAGCUAGUCAAGUAGAGGCAUACUAGUGACACUCUGUUUGUCUAUGUAUUCACACAUGUAUCAUGUUUCCGGUUAAUACAAUUCUAGCAUGAAUAAUAAACAUUUAUCAUGAUAUAAGGAAAUAAAUAAUAACUUUAUUAUUCCCUCUAGGGCAUAUUUCCUUCAGUCUCCCACUUGCACUAGAGUCAAUAAUCUAGUUCACAUCGCCAUGUGAUUUAACAUCAAUGGUUCACAUCUUUAUGUGGUUAACACCCAUAGUUCACAUCGACAUGUGACCAACACCCAAAGGGUUUACUAGAGUUAGUAAUCUAGUUCACAUCGCUAUGUGAUUAACACCCAAAGAGUACUAAGGUGUGAUCAUGUCUUGCUUGUGAGAUAAUUUUAGUCAACGGGUCUGUCACAUUCAGAUCCGUAUGUAUUUUGCAAAUUUUUAUGUUAACAUUGCUCUGCACGGAGGUACUCUAGCUAAUAGCUCCCACUUUCAAUAUGUAUCUAGAUCGAGACUUAGAGUCAUCCAGAUCGGUGUCAAAGCUUGCAUCGACGUAACCGUUUACGACGAACCUUUUGUCACCUCCAUAAUCGAGAAACAUAUCCUUAUUCCACUAAGGAUAAUUUUGACCGCUGUUCAGCGAUCUACUCCUAGAUCACUAUUGUACUCCCUUGCCAAAAUUUAGUGUAGGGUAUUCAAUAGAUCUGGUACACAGCAUGGCAUAUUUUAUAGAACCUAUGGCUGAGGCAUAGGGAAUGACUUUCAUUCUCUUUCUAUGUUCUGUCGUGGUCGGGCUUUGAGUCUUACUCAAUUUCACACCUUGUAACACAGGCAAGAACUCUUUCUUUGACUGUUCCAUUUUGAACUACUUCAAAAUCUUGUCAAGGUAUGUACUCAUUGAAAAAACUUAUCAAGCAUCUUGAUCUAUCUCUAUAGAUCUUGAUGCUCAAUAUGUAAGCAGCUUCACCGAGGUCUUUCUUUGAAAAACUCCUUUCAAACACUCCUUUAUGCUUUGCAGAAUAAUUCUACAUUAUUUCCGAUCAACAAUAUGUCAUUCACAUAUACUUAUCAGAAAUGUUGUAGUGCUCCCACUCACUUUCUUGUAAAUACAGGCUUCACCGCAAGUCUGUAUAAAACUAUAUGCUUUGAUCAACUUAUCAAAGUGUAUAUUCCAACUCCGAGAUGCUUGCACCAGUCCAUAGAUGGAUCGCUGGAGCUUGCAUAUUUUGUUAGCACCUUUAGGAUUGACAAAACCUUCUGGUUACAUCAUAUACAACUCUUCUUUAAUAAAUCCAUUAAGGAAUGCAGUUUUGUUUAUCCAUUUGCCAGAUUUCAUAAAAUGCGGCAAUUGCUAACAUGAUUCAGACAGACUUAAGCAUAGAUACGAGUGAGAAACUCCCAUCAUAGUCAACACCUUGAACUUGUCGAAAACCUUUUGCGACAAUUCUAGCUUUGUAGAUAGUAACACUACUAUCAGCGUCUGUUUUCCUCUUGAAGAUCCACUUAAUCUCAAUGGCUCGCCGAUCAUUGGGCAAGUCAAUCAAAGUCCAUACUUUGUUCUCAUACAUGGAUCCCAUCUCAGAUUUCAUGGCCUCAAGCCAUUUUGCGGAAUCUGGGCUCAUCAUCGCUUCCUCAUAGUUCGUAGGUUCGUCAUGGUCAAGUAACAUGAUCUCCAGAACAGGAUUACCGUACCACUCUGGUGCGGAUCUUACUCUGGUUGACCUACGAGGUUCGGUAGUAACUUGAUCUGAAGUUUCAUGAUCAUCAUCAUUAGCUUCCUCACUAAUUGGUGUAGGUGUCACAGGAACCGGUUUCUGUGAUGAACUACUUUCCAAUAAGGGAGCAGGUACAGUUACCUCAUCAAGUUCUACUUUCCUCCCACUCACUUCUUUCGAGAGAAACUCCUUCUCUAGAAAGGAUCCAUUCUCAGCAACGAAUAUCUUGCCUUCGGAUCUGUGAUAGAAGGUGUACCCAACAUUUUCUUCUGGGUAUCCUAUGAAGACGCACUUCUUUGAUUUGGGUUUGAGCUUAUCAGGUUGAAACUUUUUCACAUAAGCAUUGCAACCUCAAACUUUAAGAAACGACAGCUUAGGUUUCUUCCCAAACCAUAGUUCAUACGGUGUCGUCUCAACGGAUUUAGAUGGUGCCCUAUUUAACGUGAAUGUAGCUGUCUCUAAUGCAUAACCCCAAAACGAUAGUGGUAGAUCGGUAAGAGACAUCAUAGAUCGCACCAUAUCUAAUAAAGUACGGUUACGACGUUCGGACACACCAUUACACUGUGGUGUUCCAGGUGGCGUGAGUAGUGAAACUAUUUCACAUUGUUUUAACUGAAGGCCAAACUCGUAACUCAAAUAUUUUACCUCUGCGAUCAUAUCGUAGAAUUUUAUUUUUGUUACGAUGAUUCUCCACUUCACUCUGAAAUUCUUUGAACGUUUCAAAUGUUUCAGACUUGUGUUUCAUCAAGUAGAUAUACCCAUUUCUGCUCAAAUCAUCUGUGAAGGUCAGAAAAUAAUGAUACCUGCCGCGAGCCUCAAUAUUCAUCGGACCACAUACAUCAGUAUGUAUGAUUUCCAACAAAUCUGUUGCUCGCUCCAUUGUUCCGGAGAACGGAGUCUUAGUCAUCUUGCCCAUGAGGCAUGGUUCGCAAGCAUCAAGUGAUUCCAAAAGUCCAUUAGCAUGGAGUUUCUUCAUGCGCUUUACACCAAUAUGACCUAAACGGCAGUGCCACAAAUAAGUUGCACUAUCAUUAUUAACUUUGCAUCUUUUGGCUUCAAUAUUAUGAAAAUGUGCAUCACCACGAUCGAGAUCCAACAAACCAUUUUCAUUGGGUGUAUGACCAUAGAAGGUUUUAUUCAUGCAAACAGAACAACAAUUAUUCUCUAGCUUACAUGAAUAACCGUAUUGCAAUAAACAUGAUCCAAUCAUAUUCAUGCUCAACGCAAACACUAAAUAACAUUUAUUUUAGGUUCAACACUAAUCUUGAAAGUAUAGGGAGUGCGUGAUAAUGAUCAUAUCAAUCUUGGAACCACUUCCAAUACACAUCGCCACUUCACCCUUAACUAGUCUCUAUUCAUUCUGCAACUCACGUUUCGAGUUACUACUCUUAGCAACUGAACCAGUAUCAAAUACCGAGGGGUUGCUAUAAACACUAGUAAAGUACACAUAAAUAACAUGUAUAUCAAAUAUAACUUUGUUCACUUUGCCAUCCUUCUUAUCCACCAAAUACUUGGGGCAGUUCCGCUUCGAGUGACCAGUCCCUUUGCAGUAGAAGCACUCAGUUUCAGGCUUAGGUCCAGACUUGGGCUUUUUCACUUGAGCAGCAACUUGCUUGCCGUUCUUCUUGAAGUUCCCUUUUUUUCCCUUUGUCCCUUUACUUGAAACUAGUGGUCUUGUUAACCAUCAACACUUGAUGCUCUUUCUUGAUUUCUACCUUCGUCGAUUUCAGCAUCGCGAAGAGCUCGGGAAUUACUUUCGUCAUCCCUUGCAUAUUAUAGUUCAUCACGAAGUUCUAAUAACUUGGUGAUAGUGACUAGAGAAUUCUGUCAAUUACUAUCUUAUCUGGAAGAUUAACUCCCACUUGAUUCAAGCAAUUGUAGUACCCAGACAAUCUGAGCACAUGCUCACUGGUUGAGCUAUUCUCCUCCAUCUUGUAGGCAAAGUACUGUCAGAGGUCUCACACCUCUCGACACGGGCAUGAGUAUGAAAUACCAAUUUCAACUCUUGGAACAUCUUAUAUGCUCUGUGACGUUCAAAACAUUUUUGAAGUCCCGGUUCUAAGCCGUAAAGCAUGGUGCACUUAACUAUCAAGUAGUCAUCAUACCGAGCUUUUGUCAAAACGUUCAUAACGUCUGCAUCUGCUCCUGCAAUAGGUCUGUCAUCUAGCGGUGCAUCAAGGACAUAAUUCUUCUGUGCAGCAAUGAGGAUAAACCUCAGAUCACGGAUCCAAUCCGCGUCAUUGCUACUAACAUCUUUCAACUUAGUUUUCUCUAGGAACAUAUAAAAAUUAAACGGGGAGCAACAUCGCGAGCUAUUGAUCUACAACAUACAUAUGCUAAUACUACCAGGACUAAGUUCAUGAUAAAUUAAAGUUCAAUUUAUCAUAUUACUUAAGAACUCCCACUUAGAUAGACAUCCCUCUAAUCAUCUAAGUGAUCACGUGAUCCAAAUCAACUAAACCAUGUCCGAUCAUCACGUGAGAUGGAGUAGUUUUCAAUGGUGAACAUCACUAUGUUGAUCAUAUCUACUAUAUGAUUCACGCUCGACCUUUUGGUCUCAGUGUUCCGAGGCCAUAUCUGUUAUAUGCUAGGCUCGUCAAGUUUAACCUGAGUAUUCCGCGUGUGCAACUGUUUUGCACCCGUUGUAUUUGAACGUAGAGCCUAUCACACCCGAUCAUCACGUGGUGUCUCAGCACGAAGAACUUUCGCAAUGGUGCAUACUCAGGGAGACCACUUAUACCUUGAUAAUUUAGUGAGAGAUCAUCUUAUAAUGCUACCGUUGAUCUAAGCAGAAUAAGAUGCAUAAAAGAUAAACAUCACAUGCAAUCAAUAUAAGUGAUAUGAUAUGGCCAUCAUCAUCUUGUGCUUGUGAUCUCCAUCUCUGAAGCACCGUCAUGAUCACCAUUGUCAUCGGCGCGACACCUUGAUCUCCAUCGUAGCAUCGUUGUCGUCUCGCCAACUAUUGCUUCUACAACUAUCGCUACUGCUUAGUGAUAAAGUAAAGCAAUUACAGGGCGAUUGCAUUGCAUACAAUAAAGCGACAACCAUAUGGCUCCUGCCAGUUGCCGAUAACUCGGUUACAAAACAUGAUCAUCUCAUACAAUAAAAUAUAGUAUCAUGCCUUGACCAUAUCACAUCACGACAUGCCCUGCAAAAACAAGUUAGACGUCCUCUACUUUGUUGUUGCAAGUUUUACGUGGCUGCUACGGGCUGAGCAAGAACCGUUCUUACCUACACAUCAAAACCACAACGAUAGUUUGUCAAGUUGGUGCUAUUUUAACCUUCGCAAGGACCGGGCGUAGCCACACUCAGUUCAACUAAAGUUGGAGAAACUGACACCCGCUAGUCACCUGUGUGCAUAGCGCACGACGGUAAAACCAGUCUAACGUAAGCGUACGCGUAAUGUCAGUCCGGGCCGCUUCAUCCAACAAUACCGCCGAACCAAAGUGUGACAUGCUGGUAAGCAGUAUGACUUAUAUCGCCCACAACUCACUUGUGUUCUACUCGUGCAUAUUACAUCAACGCAUAAAACCUGGCUCGGAUGCCACUGUUGGGAAACGUAGUAAUUUCAAAAAAAUUCCUACGCACACGCAAUAUCAUGGUGAUGCAUAGCAACGAGAGGGGAGAGUGUUGUCUAUGUACCCUCGUAGACCAAAAGCGGAAGCGUUAGCACAACGCGGUUGAUGUAGUCGUACGUCUUCACGAUCCGACCGAUCAAGUACAGAACGCACGGCACCUCCGAGUUCAGCACAUGUUCAGCUCGAUGACGUCCCUUGAACUCCGAUCCAGCCGAGCUUUGAGGGAGAGUUCUGUCAGCACGACGGCGUGGUGACGAUGAUGAUGUUCUACCGACGCAGGGCUUCGCCUAAGCAUCGCUACGAUAUUAUCGAGGUGGAUUAUGGUGGAGGGGGCACCGCACACGGCUAAGAGAUCAAGAGAUCAAUUGUUGUGUCUAUGGGGUGCCCCCUCCUCCGUAUAUAAAGGGGGGGAGGAGGAGAGGGCCCGCCCAAGGGGGUGGCGUGCCCUAGGAGGGGGAAACCUACUCCAAGUAGGUUUGCCCCUCCCUUUCCCAGUCCACGAAGGAGGGGGGAGGAAGGAGUGGGAGAGGGGAAAGGCAAGGGGGGCGCCGCCCCCCCUUCCUUGUCCUAUUCGGACUCAAUGGCAGGGGGCGCGCCUCUUGCCCUGGCCGGCCCCUCUCUCUCUCCACUAGGGCCCAACAAGGCCCAUUAGUUCCGGGAGGGGGGGUUCCGGUAACCCCCGGUACUCCGAUAAAUGUCCGAAACCUUUCCAGUGUCCAAACAUAGUCGUCCAAUAUAUCGAUCUUUACGUCUCGACCAUUUCGAGACUCCUCGUCAUGUCCAUGAUCACAUCCGGGACUCCGAACAACCUUCGGUAUAUCAAAACACAUAAACUCAUAAUAUAACUGUCAUCGAACUUUAAGCGUGCGGACCCUACGGGUUCGAGAACUAUGUAGACAUGACCGAGACACGUCUCCGGUCAAUAACCAAUAGCGGAACCUGGAUGCUCAUAUUGGCUCCCACAUAUUCUACGAAGAUCUUUAUAGGUCAAACCACAUAACAACAUACGUUGUUCCCUUUGUCAUCGGUAUGUUACUUGCCCGAGAUUCGAUCGUCGGUAUCUCAAUACCUAGUUCAAUCUCGUUAUCAGCAAGUAUCUUUACUCGUUCUAUAAUACAUCAUCCCGUGACUAACUCAUUAGUUACAAUGCUUGCAAGGCUUAUAGUGAUGUGCAUUACCGAGUGGGCCCAGUGAUACCUCUCCAACAAUCGGAGUGACAAAUCCCAAUCUCGAAAUACGCCAACUCAACAAGUACCUUUGGAGACACCUGUGGAGCACCUUUAUAAUCACCCAGUUACGUUGUGACGUUUGGUAGCACACAAAGUGUUCCUCCGGUAAACGGGAGUUGCAUAAUCUCAUAGUCAUAGGAACAUGUAUAAGUCAUGAAGAAAGGAAUAGCAACAUACUAAACGAUCAAGUGCUAAGCUAACGGAAUGGGUCAAGUCAAUCACAUCAUUCUCCUAAUGAUGUGAUCCCGUUAAUCAAAUGACAACUCAUGUCUAUGGCUAGGAAACAUAACCAUCUUUGAUCAACAAGCUAGUCAAGUAGAGGCAUACUAGUGACACUCUGUUUGUCUAUGUAUUCACACAUGUAUCAUGUUUUCGGUUAAUACAAUUCUAGCAUGAAUAAUAAACAUUUAUCAUGAUAUAAGGAAAUAAAUAAUAACUUUAUUAUUGCCUCUAGGGCAUAUUUCCUUCACUACCUUGCAGCACUUUUGUUACUACUAUCAUUACUUGCUCGUUACAAAUUAUCUGGCUAUCAAACUACUCUGUUACUUACAAUUUCAGCACUUGCUGGCAUUACCUUGCUGAAAACCGCUUGUCAUUUCCUUCUGCUCCUCGUUGGGUUCGACAUUCUUACUUAUCGAAAAGAGCUACAAUUGAUCCCCUAUACUUGUGGGUCAUCAAGGCUAUUUUCUGGCGCCGUUGCUGGGGAGUGAAGCGCCUUUGGUAAGUGGAAUUUGGUAAGGAAACAUUUAUAUAGUGUGCUGAAAUUUAUUGUCACUUGUUACUAUGGAAAACAAUCCUUUGAGGGGUUUGUUCGGGGUAUCUUCACCUCGACCGGAACCAUAAUUAGCUACCCCUCAACCUAUUGCACCUACUGAAAAUAUUGAAUAUGAAAUUACUUUGUUUAUGAUAGAAGAACUGCUAGCUAAUCCUUAUGCAGGAGAUGGAACCGAACAUCCUGAUAUGCACUUGAUAUAUGUGGGACAAAUUUGUGGAUUGUUUAAACUUGCAGGUUUACCCGGAGAUGAAGUUAAGAAGAAGGUUUUCCCUUUAUCUUUGAAGGGAAAAGCAUUGGCAUGGUAUAGUAUAUGCAAUGAUAUUGGAUCUUGGAAUUGGAAUCGAUUAAAAUUGGAGUUUCACCAAAAAAAAAUCCCAUGCAUCUAGUUCAUCGUGAUCGGAAUUACAUAUAUAAUUUUUGGCCUCGUGAAGGAGAAAGUAUCGCUCUAGCUUGGGGGAGGGUUAAAUCAAUAUUAUAUUCAUGCCCCAAUCAUGAGCUCUCAAGAGAAAUUAUUAUCCAGAAUUUUUAUGCUCGACUUUCUCAUAAUGAUCGCCAUGCUUAAUACUUCUUGUGCUGGUUCUUUUAUGAAGAAGACUAUUGAAUUCCGGUGGGAUCUUUUGGAAAGAAUUUAACGCAACUCUGAAGAUUGGGAACUCGACGAAGGUAAAGAGUCAGGUAUUAAGCUUAAGUAUGAUUGUGUUAAAUCUUCUAUGAAUACCGAUGCUUUUCAAAAGUUUAGCACUAAAUAUGGACUUGACUCUGAAAUAGUAGCAUCCUUUUGUGAAUCAUUUGCUACUCAUGUUGAUCUCCCUAAAGGGAAGUGGUUUAAAUAUCACCCACCUAUUAAAGAAGAAAUUAAAGAACCUGUACCAGUUAAAGAGGAAACUAUUCUUUAUAAUGUUGAUCCAAUUGUUCCUACUGCUUAUAUUGAAAAACCACCUUUCCCUAUUAGGAUAAAGGAACAUGCUAAAGUAUCGACUGUGGUCAACAAAAGUUAUAUCAGAACACCUAAACCUGAUGAACAAAUUAAAGUAGAGCCUAGUGUUGCUAUGGUUAAAGACCUCUUGGAAGAAAAUAUAGAUGGGCAUGUUAUUUACUUCUAUAAUGAAGCUACUGUAAUUGUCAAACCCGAUAAAAUAGAUAAUCAUAGACCCGUUGUUGGCAUGCCCGUUGUCUCAGUUAAAAUAGGAGAUCACUGUUAUCAUGUUUUAUGAGACAUAGGUGCUAGCGUAAGUGCUAUUCCUUACACCUUAUAUCAAGAAAUUAUGAAUGACAUAGCACCCGCAGAGAUAGAAGACAUAUCUGUUACUAUUAAACUUGCUAAUAGAGAUACUAUUUCACCAACUGGGAUUAUUAGAGAUGUUGAAGUCUUGUGUGGGAAAAUAAAAUACCCUACUGAUUUUCUUGGUCUUGGUUCCCCAUAAGAUGAUUUUUGUCCCAUUAUUUUCAGUAGACCUUUCUUGAACACCGUUAAUGCUCAAAUAGAUUGUAAGAAACAAAUUGUCGGUGUCAGUUUUGGUAAUGAGUCUCAUGAGUUUAUUUUUUCCAAGUUUAGUAGAAAGCUUCAUGAAAAAGAAUUGCCUAGUAAGGAUGAAAUAAUUGGCCUUGCUUCUAUUUUUGUGCCUCCUACUGAUCCUUUAGAACAAUAUUUGCUAGACCAUGAAAAUGAUUUACAUAUGCAUGAAAGAAAUGAAAUAGAUGAGAUUUUCUUUGAACAACGUCCUUUGCUUAAACACAAUUUGCCUAUUGAAACUCUAGGAGGUCCUCCUCCACCUAAAGGUGAUCCUGUGUUUGAAUUAAAACAAUUUCCAGACACUUUGAAAUAUGCUUAUCUUGAUGAAAAGAAGAUAUAUCCUGUUAUUAUUAGUGCUAACCUUUCAGAACAUGAAGAAGAAAGAUUAUUGAAAGUUCCAAGGAAGCACCGAGCUGCUAUUGGAUAUACUCUUGAUGAUUUAAAGGGCAUUAGUCCCACUCUAUGCCAGCACAAGAUUAAUAUGGAACCUGAUGCUAAACCCGUCGUUGAUCACCAACGUCGGUUAAAUCUGAAGAUGAAAGAAGUGGUAAGAACGAAGAUAUUAAAACUUCUGGAAGCAGGUAUAAUCUAUCCUAUAGUUGAUAGUAGAUGGGUAAGCCCUGUUUAUUGUGUUCCUAAGAAAGGAGGUAUUACUGUUGUUCCUAAUGAUAAGAAUCAACUUAUUCCACAAAGAAUUGUUACAGGCUAUAGAAUGGUAACUGAUUUUAGAAAAUUAAACAAAGCAAUUAGAAAAGAUCAUUACCCUCUGCCUUUUAUUGAUCAAAUGCUAGAGAGAUUAUCUGAGCACACACACUUUUGCUUUCUUGAUGGAUAUUCUGGUUUUUCACAAAUACAUGUUUCUCAACCUGACCAAGAAAAGACCACUUUCACUUGUCCCUUUGGAACUUAUGCUUAUAGACGUAUGCCUUUCGGUUUAUGCAAUGCACCUGCUACCUUUCAAAGAUGUAUGAUUGCUAUAUUCUCUGACUUUUGUGAAAAGAUUGUUGAGGUUUUCAUGGAUGACUUCUCUGUUUAUGGGAAGUAUUUUGAUGAUUGUUUAAGCAAUCUUGAUUGAGAUUUGCAGAGAUGCGAGCAAACAAAUCUUGUCUUGAAUUGGGAUAAGUGCCACUUUAUGGUUAACGAAGGUAUUGUUUUGGGCCAUAAAAUUUCUGAAAGGGGUAUUGAAGUGGACAAAGCUAAGGUGGAUGCAAUUGAGAAAAUGCCAUGUCCUAAAGAUAUCAAAGGUUUUCAUAGCCUAGGUCAUGCUGGUUUCUAUAGGAGAUUUAUCAAAGACUUUUCUAAACUUUCUAGGCCUCUUACAAAUCUUUUGCAAAAGGAUGUUCCUUUUGUUUUUGAUGAUGAUUGUUUAGAAGCCUUCGAAACACUCAAGAAAGCCUUAAUUUCUGCACCUAUUGUUCAACCACCUGACUGGAACUUGCCUUUUGAAAUUAUGUGUGAUGCCAGUGAUUAUGUUGUUGGUGCUGUUCUAGGACAAAGAUUUGAUAAGAAACUGAAUGUUAUUCAUUAUGCUAGUAAAACUCUAAAGUUAUCAUUCACACCGACCAUGUUGCUAUUAAAUAUCUUAUGGAAAAGAAAGAUACUAAACCUAGACUAUUAUUCGAUGGGUUCUCUUGCUACAAGAAUUUGAUUUACAUGUUACUGAUAGGAAAGGAGCUGAGAACCCAGUGGCUGAUAACUUGUCUAGGCUUGAAAAUGUGCUUGAUGACCCACUACCUAUUGAUGAUAGUUGAUAACCCACAAGUAUAGGGGAUCGUUUGUAGCCUUCUUCGAUAAAUAAGAGUGUCGAACCCAACGAGGAGCUAAAGGCAGAACAAAUAUUCCCUCAAGUUGUAUCGACCACCGAUACAACUCUACGCACACUUGACGUUUGCUUUACCUAAAACAAGUAUGGAACUAUUUUGCAAGAAUAAAACUACGAGUACUUUGCGACAAUAAAACUACGAAUAAAUUUCAAGGUAAUAGAAGUGGAUAGCUUUUGUCAACAAGAAAGUCAUUUGUCCCUAGGCAAUCGAUAACAAGUACCGGUAAUCAUUCUUGUAAUUUUAUAUGAGGGAGAGGCAUGAGCUAACAUACUUUCUCUACUUGGAUCAUAUGCACUUACGAUUGGACCCCUAGCAAGCAUCCGCAACUACUAAAGAUCAUUAAGGUCGAGAAACCCAACCAUAGCAUUAAGUAUCAAGUCUUCUUUACUCCCAUACGUCAUAAGCCACUUAUCCGCGUUUAGGCUCCUGUCACCCCCGCAACACUGACAAUAAGCAAACCAUGAACGUAUUGCAACACCAUACAACGGGGGCCCCUCACGUUUGCGUGAGACGAAGGGCACCGUAGGACAAUGCCAUAAAUAAAAUAUACAAUCAUACCAACCAAGAUCACGAUUAACCCAUAGGACAAAAUGGAUCUACUCAAACAUCAUAGGAUAGCGAAAUAUCAUUGGGAAAUAAAUAUAUGGAGUUGAGCACCAUGUUUAAGUAGAGAUUAGAGAUUACAGCGGGGGGGGGGGGAGAGGUGUUACACCACUGCAGAUAGGGGAAAGUUGCUAUUGAUGGUAGGAAGGUUGUUGAUGUAGAUCGCCUUCACGAUCCUAGCCCCGGCGGCACUCCGGUGCCACCGAGAGAGAGGGGGAGAGAUCCCUUCUUCCUUGGCCUCCCCCCUAGAUGGGAGGAGAGUUCCCCCUCUGGUCCAUGGUCUCCAUGGCGGCGGAGGGGCGGGAGCCCCUCCGAGAUUGGAUCUCUCUCUCUGUUCUCUUCUAUUUCGCGCUCUCCUGAUCUAGCCGGGGUAUAAGCUUCCUUGCGCCCGAAGUAGAGCUCCAACCGACGUACGAGGUGAGCACAACCCACCACCGCGAGCCUGGCUCCCCUGGCGCGCCCUGGUCUCUUGUGGGCUGUGUGGGCCUCCGUUUGCGGUGAUUCCAACUCCCAAAAAUCACAUAUAUUCCCAAAUAAUUCUCCGUAAAAUUUUAUUGCAUUUGGACUUCGUUUGAUAUGGAUUUUCUGCGAUACAAAAAAUGCAACAAACAUGAACUGGCACUGGGCACUGGAUCAAUAGGUUAGUCCAAUAAAUCAUAUAAAAAGUUGCCAAAAGUAUGUGAAAGUUGUAUAAUAUUUGCAUGAAACAAUAAAAAAUUAUAUAUACGACGGAGAUGUAUCAGCAUCCCCAAGCUUAAUUCCUGCUCGCCUCGAGUAGGUAAAUGAUAAAAAUGUUAAUUUUUGAUGUGGAAUGCUACCUAGCAUAAACUUGAUCAUAUAUCUAAUCAUGGCAUGAAUAUUAAGACAUAAGUGAUUCAAAGCAGUAGUCUAUAAUUUGACAUAAAUACAUCAAUACUCAGGCAUCCCAACAAACAAUCAUGUCUUUCAAAAUAUCAAUGCUAAAGAAAGCUAUCCCUACAAAAUCAUAUAGUCUUGUCAUGCUCUGUCUUCUUAACACAGUAUUAUCAUGCACAACCCCGAUGACAAGCCGAGCAAUUGGUUCAUACUUUUUAAUGCGCUUCAACUUUUUCAACCCUCACACAAUACAUGAGCGCAAGCCAUGGAUAUAGCACUACAGGUGGAAUGGAGUAUGAUGAUAGGGGUAAAUAUAGAGAAGACAAAAAAGUAAGAAAGUCUCACAUCGACGCGGCUAACCAACGGGCUAUGGAGAUGCCCAUCAAUCGAUAUCAACGUGAGGAGUAGGGAUUGCCAUGCAACGAAUGCACUAAGAGCUAUAAGUGUAUGAAAGCUCAAUAUGAAAACUAAGUGGGUGUGCAUCUAAUCCUAUAAUGAAAAAUUCCCACUAGUAUAUGAAAGUGACAACAUAGGAGACUCUCCAUAUGAAAAACAUGGUGCUACUUUGAAGCACAAGUGUGGAACUAGCAUGCCCCUUCUCUCUUUAUUUCUUUAUUUCUUUUUAUUUUUUUAUUUUUUUAUUUCUCUCAUUGUCCAGAGUCUCAUCCUGACUUGUGGGGGAAUCGUAGUCUCCGUCAUCCUUUCCUCACUGGGGCACUGCUCUAAAAAUGAAUAAUGAUGAUCAUCACACUUCUAUUUACUUAUAACUCAAAAGAAAUAAAAAUUACAACUCGAUACCUAUGACAAAGUAUGACUCUAUAUGAAUGCCUCUGGCAAUGUACCAGGAUGUGCAAUGAUCUAGCAUAACAUGUAUGAAAAAUGAUGAACAGUAGCUGAGCCACAACUACUAUGUCAGCUAUAUGAUCAUGCAAAGCAAUAUGACAAUGAAUGCUCAAGUCAUCAAACGGAAGCGGUGGAAGUUGCAUGGCAAUAUAUCUCGGAAUGGCCAUGGAAAAGCCAUAAUAGGUAGGUAUGGUAGCUGUUUUGAGGAAGAUAUAAUAAGGAUUAUGUGUGAUAGAGGGUAUCAUAUCAUGGGGUUUGGAUGCACCUGCGAAGUUUGCACCACGUCUCGAGGUGAGAAAGGGCAAUGCAUGGUACCGUAGAGGCUAGCAAAUUGCCGAAAGGUAAGAGUGCGUAUAAUCCAUGGACUCACAUUAGUCAUAAAGAACUCAUAUACUUAUUGCAAAAGUUUAUUAGCCCUCGAAGCAAAGUACUACUACGCAUGCCCCUAGGGGGUAGAUUGGUAGGAAAAGACCAUCGCUCGUCCCCGACUGCCACUCAUAAGGAAGAUAAUCAAUAAUAAAUCAUGCUCCAACUUCAUAGCAUAACGAGAGACUAUACGUGCAUGCUUCGGGAAUCACAAACCUUAACACCAAUAUUCUUACUAACCACAACCGUUUACUAGUACCUCCCACAUAUUCCAUCUCUAUAUCGCAAAACUAUUGCAAGGAAUCAAACAUAUCAUAUUCAGUGAUCCAUAAGUUUUAUGUAGGAUUUUAUGAAUAACCAAGCAAUUGACCAAUUCCUGUUGACUCUCUAAAUAGAUAUACAUGAAGCAUGAGAGUUUAAUUCUUUCUACAAAAGAUCAUGCUCUAACAAAUAUAAGUGAAGCAAAAGAGCAUUCUAUGAACAUCAGUUUUCUAUGUGAAGAGAAACAGGCAAUCCAAACUUCAAAUGAUAUAAGUGAAGCACAUGAAACAUUCUAUAAAGCCAUACUCAAAAGAUAUAAGUGAAGUGCAAUGAGAAUUCUAUACAUCAACCAUGGACUAUCUCAUACCAGCAUGGUGCAUAAAAUAAAAGUGAAAAAUAAAUGCAAAAUACGCUCCAAGAUUUACACAUAUCACGUGAACGAAACAAAGACGAAAGCAUACCGAUACUUGUUGAAGAAAGAUGGGAUGACUUCCGGGGCAUCCCAAGCUUAGACGCAUGAGUCUCCUUGAAUAUUUACUUGGGGUGCCUUGGGCAUCCCCAAGCUUGAGCUCUUGCCUCUCCUCCUUCUCCUCAUAUCGAGACCUCCUCGAUCUUUGAUCACUUCAUCCACACAAAACUCAACAGAAAGCUCGGUAAGAUCGGUUAGUAUAAUAAAGCAAAUCACUACUCUAAGUGCAGUUGCAAACCAAUUCAUAUUUUUUUUGCAUUGCAGCUACUGUAAUAUAACUUUUCCAUGGAUUAUACCACCGAUAGAAUCGAUAGUUUCAUCAAAACAAGCAAAACAAUGCAUCAAAAACAGAAUCUGUCUUAAACAGGACAGUCUGUAGCAAUAUGAAGAUCUACCAUACUUCUGGUACUCCAAAAAUUCUGAAAAAUUAGGAAAACGUAAAAAAAUUGUAUAUGAAGACAGUGCAAAAAGUUUCAGAAACGUUUGACGUUCCAGGAAAAAAUUAAAAUUCAUGCGCUACAGCCAAAGUUUCUGUUUCUGCACCGCAUGUACCAACAAGCAAUCUAAUCAUCCUAAAGGCAAAUCUUGGCACAUUAUUUUUAUAAUACAAUCGAAGUGUACAAGGGGAUAAUUUUUGUUGAAAAGUUUCUGUAAUUCAAGAUUCACAAAGUUUCCAUGGGCAUGAACAAAGUUCAAGGCAUGCUCCCGCUUUCACGGUGCUCGUCCUUCUCACUUUCACUUUUCUUUUUGUGAAGUUUUAAGUUCCCCUCUAUAUUUUUUGUUUUUAAACUAUAUAAAAGCACUCAACAGAAAUAAAUGACUCUCUAAAACUUCCGGGUUGUCUCCCUGGCAGCGCUUUCUUUAAAGCCAUUAAGCUAUGCAUAAAGUGCUCAAGUAAUGGAUCCACCAAGAUCCCAAGGUAUAUCAAGGCCAAUUUUAAUUAGCAAUGAUUUGGCAUUUAGUAAUGAGCACAAAGCAACAUAUAUCAAGAAAUGAUGAAGUCUAACUCUCUUUCUAUGCAUCGGCAUGUCAUACAAGAACAAUUCAUGCACAUCAUGUAAAGGCCAAUACAUAGCAUAAACAGUUUCUUGCAAUUCUAUCAUGUUGGAAACACAGAGAGGCGGAGAUGUGGUUCCUCUCUCAUAAUAAUUGCAAGUAGGAGCAACAAGCACAUGCAUAUUAUUGAUACGUCUCCAAUGUAUCUAUAAUUUUUUAUUUUUCCAUGCUAUUAUAUUAUCUGUUUUGGAUGUUUAAUGGGCUUUAUUAUGCACUUUUAUAUUAUUUUUGGGACUAACCUACUAACCGGAGGCCCAGUGCAAAUUGCUGUUUUUUGCCUAUUUCAGUGUUUCGUAGAAAAGGAAUAUCAAACGGAAUCCAAAUGGAAUGAAACCUUCGGGAGAGUUAUUUUUGGAACAAACAUGAUCCAGGAGACUUGGAGUGGAUCAAGGAAGCAACGAGGCGGCCACGAGAUAGGGAGGCGCGCCUACCACCACCCUCGUGGGCCCCUCGUGGCUCCACCGACCUACUUCUUUCGCCUAUAUAUACUCAUAUACCCUGAAAACAUCCGAGAGCACCACGAAACCCUAUUUCCACUGCCGCAACCUUAUGUACCCGUGAGAUCCCAUCUUGGGGCCUUUUUCGGCGCUCCGCCGGAGGGGGAAUCGAUCACGGAGGGCUUCUACAUCAACACAAUAGCCUCUCCGAUGACGUGUGAGUAGUUUACCAUAGACCUUCGGGUCCAUAGUUAUUAGCUAGAUGGCUUCUUCUCUCUCUUUGGAUCUCAAUACAAAGUUCUCCUCGAUUCUCUUGGAGAUCUAUUCGAUGUAAUUCUUUUUGCGGUGUGUUUGUCGAGAUCCAUGAAUUGUGGGUUUAUGAUCAAUAUUAUCUAUGAACAAUAUUUGGUUCUUCUCUGAAUUCUUAUAUGUAUGAUUUGAUAUCUUUGCAAGUCUCUUCGAAUUAUCAGUUUGGUUUGGCCUACUAGAUUGAUCUUUCUUGCAAUGGGAUAAGUUCUUAGCUUUGGGUUGAAUCUUGCGGUGUCCUUUCCCAGUGACAGCAGGGGCAGCAAGGCAUGUAUUGUAUUGUUGCCAUCGAGGAUAAAACGAUGGGGUUUAUAUCAUAUUGCUUGAGUUUAUCCCUCUACAUCAUGUCAUUUUGCCUAAUGCGUUACUCCAUUCUUAUGAACUUAAUACUCUAGAUGCAUGUUGGAUAACGGUCGAUGUGUGGAGUAAUAGUAGUAGAUGCAUAAUCGUUUCGGUCUACUUGUCGCAGACGUGAUGCCUAUAUACAUGAUCAUGCCUAGAUAUUCUCAUAACUAUGCACUUUUCUAUCAAUUGCUCGAUAGUAAUUUGUUCACCCACCGUAGAUUAUGCUAUCUUGAGAGAAGCCACUAGUGAAACCUAUGGCCCCCGGGUCUAUUUUCCAUCAUAUGAGUUUCCGAUCUAUUUUAUUUUGCAAUCUUUACUUUCCAAUCUAUAUCAUAAAAAUACUAAAAAUAUUUAUCUUAUUAUCUCUAUCAGAUCUCACUUUUGCAAGUGGCCGUGAAGGGAUUGACAACCCCUUUAUCGCGUUGGUCGCAAGGUUCUUAUUUGUUUGUGCAGGUACAAGGCGACUUGCGUGUAACCUCCUACUGGAUUGAUACCUUGGUUCUCAAAACUUGAGGGAAAUACUUACGCUACUUUGCUGCAUCACCCUUUCCUCUUCAAGGGAAAACCAACGCAUGCUCAAGAGGUAGCAAGAAGGAUUUCUGGCGCUGUUGCUGGGGAGGCUUACGCCAAGUCAAGUCAAGAUUUGAUCUCCCAGCAACUAGCCAUUUCUGGCGCUGUUGCCGGGGAGUCUACACACAAGUCAAGACAUAGCAUGUACCCAUCACAAACUCUUAUCCCUCGCAUUACAUUAUUUGCCAUUUGCCUCUCGUUUUACUCUCCCCCACUUCACCUUUGCCGUUUUAUUCGCCCUCUUUUUCUGUUUGUCUCUUUUCGCUUGCUUCUUUGUGUGCUUGUGUGUUGGAUUGUUUGUCACGAUGGCUCAAGACAAUACUAAAUUGUGUGACUUUUCGAAUACCAACAACAAUGAUUUUCUUAGCACGCCGAUUGCUCCUAUUACCGAUGCCGAAUCUUGUGAAAUUAAUGUUGCUUUCUUGAAUCUUGUCAUGAAUGAUCAAUUUUCUGGCCUUCCUAGUGAAGAUGCCGCUACUCAUCUAAACAACUUUGUUGAUUUGUGUGAUAUGAAAAAGAAGAAAGACGUGGAUAAUGAUAUUGUUAAAUUGAAGCUAUUUCCGUUUUCGCUUAGAGAUCGUGCUAAAACUUGGUUUUCGUCUUUGCCUAAAAAUAGUAUUGAUUCAUGUAAUAAGUGCAAAGAUGCUUUUAUCUAUAAGUAUUUUCCUCCCGUUAAGAUCAUCCCUCUUAGAAACGAUAUUAUGAAUUUUAAGAAACUUGAUCAUGAACAUGUUGCACAAGCUUUGGAGAGAAUGAAAUUAAUGAUACGUAAUUGCCCUACACAUGGUUUGAAUUUAUGGAUGAUUAUACAAAAAAUUUAUGCCGGAUUGAAUUUUGCUUCUAGAAAUCUUUUAGAUUCGGCCGCGGGAGGCACUUUCAUGGAAAUCACUUUAGGAGAAGCUACUAAACUCCUAGAUAAUAUUAUGGUUAAUUAUUCUCAAUGGCACACCGAAAGAUCUACUAGUAAAAUGGUCACGCGAUAGAAGAGAUUAAUGUCUUGAGUGGAAAGAUGCAUGAACUUAUGAAGUUGUUUGCUAAUAAGAAUGUUUCUUCUGAUCCUAAUGAUAUGCCUUUGUCUACUUUGAUUGAGAAUAAUAAUGAAUCUAUGGAUGUGAAUUUUGUUGGUAGGAACAAUUUUGGUAACAACGCGUAUAGAGGAAACUUUAAUCCUAGGCCGUUUCCUAGUAAUUCCUCUAAUAAUUAUGGUAAUUCCUACAACAACUCUUAUGGAAAUUUUAAUAAGAUGCCCUCUGAUUUUGAGACUAGUGUUAAAGAAUUUAUGAUUUCGCAAAAGAAUUUCGAUGCUUUGCUUGAAGAAAAAUUGCCUAAGAUUGAUGAGUUGGCUAUGAACGUGGAUAGAAUUUCUCUUGAUGUUGAUUCUUUGAAACUUAGAUCUAUUCCACCUAAGCAUGAUAUCAAUGAGUCUCUCAAAGCCAUGAGAAUUUCCAUUGAUGAGUGCAAAGAAAGAACCUCUAGGAUGCGUGCUAAAAAAGAUUGCUUUAUGAAAGCGUGUUCUUCUGGUUUUCAUGAUAAUAAGGAUGGAGAUCUAAAAGUGAUGGAUGUGUCUCCUAUUAAAUAUUUGUUUGCAAUUUUAACCUUGAUAAUGAUGGAACUGGAGAUGAGUCAACUUUCAUUAGAAGGCCUCCCAAUGAUUCGGAGUUUUUAGAUCUUGAUGCAAAAAUUGGUAAAAGUGGGAUUGAAGAGGUCAAAACUUUACAUAGAAAUGAACCCACUAUUUUGGAUUUCAAGGAAUUUAAUUAUGAUAAUUGCUCUUUGAUAGAUUGUAUUUCCUUGUUGCAAUCCGUGCUAAAUUCUCCUCAUGCUUAUAGUCAAAAUAAAGCUUUUACCAAACAUAUCGUUGAUGCUUUAAUGCAAUCUUAUGAAGAAAAACUUGAAUUAGAAGUUUCUAUCCCUAGAAAACUUUAUGAUGAGUGGGAACCUACUAUUAAAAUUAAGAUUAAAAAUCAUGAAUGCUAUGCUUUGUGUGAUUUGGGUGCUAGUGUUUCCACGAUUCCAAAAACUUUGUGUGAUGUGCUAGGUUUCCAUGAAUUUGAUGAUUGUUCUUUAAACUUGCAUCUUGCGGAUUCCACCAUUAAGAAACCUAUGGGAAGGAUUAAUGAUGUUCUUAUUGUUGCAAAUAAGAAUUAUGUGCCCGUAGAUUUCAUUGUUCUUGAUAUAGAUUGCAAUCCUUCAUGUCCUAUUAUUCUUGAUAGACCUUUUCUUAGAACGAUUGGUGCAAUUAUUGGUAUAAAGGAAGGGAAUAUUGGAUUCCAAUUUCCAUUAAGGAAAGACAUGGAACACUUUCCUAGAAAUAAAAUUAAAUUACCUUAUGAAUCUAUUAUGAGAGCCACUUAUUAUUUUCUUACCAAAGAUGACAAUACCAAGAUCUAUUCUUGCCUUUAUGCCUACCUAGGGGCGUUAAACAAUAGCGCUUGUUGGGAGGCAACCCAAUUUUAUUUUUGUUUCUUGCUUUUUGGUUCUGUUUAGUAAUAAAUAAUUCAUCUAGACUCUGGAUAUAUGUGGUUUUAUGUUUUAAUUAGUGUUUGUGCCAAGUAAAACCUAUAGGAUCUUCUUGGAUGAUAAUUAUUUGAUCUUGCUGAAAAAGACAGAAACUUUCUGCUCACUAAAACAAUUGUUAAAAAUCACCAGAACAUGAUAAAAUACUGAUUCCAAUUGAAGUUGAUCAAUAAACAAAUUAUUUAGGUCGUCCUAUUUUGGAAGAAUUUUUGAGUUAGAGAAAGUUUGCGUUUGAUACAGAUUACUACAGACUGUUCUGUUUUUGACAGAUUCUGUUUUUCGUGUGUUGUUUGCUUAUUCUGAUGAAUCUAUGGCUAGUAUCGAGGGGUAUGAACCAUAGAGAAGUUGGAAUACAGUAGGUUUAACACCAAUAUAAAUAAAUAAUGAGUUCAUUACAGUACCUUAAAGUGGUGGUUUGUUUUAUUUCGCUAACGGAGCUCAUGAGAUUUUCUGUUGAGUUUUGUGUUGUGAAGUUUUCAAGUUUUUGGGUAAAGAUUUGAUGGAUUAUGGAAUAAGGAGUGGCAAGAGCCUAAGAUUGGGGAUGCCCAAGGCACACCCAAGUUAAAAUUCAAGGACACCAAAAGCCUAAGCUUGGGGAUGCCCUGGAAGGCAUCCCCUCUUUCGUCUUCGCCUAUCGGUAACUUUACUUGAUGCUAUAUUUUUAUUCACCACAUGAUAUGUGUUUUGCUUGGAGCGUCUUGUAUGAUUUGAGUCUUUUCUUUUUAGUUUACCACAAUCAUCCUUGCUGUACACACCUUUUGGGAGAGACACACAUGAAUCGGAAUUUAUUAGAAUACUCUUUGUGCUUCACUUAUAUCUUUUGAGCUAGAUAAAUUUUGCUCUAGUGCUUCGCUUAUAUCUUUUAGAGCACGGUGGUGGUUUUAUUUUAUAGAAAUUAUUGAUCUCUCAUGCUUCACUUCUAUUAUUUUGAGAGUAAUAUAAAACAUCAUGGUAAUUUGCUUUGGCUAUAAAAUUAGUCCUAAUAUGAUGAACAUCCAAGAUGGGUAUAAUAAAAACUAUCAUAUGAAGUGCAUCGAAUACUAUGAGAAGUUUGAUACUUGAUAAUUGUUUUGAGAUAUGAAGAUGGUGAUAUUAGAGUCAUGCUAGUUGAGUAGUUGCGAAUUUGAGAAAUACUUGUUCUAAAGUUUGUGAUUCCCGUAGCAUGCACGUAUGGUGAACCGUUAUGUGAUGAAGUCGGAGCAUGAUUUAUUUAUUGAUUGUCUUCCUUAUGAGUGGCGGUCGGGGAUGAGAGAUGGUCUUUUCCUACCAAUCUAUCCCCCUAGGAGCAUGCGCGUAGUACUUCGGUUCGAUAACUAAUAGAUUUUUUCAAUAAGUAUGUGAGUUCUUUAUGACUAAUGUUGAGUCCAUGGAUUAUACGCACUCUCACCCUUCCACCAUUGCUAGCCUCUCUAAUACCGCGCACCUUUCGCCGGUAUCAUGCACCCAUAUACCUUCCUCAAAACAGCCACCAUACCUACCUAUUAUGGCAUUUCCAUAGCCAUUCCGAGAUAUAUUGCCAUGCAACUUUCCACCGUUCCGUUUAUUAUGACACGCUCCAUCAUUGUCAUAUUGCUUUGCAUGAUCAUGUAGUUGACAUCGUAUUUGUGGCAAGGCCACCCUUAUAAUUCAUUCAUACAUGUCACUCUUGAUUCAUUGCAUAUCCCUGUACACCGCCGGAGGCAUUCACAUAGAGUCAUAUUUUGUUCUAAGUAUUGAGUUGUAAGUAAAUAAAAGUGUGGUGAUCAUCAUUAUUAGAGCAUUGUCCCAAGUGAGGAAAGGAUGAUGGAGACUAUGAUUCCCCCACAAGUCGGGAUGAGACUCCGGAUGAAAAAUAAUAAAAAAGAAGAAAAAAAAGAGGACAUAAAAAAGAGAGAAAAAGGCCCAAAUAAAAAAAUAAAAAAAUGAGAGAAAAAGAGAGAAGGGACAAUGUUACUAUCCUUUUACCACACUUGUGCUUCAAAGUAGCACCAUGAUCUUCAUAAUAGAGAGUCUCCUAUGUUGUCACUUUUUCAUAAACUAGUGGGAAUUUUACAUUAUAGAACUUGGCUUGUAUAUUCCAAUGAUGGGCUUCCUCAGAUUGCCCUAGGUCUUCAUGAGCAAGUGAGUUGGAUGCACACCCACUUAGUUUCUUUUGUUGAGCUUUCAUGCACUUAUAGCUCUAGUGCAUCCGUUGCAUGGCAAUCCCUACUCACUCACAUUAAUAUCUAUUGAUGGGCAUCUCCAUAGCCCGUUGAUACGCCUAGUUGAUGUGAGACUAUCUUCUCCUUUUGGUCUUCUCCACAACCACCAUUCUAUUCCACAUAUAGUGCUAUGUCCAUGGCUCACGCUCAUGUAUUGCGUGAAGAUUGAAAAAGUUUGAGAACAUCAAAAGUAUGAAACAAUUGAUUGGCUUGUCAUCGGGGUUGUGCAUGAUUUAAAUAUUUUGUGUGAUGAAGAUAGAGCAUAGCCAGACUAUAUGAUUUUGUAGGGAUAACUUUCUUUGGCCAUGUUAUUUUUAGAAGACAUGAUUGCUUUGUUAGUAUGCUUGAAGUAUUAUUAUUUUUAUGUCAAUAUUAAACUUUAUCUUGAAUCUUUCGGAUCUGAACAUUCAUGCCACAAUAAAGAAAAUUACAUUGAGAAUUAUGCUAGGUAGCAUUCCACAUCAAAAAUUCUGUUUUUGUCAUUUACCUACUCGAGGACGAGUAGGAAUUAAGCUUGGAGAUGCUUGAUACGUCUCCAACAAAUCUAUAAAUUUUUAUUGGCCAUGUUAUUAUAUUAUCUGUUUUGGAUGUUUAAUGGGCUUUAUUAUGCACUUUAUAUUAUUUUUGGGACUAACCUACUAACCGGAGGCCAGUGCAAAUUGCUAUUUUUUGCCUAUUUCAGUGUUUCGCAGAAAAGGAAUAUCAAACGGAAUGAAAAAUUCGGGAGAGUUAUUUUUGGAACAAACGUGAUCCAGGAAACUUGGAGUGGACGUCAAGGAAGCAACAAGGCAGCCACGAGAUAGGGAGGCGCGCCCAAGAGGGUAGGCACGCCCCCCACCCUCGUGGGCCCCUCGUGGAUCCACCGACCUAGUUCUUCGCCUAUAUAUACUCAUAUACCCUGAAAACAUCUGAGAGCACCACGAAACCCUAUUUCCACCGCCGCAACCUUCUGUACCCAUGAGAUCCCAUCUUGGGGCCUUUUCCGGCACUCCACCGGAGGGGGAAUCAAUCACGGAGGGCUUCUACAUCAACACCAUAGCCUCUUCGAUGACGUGUGAGUAGUUUACCACAAACCUUCGGGUCCAUAGUUAUUAGCUAGAUGGCUUCUUCUCUCUCUUUGGAUCUCAAUACAAAGUUCUCCUCGAUUCUCUUGGAGAUCUAUUCGAUGUAAUUCUUUUUGCGGUGUGUUUGUCAAGAUCCAAUGAAUUGUGGGUUUAUGAUCAAGAUUAUCUAUGAACAAUAUUUGGUUCUUCUCUGAAUUCUUAUAUGUAUGAUUUGAUAUCUUUGCAAGUCUCUUCGAAUUAUCAGUUUGGUUUGGCCUACUAGAUUGACCUUUCUUGCAAUGGGAGAAGUGCUUAGCUUUGGGUUCAAUCUUGCGGUGUCCUUUCCCAGUGACAGCAGGGGCAGCAAGGCACGUAUUGUAUUGUUGCCAUCGAGGAUAAAAAGAUGGGGUUUAUAUCAUAUUGCUUGAGUUGAUCCCUCUACAUCAUGUCAUCUUGCCUAAUGUGUUACUCCGUUCUUAUGAACUUAAUACUCUAGAUGCAUGCUGGAUAGCGGUCGAUGUGUGGAGUAAUAGUAGUAGAUGCAGAAUCGUUUCGGUCUACUUGUCGCCGAUGUGAUGCCUAUAUACAUGAUCAUGCCUAGAUAUUCUCAUAACUAUGCGCUUUUCUAUGAAUUGCUCGACAGUAAUUUGUUCACCCACCAUAGAUUAUGCUAUCUUGAGAGAAGCCACUAGUGAAACCUAUGGCCCCCGGGUCUAUUUUCCAUCAUAUAAGUUUCCGAUCUAUUUUAUUUUGCAAUCUUUACUUUCCAAACUAUAUCAUAAAAAUACCAAAAUAUUUAUCUUAGUAUCUCUAUCAGAUCUCACUUUUGCAAGUGGUCGUGAAGGGAUUGACAACCCCUUUAUCGCGUUGGUUGCAAGGUUCUUAUUUGUUUGUGCAUGUACAAGGCGACUUGUGUGUAACCUCCUACUGGAUUGAUACCUUGGUUCUCAAAAACUGAGGGAAAUACUUACGCUACUUUGCUGCAUCACCCUUUCCUCUUCAAGGGAAAACCAACGCAUGCUCAAGAGGUAGCAAUUAUAUUCAUCAAAAUCAUCAUGUGCAACGGUAAAAGGCAACCCAUCAAUAUAAUCCUUAAUAAAAACAAACUUCUCCGAUAUAGUGUAGUUUUGAGAAUUCAAAAAGAUAAUAGGACUAUCAUGUGUGGGUGCAAUAGCAACAAUUUCAUUCUUGACAUAAGGAACUAUAGCAAGUUCAUCUCCAUAAGCAUAAUUCAUAUUGGCAUCAUGGCCACAAGCAUAGCAAGCAUCAAGUUCAUCAAAAAGGGAUAUUUCAAAAGAAUCAACGGGAUCAUAGCAUUUAUCAUAGCAUUCAUCCUUCGGUAAGAACGAAGGGACAUUAAAUAAUGUAUGAGUUGAAGAGUUACUCUCAUUAGAAGGUGGGCACGGGUGAUCAAUCCGCUCUUCCUCCUUUUGUUCUUCGCUCUCCUCCUCAUCUUUUUCAUCCAAUGGCACUACUAGGAAAAAGGCUACUAGUAGCGUGGGUAAAUUAGCUACUAGUAGCGCGGGGUACCCGCGCUACUAGUAUCGCACUACAACUAAAUGGUUAGUUGUAGCAUGGGUGCACCCGCGCUACUACUAAUCAUUUAGUAGUAGCGCAGGUGCACCCGCGCUACUACUAACCUAACACCCACGCUACUACUAACCUAACUACUAGUAGCGCUCACUUUUACCCCACGCUACUACUAACAAUUUAGGAAUUAAAAAAAUAAAAGUUAUAUGUAGUAUUCAUGAAUGGUAAUACGUCCACUGCAAACCAAACCAAUGUCACAAGAACCAUCUCAAGAUUCCAUUUAACAUCACACACACAACCAUCAUCGAAGUACCUCCCCUAGUGGUCCACCACCAACCUAAACAGAUCACUUCUCUAGAUGUAUCUACCAAGGCUCGGAGUUCAGACGCCAAUGUACCUGAAUCCUCCCUCCCCCGGACGGUGGCGUCAAGGACCUCCACCUCGGAGACCUCCGGUGUCAAAAUCACCUGGACGAGCAUCUGUUCGACGUGGCCACCGGGCUUCACGGCAAAGUCCGCCUCCAAGUGGUUGAAGAGCACAAUGCCCACCGGGCCGCGCUAGUCAGCGUUGAUCACCCAUGCGCCCACGUCGGGAAAGUGAAAACUUGUUAGUACGCAAAUUGCAUCAGUUAAACUAAAUAGUAUAUUACAAUUCACAAGACCCAUUAAGUUAAGAUUCCUUCUGAUCUAGCAAUUUAAAGGGGCUCAUGCCGAAAAUAUAUGCUUAAUUCCUCACUGCCUAUUCAAACUAAAUAUAUAGAUUUGACAAGUACAUAGAAAAACAUAAAGUCCAAAAAACACAAAAAUGUAUAUGUGAACUAAAUUACUUUGUGUGUUAGCAGAUUUCUUGUUAGGUUAUUCGCUAUAUAUAGUACCACAUCAUGCAGGGUGUUGUGUUUACUUCGCGCCACAAUGUUUGGCACGAAGUUCAGUCUUUGCAGACAAAUAGAAUACAUUGCUGGGCGGGACAAGGCAAAGAAAAACACAUAAAUUUGUAGUCACUAAAUCAUUAGCAUUAAUCCGCGGGGGUCAUGUGUCAACUGACUUCAAAUAUGUUCUUGCAAGCUACAAAGAUGUUCAGAAUUACUUGCAAUCUGGUUUUUGCAAGCUACAAAGAUGUUCAGAAUUACUACUUAUCUAGUAGUACUAAUGUUGAAAACAGAUUAUGAAGUAGUCCAUACUCUACAUACAUGUAUGUGAUGAGCAUUGAAGCAUUCACUCUCCCAGGCUGUUUAGGAUCAUCAACCUGGUGUAUGCCAUCCGGCAACAGAGGAAGUGCAUCCUAUAUAAGGCACCCAACAAAAAGCUAAGUGACGGCUACUGCUUUCUCAGGCAGGCUGUACAAACUUAACAAAAAUGGAAGUUCACUAGCACUAUAGAGUCCAGUAUAUCCAGUUGCUAGGGCAAGUACUAAGGUCUAAGAAUGAUAUGCUACUAAAUGAUUGAUUUUGCUGUUGCUCAUGGACAUAGACAGGAGCAACACAUGGCAGGGCCAUGAACCUAUGCAAAGCAUCAAUUGUUUUCAGCUCCAUGGCAACAUGUCCAGUGGAUAUCAAGAUACUACCCAUGUGCACAACUGAAUAGGCUACAGCUUCCUCAAAAAACAAGUAAAUAAGAGCAUCAUGGUUUCCUCACCCGAAUACAGUGACCCAGUCGCCAUCUGACUUCCCUUCGAUGGCCGGAGCCACCGGCUCCGUCCUGGCAGCCUCCGUCGUCGGGGUCACAGAGAAUAGAAUGGUCCAUAGCUCUGCAGGAACAUCCAACAUAUAUCUGAUAGAAUUACAUAUGAAGAAAGCAUCACUCCUGACAAUUUCAUCAAGAGAAGGGAAGUUAGCUAACUUUGUAACAUCCCAAAUUUUCAAUUUGGUAUGUUAUACAUAGAUCAUCAUUGCAUAUCAUGUUUUAUUGCAUUUUGACAAAUCCUCAAUAAAUCCUAAGCAACUCAAGGACCCUCGGAGAGAGUUGGGGAUUUUCUCGAAUUUUCAUCUUUGAUUUUCAUCAAAUAAUAAGACGAGGAUUUUGGUUUUAAUUAUUUUCUCUUCGGAAAAAUAUUUCAUUCUAAAAAUAAACGAGAGGAGAAAACAUGACUUCUCCAAAAAAAUUGAAAUACUGGAGGAAAAGGUUAAAAUCAUUUAUUGAAUUUAUUUGGAUUUUAUUUGCAAUUUUUAUUGCUUUAAAAAUAUUGCAUGUUUUCAAAAUAUUUAUUUUGAUUUAAAAAAAAUGUUCACCCUAUUAUAGAUUUUCUAACUAGACGGGGAAAAUUUAUUUCAUAUUUUUCUGAUUUAUAUUUAUUUUUCUACGAAUUGUUUUCCGCGGAACUUAUUUUAAAAAAAAAACUGCGCGCGCCCGACCGGGCCGCAGCCCAGCCAGGCCGCCGGCCCACCCCGCGCCCCUCUCCUCCUCGCGCACGAGACGCCGCCGCCGCCNNNNNNNNNNNNNNNNNNNNNNNNNNNNNNNNNNNNNNNNNNNNNNNNNNNNNNNNNNNNNNNNNNNNNNNNNNNNNNNNNNNNNNNNNNNNNNNNNNNNNNNNNNNNNNNNNNNNNNNNNNNNNNNNNNNNNNNNNNNNNNNNNNNNNNNNNNNNNNNNNNNNNNNNNNNNNNNNNNNNNNNNNNNNNNNNNNNNNNNNNNNNNNNNNNNNNNNNNNNNNNNNNNNNNNNNNNNNNNNNNNNNNNNNNNNNNNNNNNNNNNNNNNNNNNNNNNNNNNNNNNNNNNNNNNNNNNNNNNNNNNNNNNNNNNNNNNNNNNNNNNNNNNNNNNNNNNNNNNNNNNNNNNNNNNNNNNNNNNNNNNNNNNNNNNNNNNNNNNNNNNNNNNNNNNNNNNNNNNNNNNNNNNNNNNNNNNNNNNNNNNNNNNNNNNNNNNNNNNNNNNNNNNNNNNNNNNNNNNNNNNNNNNNNNNNNNNNNNNNNNNNNNNNNNNNNNNNNNNNNNNNNNNNNNNNNNNNNNNNNNNNNNNNNNNNNNNNNNNNNNNNNNNNNNNNNNNNNNNNNNNNNNNNNNNNNNNNNNNNNNNNNNNNNNNNNNNNNNNNNNNNNNNNNNNNNNNNNNNNNNNNNNNNNNNNNNNNNNNNNNNNNNNNNNNNNNNNNNNNNNNNNNNNNNNNNNNNNNNNNNNNNNNNNNNNNNNNNNNNNNNNNNNNNNNNNNNNNNNNNNNNNNNNNNNNNNNNNNNNNNNNNNNNNNNNNNNNNNNNNNNNNNNNNNNNNNNNNNNNNNCGUUGCCGGUUUUCUUUUAAAAAAAAACCGUUCAUUUUAAAAAAAACCCUAGAUCGGUUUUUUUUCGGUUUUAUUAUUUUGCGAGCGUUCACCGAACCGUUCGUUUUAACGAACGCGUUCGUCGGUUUUUCUCUGUUAACGAACGUCCGUUAUUUAACCGUUCGUCCGUUUUUCUUUUUCGUCGGAUUUUUCUCGUUAUUUUCUCAGAUUCGAUUUCUGAUCGAAUCUUCGAUUCUGUUUAACUGCUCGCUCGUUUAUCGGAAUCAGGCGAUUCAAUCGCCUAGAGUUUUGUCUCGAAAUUCUCUUUCCGUUUAACCUACUCAAACAAGUUUUUGCAACAGUAAAAUUUGACCUAGAUCCAGAUUAGCAAACGAAGUUUCUUUCUUUCGCGGUUUGACUUUCGUUGCUUCUUUCGAGUUGAUUCUUUUUGCAAACCGGAGUUCUUAAGUUGAACUUUCUGGUUGGAUCUUUCAUUCGAGUUUUACCUGUGCAUUAGAAGAGUACUGAUUGUAUGCUUGUUUGUUUGCGAUAGAGUACCCGGAGUGUGCCGCUUGUUACUUCGACUCGUUAGGUUUUGCGGAUCAUCAGCAAGGCAAGUAACACUUUGAUCAUACCCCGUUCAUACCCAGUUUUACUGCAUUAGAUCUGUUAUCCUCAAACAUUGCAUGAUUAGGAUCUAAUUAAAUUGUGGGUAUUGGGAAGUAGUUGAGGUAGUACCUAUUACCUGUUUUCUUACCAAACCCUUGGGAGUUACUUCUACGUUGCUUUUAUUAUUGCCAUGCUAUGCUCGUAGACGUGGAUUUGGGUUUGAGUGAUAUUCACGACAGAUGUGAGAUGUUUAUUAAUGGUUCAACUUAAGGUGGCAACUAAAACUCACAUCUGGGUGGAUUGAGGCACCUGGAGAACCCAGUGUUGUUUGUAUGUAUAAGGUCCGCCACCCAGGCUCAAAGGGAUCAUAAGAUUAUUCAUGCUAGAAACUUCCGUGUGCAGCCACAAGCUAUUAUGGGCUCUAGCAUAGUUGAGUAGGUUACAAGAUCUCUUGAAGAGGUGGGCUAGCAGAUGUAGGGGAAAGUAGGUGUACCGGUCCAUCCAGAGUAAAGAGUGAUUGUUUCUGAAAGGCUGUGUCUCGGUCAUCCGUUUCUCAAACAUCAUGCAGUGCGAGAAUCAAGCGGAGGCGAUCGAGUCUUGUGGGGAAAAGUGCGCAAACCUCUGCAGAGUGUACAAACUAAUCAUGGUUAGCCGUGUCCCCGGUUAUGGACAACUUGAGUAUCUAGUACUUGGAUUAUCAUUUGAAUCUCAUCACCAUGUUACUUAUAAUUAAUUUUGUUGGGUUAAUGAUGACACUUAAUUGGGAUUGAGUUGGGGUACCUUCUCAAUGUUUCACAACCACCAUGAUAGUUAAAUAAAAUUUAUUCCUUUGAAGUAGGAUAAAAUUGGCUUUUUCGCAAAACUGUAACCAUAGAGCUUUCCACCAGCCAUAUAUGCAUAUAGUAUAGCAUUAUUAUUGUUCAUUGCUCUCUAUGUGUUACUUUGCAAGCAUAUUCUAUGUGCUGACCCGUUUUCGAGCUGCAACGUUUCAUGUUGCAGACUUUUCAGACGACGAGUAAGGUGCCUUAGGUCGUGGUCUUAUACUCAGUGAUGCCGCUGGAGUGAUGGACUCACUUAUCUUCCAAGUCUUCCGCUGUUAUCGUUAUUAGAUGGCCUUAAGCCAUGUCUAUCAUACUUAAUCUCUUCGGAGAUAUUCGAUGUAAUAAGUGUGUGAUUGCUACUCUGUUAUAAAUCCUCCAUUUGUACUGUGCGUGUCAGCAUUACUGAUCCAGGGAUGACACUGGUGCACAGCAGCACAGGCCAUUUGAGGUCUGGUCGCUACAAAGUUGGUAUCAGAGCACACGCUGACUGUAGGACACGACCACUAAGCUUAAGCCCUAGAAAGCCUCUCUCUUCUCAUUUCUGACCCCUCUCCUUUUUCUACUCCUUUAGGAAUGGCGAAUGCAAGGAGCAAGUUCAUGCAACCAGAUGAAGACACGCCGUUUGGUCGACACUUGAAGGAAGUCACCAAGUACUUGAACAUAGGAAUACCAAGCAUCACCGGAACCUACAACGCCACAUUACCUGAAGAAGAGAGCUGGAAGAUCCUAGUUCUCAUUCCAGGAAGGACGUUUGUACCAGUUACUGAACCCAUAAGAUUGGUUUUCGAAGCACCAACUUGGAGUUUAGGGAAGAGCAUGGCCGCACAUAUCGCCAUGGGACGCAUUGGAGAAGUCUACCACCAGGAGCUUAAUGAUACAAUUUAUCAGAUUUGUGGACGUCGAGACGCGCAAUGGGAGAUGAUCAGAACCAAGAAGGAUGGAUCAAUUGCAGCUUUCAUCCAGGAGCAGAACCAACAUAUUCGUCGCCAGGAGAACCAGAUGUGCACGGACAAGGAAGAACUAAAGAAGGCAUUAACGAAGAUCAAGGAGCUCCAAGAAGAACUCAAGGCUACACGCGAAGAUUAUUUGGAGGAAAUCAACGCACUAGUAGGGAAGAUUGACGACCUGGAGAAGAAGAUUGGAGCAUUCGUGGGAAAUCCAGUGCCAAAAGCAGAAGUCGAAGAAUGCGCUUGUCCGGAUAACUACAUCAUCAUCGACGACACCGACUCGGAACCAAGUGAAGAUGACUGGGUUGAUGAAGCUGGAGCAGACAUCAUGGAGUCUUCAACGGAUCAGAAUUUCUAGUAGACCACCAUAUCAGUAGUAGUUUUCCCCCAUUUAAUAGUAUAGUUCAAGCACUUUGUAACGCUAGUUAGAUCGAUUGUUUUGCCUUGUUUGAAUUGAUUGAGUGAUAUUGAUUGAAUUUGUCUCAUGAGCAUAUGGGUAGUGUUUUCUCUCUAGACCUCAUUCUAUUCUUAACUCUCAUCUUUUCUAAACCUAUCAGAUGCCUCCGAGAUGCGACACCGGAUUUGUUUUCCCGCCAGAGAUCACCCAGUUGAUUCAGCAACAGAAUGCCUUGAUGCAAGUGUUAGUGCAGAACCAAUGCAACAACAACAACAACAACCCACCGCCACCACCACCUGUUGAUCACUUAGCCCGUUUCUUAAGGCUAAACCCGCCGGUGUUUUCCAGUAGCACCGAGCCGAUUGUAGCAGAUGAUUGGCUCCGCAAAGUUGGAAGGGAGUUGACCACUGCAGGAUGCACAGAUGCGGAAAGAGUGUGUUUUGCCGCACAUCAGCUUGAUGGACCCGCAGCAUCAUGGUGGAAGAAUUAUACAGCCACGCACCCUAUUGACACUAUCACAUGGGACCAGUUUCAGCAAGCUUUCCGUACAGCUCAUGUUUCAGCAGGAGCUAUGGCUAUGAAGAAGCGUGAGUUUCGUAACCUACGCCAAGGAGGACGCACCGUAGGCCAGUAUGUGGAGGAUUUCAGUAAGUUAGCACGUUAUGCACCAGAUGACGUUGCUACAGAUGCUGCCAAGCAGGAGAAAUUUUUGGAAGGACUGAAUGAUGAACUGAGUAUGCAGUUGAUGGUAGCAACCUUCAACAACUACCAGGAGCUGGUAGAUAGAGCUCUCAUGAUUGAAGGGAAGCAACAGCAGAUUGACAACCGUAAGAGGAAGUAUGGACAAGGGAAGUACAAUUCUGGAGCCCAGCAGAAGCCACGAUUUACCCCGAAGCCGGGAGGACAGUUUCAGCAUACCCAUGGAGGAGGUAGUUCGCACAACCAAAAUGGCUCCAAGAAUGGUAAUGGGAAUGGAGGAGGAAACGGACAAAACCACACCAACCCAUCUACCCCAACCAAGAGAGAUCUAAGUCACAUUACUUGUUUCAAGUGCCAGAAGACGGGACAUUAUGCUACUGAUUGUCCCGAAGCCCAAAAUGGAAAUGGCAAUGGAAGCUCUGGGAAGAAGCCGAACCCGUUCAACAAAGGACAUGUGAACCACGUGAGUGUGGAGGAGGUUGAAGCCCAGCCUGAUGCAGUAAUAGGUAAGUUUUUGGUUAAGUCACUUACUGCAACCGUUCUUUUCGAUACUGGUGCAUCGCAUUCAUACAUAUCAAGGGGAUUCGUAAAUAAGUUUAAGAUGUCCACCCAAGUUCUCAAAACCCCUAUGUUAGUAACCUCGCCAGGAGCAGAGUAUAUGGCCACCCAAGGAUGUUUUCAGAUACCAUUGGCCAUUGGUAGGCAUGUUUUCCCCUCAGACCUCACUGUUUUGGAAUCGCAAGGUUUGGAUGUGAUUCUGGGAAUGGAUUGGCUAUCGUUGUAUGGAGGAAACAUCGAUUGUGCCAGCAAGACGAUUUUGCUUACCACCCCGGAAGGAAAAAGGAUCAAGUAUGUAUCCCGGCAUAUGCCGAAGAGGACUCAAGUGAAUUCCUUAUCAGGAGUUGUACAGGAGGAAGUACCAGUGGUGAAGGAUUUUCCGGAUGUAUUUCCAGAAGAGUUGCCAGGCAUGCCGCCAGAUAGAGACAUUGAGUUUUUGAUUGAACUUUUGCCAGGCACAGGGCCAAUAUCUAAGAGACCGUACAGGAUGCCCGCAAAGGAUUUGGAAGAAAUUAAGAAGCAGAUCAAGGAGUUACUAGAUAAAGGCUAUAUUCGCCCAAGUUCGUCACCUUGGGGAUCACCAGUACUUCUAGUGGAGAAGAAAGAUGGAUCACUGAGGAUGGUUGUUGAUUACCGAGGUUUGAAUGAAGUGACCAUCAAAAACAAGUACCCACUGCCGAUGAUCAAUGAUUUGUUUGACCGCUUACAAGGACCUAAAGUAUUUUCCAAGAUCGAUCUACGAUCAGGGUACCAUCAGUUAAAGAUUCGAGAGCAGGAAAUACCCAAGACGGCAUUUACCACCAGAUAUGGAUUGUAUGAGUAUACCGUUAUGUCAUUUGGUCUGACUAACGCACCUGCCUAUUUCAUGAACCUGAUGAACAAAGUGUUUAUGGAGUUUUUGGAUAAGUUCGUCGUGGUGUUCAUUGAUGAUAUUUUAAUCUUUUCCAAGGAUGAAGAAGAGCAUGAGGAGCAUUUACGAUUGGUACUUGAGAAGCUCAGAGAACAUCAAUUAUAUGCCAAGUUCAGCAAAUGUGAGUUUUGGUUGAAGGAAGUUGGAUUCCUUGGACAUGUUAUUUCUGGAGAAGGAAUAGCAGUAGACCCUGCCAAGGUUGACACAGUGACAAGUUGGGAAUCACCCACGACAGUUGGAGAAAUCCGGAGUUUUCUUGGACUUGCAGGAUACUAUCGGAGAUUUAUCGAAAAUUUCUCAAAGAUUGCUAAGCCCAUGACUGAGCUAUUGAAGAAGGACACCAAAUUCAAUUGGACUGAGGAAUGUGAAGCUAGUUUCCAAGAGCUGAAGAAACGAUUGGUUACAUCACCAGUGUUGAUUCUACCCGAUCAACGCAAGGACUAUGAAGUGUAUUGCGACGCUUCUCGUCGAGGACUUGGAGCAGUGCUUAUGCAGGAAGGAAGAGUUGUGUCGUAUGCUUCACGACAACUUAAACCCCAUGAGAAGAAUUAUGCUACGCAUGAUUUGGAAUUAGCAGCCGUGGUGCAUGCAUUGAAAACAUGGAGACAUUUUCUCAUCGGAAACCAUUGUGAGGUGUACACGGAUCACAAGAGUUUGAAGUACAUUUUCACGCAGAAGGAGUUAAAUCUCAGACAGAGGAGAUGGCUGGAGCUCAUCAAAGAUUAUGAUAUGAGAUUGCAUUAUCACCCAGGAAAGGCUAACGUAGUAGCAGACGCGUUGAGCCGCAAGAGUCAUGUCAACACCCUCAUGACAGGAGAAUUACCUCAGGAGUUAGCCGAGGACCUUCGCGAGCUAUCUUUGGAGAUGGUCCCUAGAGGCUAUUUAGCGACAUUGGAGAUUCAGACUACCUUGAUGGAAAGGAUCAGAGAAGCUCAAAAGACAGACAAGGAGAUUCAAGAGAUAAAGGAGAAGAUGAGCAAAGGAAAAGCCAAGGGAUUUCGAGAGGAUGAGCACGAUACCUUAUGGUUCGAGGACCGCGUAUAUGUGCCAAAUGAUCCGGAGAUCAGGAAGUUGAUUUUGCAAGAAGCCCAUGAUUCACCGUACUCGAUUCACCCAGGGAAUACCAAGAUGUAUUUGGAUUUGAAGAAUACUUUCUGGUGGACCGAAAUGAAGAAGGAUAUUGCGGAGUAUGUAGCAGUUUGUGAUGUAUGUCAGAGAGUGAAGGCAGAGCAUCAGAAGCCAGCAGGAUUGCUGCAACCAUUGCCGGUACCCGAAUGGAAGUGGGAUAAAAUAGGCAUGGAUUUUAUCACAGGAUUACCCAGGACUCGCUCAGGCUAUGACUCGAUAUGGGUUGUAGUCGACCGUUUGACGAAAGUGGCUCAUUUCAUUCCAGUGAAGACCACUUACACCAGUGCUAAGUUGGCAAAGAUAUACAUGACCAGGAUCGUAUGUUUGCAUGGAGUUCCGAGGACCAUUGUAUCAGACAGAGGAACCCAAUUUACCUCGAAGUUUUGGAAGCAGUUACAUGAAACAUUGGGAACCAGGCUGGAAUUUAGUACAGCUUUCCACCCACAGACAGAUGGACAGACCGAAAGAGUCAACCAGAUUUUGGAGGACAUGUUGAGAGCAUGUGCACUCGAUUAUGGAUCCAGCUGGGACGACAAUUUGCCAUAUGCGGAUUUUUCGUAUAACAACAGUUAUCAAACCAGUUUGAAGAUGGCCCCUUUCGAAGCCUUGUACGGAAGGAGGUGUAGAACACCGUUGUUAUGGGACGAAGUUGGAGACCGUCAGUUGUUUGGAUCAGAUUUGAUUAAGGAGUCUGAACAGAAAGUAAGGUUGAUUCGCGAUAGGCUCAAGGUAGCCCAGUCCAGGCAGAAGAGUUAUGCUGAUUCUAAACGAAAGGAGACCGUUCACGAAGUCGGAGACAGAGUGUAUCUUCGAGUAUCACCCCUUCGAGGAGUGAAGCGCUUUGGAGUUAAAGGAAAGUUAGCGCCCCGUUUUAUCAGACCAUACAGAGUGUUGGAACGUAUGGGAGAAGUUGCCUACAAGUUGGAAUUGCUCGAAGGAUUGUCUGGAGUACAUGAUGUAUUUCACGUUUCGUAGUUGAAGAAGUGCCACGCAGAGAUGGCAGAGAUACCACUGAGAGAUACUGUGCCACUGGAAGCAAUUCAGCUGGAAAGUGAUUUGACUUAUGAGGAGAAGCCACUUAAGAUUCUCGAGUAUGCCAGGCGAGUUACCCGCAGCAAGGUUAUCAAGUUUUGCAAAGUUCAGUGGAGUCACCACACAGAAGAUGAAGCCACCUGGGAGCGAGAGGAAGAUCUACGGAAAGACCACUCCCACCUGUUUUCUAGCCAACCCGAAUCUCGAGGGCGAGAUUCAUCUUAAGGGGGGUAGGUUUGUAACAUCCCAAAUUUUCAAUUUGGUAUGUUAUACAUAGAUCAUCAUUGCAUAUCAUGUUUUAUUGCAUUUUGACAAAUCCUCGAUAAAUCCUAAGCAACUCAAGGACCCUCGGAGAGAGUUGGGGAUUUUCUCGAAUUUUCAUAUUUGAUUUUCAUCAAAUAAUAAGACGAGGAUUUUGGUUUUAAUUAUUUUCUCUCCGGAAAAAUAUUUCAUUCUAAAAAUAAACGAGAGAAGAAAACAUGACUUCUCCAAAACAAUUGAAAUACUGGAGGAAAAGGUUAAAAUCAUUUAUUGAAUUUAUUUGGAUUUUAUUUGCAAUUUUUAUUGCAUUAAAAAUAUUGCAUGUUUUCAAAAUAUUUAUUUUGAUUUAAAACAAUGUUCACCCUAUUCUAGAUUUUCUAACUAGACGGGGAAAAUUUAUUUCAUAUUUUUCUGAUUUUUAUUUAUUUUUCUAAGAAUUGUUUUCCGCGGAACUUAUUUUAAAAAAAAACUGCGCGCGCCCGACCGGGCCGCAGCCCAGCCAGGCCGCCGGCCCACCCCGCGCCCCUCUCCUCCUCGCGCCCGAGACGCCGCCGCCGCCAUGNNNNNNNNNNNNNNNNNNNNNNNNNNNNNNNNNNNNNNNNNNNNNNNNNNNNNNNNNNNNNNNNNNNNNNNNNNNNNNNNNNNNNNNNNNNNNNNNNNNNNNNNNNNNNNNNNNNNNNNNNNNNNNNNNNNNNNNNNNNNNNNNNNNNNNNNNNNNNNNNNNNNNNNNNNNNNNNNNNNNNNNNNNNNNNNNNNNNNNNNNNNNNNNNNNNNNNNNNNNNNNNNNNNNNNNNNNNNNNNNNNNNNNNNNNNNNNNNNNNNNNNNNNNNNNNNNNNNNNNNNNNNNNNNNNNNNNNNNNNNNNNNNNNNNNNNNNNNNNNNNNNNNNNNNNNNNNNNNNNNNNNNNNNNNNNNNNNNNNNNNNNNNNNNNNNNNNNNNNNNNNNNNNNNNNNNNNNNNNNNNNNNNNNNNNNNNNNNNNNNNNNNNNNNNNNNNNNNNNNNNNNNNNNNNNNNNNNNNNNNNNNNNNNNNNNNNNNNNNNNNNNNNNNNNGCCCCUCGCCCCCGAGCCGCCCGAGCCCCGCAGCCCCGUCGCCGGAGCCUCGCCGGAGCCCGUCCCCGAGGUAGCCGCACCUCGCCGUUGCCGGUUUUCUUUUAAAAAAAACCGUUCGUUUUAAAAAAAACCCUAGAUUGGUUUUUUCGGUUUUAUUAUUUUGCGAGCGUUCACCGAACCGUUCGUUUUAACGAACGCGUUCGUCGGUUUUUCUCUGUUAACGAACGUCCGUUAUUUAACCGUUCGUCCGUUUUUCUUUUUCGUCGGAUUUUUCUCGUUAUUUUCUCAGAUUCGAUUUCUGAUCGAAUCUUCGAUUCUGUUUAACUUCUCGCUCGUUUAUCGGAAUCAGGCGAUUCAAUCGCCUAGAGUUUCGUCUCGAAAUUCUCUUUCCGUUUAACCUACUCAAACAAGUUUUUGCAAUAGUAAAAUUUGACCUAGAUCCAGAUUAGCAAACGAAGUUUCUUUCUUUCGCGGUUUGACUUUCGUUGCUUCUUUCGAGUUGAUUCUUUUUGCAAACCGGAGUUCUUAAGUUGAACUUUCUGGUUGGAUCUUUCAUUAGAGUUUUACCUGUGCAUUAGAAGAGUACUGAUUGUAUGCUUGUUUGUUUGCGAUAGAGUACCCGGAGUGUGCCGCUUGUUACUUCGACUCGUUAGGUUUUGCGGAUCAUCAGCAAGGCAAGUAACACUUUGAUCAUACCCCGUUCAUACCCAGUUUUACUGCAUUAGAUCUGUUAUCCUCAAACAUUGCAUGAUUAGGAUCUAAUUAAAUUGUGGGUAUUGGGAAGUAGUUGAGGUAGUACCUAUUACCUGUUUUUCUUACCAAACCCUUGGGAGUUACUUCUACGUUGCUUUUAUUAUUGCCAUGCUAUGCUCGUAGAGGUGGAUUUGGGUUUGAGUGAUAUUCACGACAGAUGUGAGAUGUUUAUUAAUGGUUCAACUUAAGGUGGCAACUAAAACUCACAUCUGGGUGGAUUGAGGCACCUGGAGAACCCAGUGUUGUCUGUAUGUAUAAGGUCCGCCACCCAAGCUCAAAGGGAUCAUAAGAUUAUUCAUGCUAGAAACUUCCGUGUGCAGCCACAAGCUAUUAUGGGCUCUAGCAUAGUUGAGUAGGUUACAAGAUCUCUUGAAGAGGUGGGAUAGCAGAUGUAGGGUAAAGUAGGUGUACCGGUCCAUCCAGAGUAAAGAGUGAUUGUUUCUGAAAGGCUGUGUCUCGGUCAUCCGUUUCUCAAACAUCAUGCAGUGCGAGAAUCAAGCGGAGGCGAUCGAGUCUUGUGGGGAAAAGUGCGCAAACCUUUGCAGUGUACAAACUAAUCAUGGUUAGCCGUGUCCCCGGUUAUGGACAACUUGAGUAUCUAGUACUUGGGUUAUCAUUUGAAUCUCAUCACCAUGUUACUUAUAAUUAAUUUUGUUGGGUUAAUGAUGACACUUAAUUGGGAUUGAGUUGGGGGUACCUUCUCAAUGUUUCACAACCACCAUGAUAGUUAAAUAAGAUUUAUUCCUUUGAAGUAGGAUAAAAUUGGCUUUUUCGCAAAACUGUAACCAUAGAGCUUUCCACCAGCCAUAUAUGCAUAUAGUAUAGCAUUAUUAUUGUACAUUGCUCUCUAUGUGUUACUUUGCCAGCAUAUUCUAUGUGCUGACCCGUUUUCGGGCUGCAACGUUUCAUGUUGCAGACUUUUCAGACGACGAGUAAGGUGCCUUAGGUCGUGGUCUUAUACUCAGUGAUGCCGCUGGAGUGAUGGACUCACUUAUCUUCCAAGUCUUCCACUGUUAUCGUUAUUAGAUGGCCUUAAGCCAUGUCUAUCAUACUUAAUCUCUUCGGAGAUAUUCGAUGUAAUAAGUGUGUGAUUGCUACUCUGUUAUAAAUCCUCCAUUUGUACUGUGCGUGUCAGCAUUACUGAUCCAGGGAUGACACUGGUGCACAGCAGCACAGGCCAUUUGAGGUCUGGUCGCUACAAACUUAUAGGGGAAAGAAAACAUGACGAGUGAACUAUGUAAUUUAAAUAGCACGAAGCAAACAACUAUAAAAUGACGAGUGAACUAUGAUCCAAUACUAUGUAGAAUAUUAAAAUGAAGGUGGAUUUUUCAUAUUCGAGUUUUUCUUAGUAGUAAGUUGAAAAAUAAAUGAAUAUAUACAUAUGGUGGAUUUUCACAUGCAACCUGUGGUAGUUUCAGUUUGUGUUGGCUUCAAUUGUCACUCCAAACCUCUAUUUCUCUUGUGGGCAACUCAAAAUUGUUCACAAUCCAUUAUCUGCAACAAAUAAAAUGGACUGGACUGAGUUAAAAUAAACACAUUACAUGAACUUGUUCAUCCCAGACUAAGCAAACUGUACUUGUUAGUGUUAGUUUUCUCAGAGAAUUUAGCGUUAGUUGGUCACCAUUUUGAUCCUUUUUAACUACAUAUAGUUAUAUAUUUGCACUACAUUAUAGUCAAUCAUUCGUUACCUGCAAGUAAAUAUAUGACCUUUGCAUUGUUGAAUUACAGGACACCUACGAGAAUGUGGUUCAGAAUCAUAGUAAUUUAAAGAAGGAGGUGCGGUCACUAAAGGUACACUCAUGUUCUGACCCACACCCACCUCCUCUAUUCCACCACUCUUCAGCUUCUCUGCCAACAGAAAUUGCUCCUGUGGAGUCAAAAUGGAACACAACAAUUUAGUCCAGGAACACAGAUAGCCUAGGACAGAGUUCAGUGAUCCUAUUCAGAGUAUGCAAGAGGGGCUCUGCUACGGUGCUACCUACCUUCAAAGACAAGAAGGAUCUAGAAAUAGAAGCCAUCUGCUCCUCCAGCUUAUCAUUCUUUUCAACUACAAAAUCAUACUUAUCCUGAAAAAGAACCCAGCUAGCUCAUCUUAGUUACUAGUGUCAGAAUGUACUACAGAGUAGAAUAAGCAGAGAACAUGUUGGCUAAAUCAAGACAUUCUUAAGAACCCUCAUGGCCUAGUUAGAUAGAUAUCACAAUGCAAUAGUGGUGUGAAAAUUCAGUUAGCAACAUGAGUGUAGUCCUCUCCUACCUCACCUCACCUCACCGGCUGCCUCACGCAACAAGUUAGCAACGCUGCUGUGUGUGUGCGCCUGCGUCUGUGCACUGCAAGGAAACCAAAGCAGGCUGCGCGUGAGGGAGGGAAGGGAAAGGGAAGCAGAUCGAGAGAGUACCUUGGCGGCCAUGGCGUCGUCGGCCGAGCGGAGCGGAAGCAGACGGACGGACGAAGGUCGUGUCCAGGUGCGCGAGCUCGCGAUUGGGGAGAUGCAGCCGACGCCAUGGAGGUGGAGCUCCAGGUCCUAGCCCUCGGCCAUGGAUGUGGAGCUUCAGGUCCAAGCCCUCGGCUAUGGACAUGGAGCUCUAGUUCCAAGCCCUUGACGGAUCUGGGAUUGGGAGCCACCGCCUGGCCUAUUCUCUUCUCGUCGUCUUCUGGUGAGGGGAGGGGCGAGGGUGGCGGUGGCGGUGGCGGAGGUCGCGAGGAGGCCUGGCCGGCCGGCUGCAGCGCUCGGGGCUUCACACACUCGUGGAUUGGGAGAGGAGACGAGGUGUAAGGAGGCCGGAAGUGGAGGGGAUCUGGAUUGGGGCUUGGGUGGAUUUUUUUUGAGAUAAACGUGGGCGGGUGGACGGUGGAGUGGGACGGUUGGUGGGUUGGGGUGGGGGUGGGAGUAUAGUAGUAGCGCGGGAGCCUCACCUACGCUACAACUAUCCACAUAGUAGUAGCGCCGGUUUUAUAAUCCGCGCUACUACUAUGGUCUGUUCACAGGGCACGGUUGAAGAUAUUUACUAGUAGCGUGUUUUUUCUGGCCACGCGCUACCAAUAAAUAUUAAUAGUAGCGCGGUCAAUAUAGCACGCUACUAGUAAGUAGCAGUAGCGCGGGGCAAUAUAGCGCGCUACUAGUAAGCGUCUGUCUAUAAGCUUUUCCCUAGUAGUGUGGGCUCACAAUAUCAUCAAUCUCUUCUUCCAUAGACUCCUGCAAAAUAUUAGUCUCUUCCAAGGCAACAUACAUUCUCUCCAUAAAUACAUCAAUAUCGUAAUUGCAUUUAUAAUUAUCAUGGCAAUAUUUAAGGAUAGCAAAAUUUUCACGUCUAUAAACUGAAUCAUCAAAAUCUUCAGACUUAUCAAACAAAGAUUCAAUUUCAUAAGCACCCUUAAAAGCAACAAAUUCUUCUAUUCGUUCCACAUCAUAGUAAUCAUAUAUACCUCUAGCAUAAGAAGCCAAGGUUUCAUUAUCAUUAUAUUUGCAUGAAAAGGAAGGUGUGGAGCAUUCAUCCUAGAGCAACAAGUAAAAUCAUAUCUCAAGCAUAAAUCCUGAGCAUACUAAUGCAACAUAUAAAUUUGAUCCCAUAAAAGUUUCCAUUUUUGUGUCAAGCGAUAAUCCCUAAAGUAUUCAUAUUGAUCCAACGUUACUCCCAUUAUAUAGUUGAAUGGGGUUUUCUCAGGAUUAUCAAAGUAGUGCAUAACAUCUUUCACAUAACGAGCAUCGAGGGUUUCAGGAGGUUCCCCAUCUCCAUGAGUAGCAAGUACCUCUAAUUUUUUUGGUGAUUCGUGUUCCAUAUCCAUAACAAAAGAUAGAGAACAACUUAGAACAGGAAAUAAAACCUACUUAGUGAUAAAGCAAACAAGCACACACGAGAAUAUUCACCCCACGCUAUUGCUCCCUGGCAACGGCGCCAGAAAAAGGUCUUGAUAACCCGCAAGUAUAGGGGAUCAUUUGUAGCCUUCUUCGAUAAAUAAGAGUGUCGAACCCAACGAGGAGCUAAAGGCAGAACAAAUAUUCCCUCAAGUUGUAUCGACCACCGAUACAACUCUACGCACACUUGACGUUUGCUUUACCUAAAACAAGUAUGGAACUAUUUUGCAAGAAUAGAACUACGAGUACUUUGCGAGAAUAAAACUAUGAAUAAAUUGCAAGGUAAUAAAAGUGGAUAGCUUUUGUCAACAAGAAAGUCAUUUGUCCCUAGGCAAUCGAUAACAAGUACCGGUAAUCAUUCUUGUAAUUUUAUAUGAGGGAGAGACAUGAGCUAACAUACUUUCUCUACUUGGAUCAUAUGCACUUAUGAUUGGACCCCUAGCAAGCAUCCGCAACUACUAAAGAUCAUUAAGGUCAUGAAACCCAACCAUAGCAUGAAGUAUCAAGUCCUCUUUACUCCCAUACGUCAUAACCCACUUAUCCGCGUUUAGGCUGUUGUCACCCCCGCAACACUGACAAUAAGCAAACCAUGAACGCAUUGCAACACCCUACAGCGGGGGCCCCUCACAUUUGCGUGAGACGAAGGGCACCGUAGGACAACACCAUAAAUAAAAUAUACAAUCAUACCAACCAAGAUCACGAUUAACCCAUAGGACAAAACGGAUCUACUCAAACAUCAUAGGAUAGCCAAAUAUCAUUGGGAAAUAAUAUAUGGAGUUGAGCAUCAUGUUUAAGUAGAGAUUACAGCGGGGGAAAGAGGUGUUAGACCGCUGCAUAGAGGGGGAGAAAGUUGGUGUUGACGGUAGCAAGGUUGUUGAUGUAGAUCGCCGUCACGAUCCUAGCCCCGGCGGCACUCCGGCGCCACCGGGAGAGAGGGGGAGAGAGCCCCCUCCUUCUUCUUAUUCCUUGGCCUCCCCCCUAGAUGGGAGGAGAGUUCCCCCUCUGGUCCAUGGUCGCCAUGGUGGCGGAGGGGCGGCAGCCCCUCCGAGAUUGGAUCUCCCUCUCUGUACUCUUCUGUUUCGCGCUCUCCUGAUCUGGCCGAAAACUGUUACUUAUAUUCCGGGAGAUCCAUAACGCCGAUUGCACUGAGAUUUUAGCACGAUUUUUUCCGGAUAUAAGCUUCCUUACGCCCGAAGUAGAGCUCCAACCGACGUACGAGGUGAGCACAACCCACCACCGCGAGGCUGGCUCCCCUGGCGUGCCCUAUUGUCUUGUGGGCUGUGUGGGCCUCCGUUUGCGGUGAUUCCAACUCCCAAAAAUCACAUAUUUUCCAAAAUAAUUCUCCAAAAAAAUUUAUUGCAUUUGGACUUCGUUUGAUAUGGAUUUUCUGCGAUACAAAAACAUGCAACAAACAGGAACUGGCACUGGGCACUAGAUCAAUAGGUUAGUCCAAUAAAUCAUAUAAAAAGUUGCCAAAAGUAUGUGAAAGUUGUAUAAUAUUGGCAUGAAACAAUCAAAAAUUAUAGAUAUGACAGAGACGUAUCAAUAGUAUUUCUGAUGAGCAGUUAGCUGCAAUAAAUGUUUCUAAUAACACUCCUUGGUAUGUUGAUUGUGCUAAUUACGUUGUUGCUAAAUAUUUACCACCUAACUUUACAUACCAACAAAAGAAAAAUUCUUCUAUGAUUUAAGACACUACUUUUGGGAUGACCCACAUCUUUAUAAUGAAGGAGUAGAUGGUAUUAUUAGACAUUGUGUACCUGAGCAUGAACAGGGACAAAUCCUACGGAAAUGUCACUCCGAAGCUUAUGGAGGGCAUCAUGUUGGAGACAGAACUGCUCACAAGAUAUUGCAAUCUGGAUUUUAUUAGCCUACUCUCCUCAAGGAUGCCCGUAAGUUCGUCUUAUCUUGUGAUGAAUGCCAAAGAAUAGGUAAUAUCAGUAAGCAUCAAGAAAUGCCUAUGAAUUAUUCACUUGUUGUUGAACCAUUUGAUGUUUGGGGAUUUGAUUACAUGGGACUUUUUCCUUCCUCUAAUGGGUAUACACAUAUUUUGGUUGCUGUUGAUUAUGUUGCUAAAUGGGUAGAAGCUAUUCCAACCAGUAGUGUUGAUCACAACACCUAUAUUAAAAUGCUUCAGGAAGUUAUUUUUCCUAGGUUUGGAGUCCCUAGAUAUUUAUUGACUGAUGGUGGUUCACACUUUAUUCAUGGUGCUUUCCGCAAAAUGCUUGCCAAGUAUGAUGUUAACCAUUUGCAUCACCUUAUCAUCCUCAGUCUAGUGGUCAAGUUGAACUUAGCAAUAGAGAAAUAAAAUUAACUUUGCAAAAUAUGUUAAUAGGUCCUGGAAGAAUUGGCCUAAGAAAUUAGAUGAUGCACUUUGGGCUUAUAGAACAGCAUAUAAAAAUCCUAUGGGUAUGUCUCCUUAUAAAAUGUUUUAUGGAAAGGCUUGUCAUUUACCUCUUGAGUUAGAACAUAAAGCAUAUUGGGCAAUUAAAGAACUCAACUAUGAUUUUAAACUUGCCGAUGAAAAGAGGUUAUUUGAUAUUAGCAAAUUAGAUGAAUGGAGAACCCAAGCUUAUGAAAAUGCCAAAUUAUUUACAGAAAAAGUUAAAAGAUGGUAUGAUAAAAGAAUUCAAAAGCAUGAGUUUAAAGUCGGAGAAUAUGUUCUUUUGUACAACUCUCGUUUGAGGUUCUUUGCAGGAAAACUCCUCUCCAAAUGGGAAGGACCCUAUCUUAUCGAGGAGGUCCAUCGGUCUGGGGCCAUCAAAAUAAAUAAUGCCGAAGUGACUAACCCGAAGGUUGUUAAUGGGCAAUGAAUAAAACAUUAUUUCUCAGGUAUGCCCAUUAAUGUUGAAAGCAAUAUUAUCCAAACUUUGACACCGGAAGAACACAUAAAAGAGUCCUUCCGGAACACACCAGAAUCGUGAAAAUAAGGAGGUACGUGAUACGGUAAGUAAACGGACUCCGAAAAAUCCGCAAAAAUAUUUUUUGUUAGUUUUGGAAUAUUUAGAAAAUUAGGAAAAUAAGAAACUUCCAGGAAGCGUACCCUGGUGGGCACAAGACACCAGGGCGCGCCUGGCUGGUGGGUUGUGCCCACCUGGGGCACCUUCCGGACUCCAUUUUCUUUCGUUUGCUUGUUUCCAAGAUAAAAAAUCUUUAUAUACCUCCCAAACCUAUUGACCACCGUAUCGCGGAGAAAUCUUCUGUUCUCUUUUCUUGCUAUUUUUUGUCAAAUCUGUUAAGCCAAGCAUCAUGUCUUUCCCCUCUUCCAACAAUGGAGAAGACGAUGCAGGGUUAAUGCAGGAGGAGCUAGAGGGCGAGGAAGUUCAGGAAGUUACCAUGGAGGAAGAUGAAGGGGAUUCACUACAAAAAAAAUACACUUCCGUGAUGAUACGUGUUUGUCACAGUAGGUCACGUUUUCUGUCAUGCAUGUACAUCCAUGACAAAUUUAUGACAGAAUCAAGAUAGUCAUACCUGUGCUGUCGUAGAAGUGUUCCAUGACAUUACCAAAAUUAUCAUCACGGAAGUGUCCACUUCCAUGACGAUAAAUCGCGCGUCACAGAAGUGCUUUUGUCAAGGGUGACCGGCACAUGGCAUCCACCGUAACAGAACGCCGUUAAGCUAUCGGGUCCGGUUUUGGAUCCGAUAACCCGUUAAUAGCCCGGACCAAUGGGGAUUUUCCACGUGUAAAACCAUCAUUGGCCGGAGCAAACACGUGUUGCCUCACCGUUGGGACAUAUGUCAUCCACUCAUUGGACAGGAGGCGCCUAUGAUAGGUCGACACAUGGCACGGCCCAACAGUGGCCCAUUCCGGUGAUAAAGGCCAGCCCAUAUAAGGCCUACUUGUGUCAGGUCCAUUUAAGCCCACGGCCCAUACGAGAUGUGCCAAUUCGGCCCGUCAACGGCCCGUUACAGACUUGACACCAUUGCAGCCCAUCGUCAAUUCGAGCCCAUUAACAGCCCGCUAUAUAUAUGGGCUGAAUAUCGGCCCGAUGAGAUUUCGGCCUGUUAACGGCCCAUUCAGUGGAUGGGCCAAUUUUCAUGAUGUACAUCUUUUGGCCUUUUAGCGACCCAUUUAAAUGUUGGGCUAAUUUCCGGCCCGGUGUGUCUUUCAGCCUGUUGACGACCCAUAAAUCAGUUGGGCCAUUUGUAGUCGGACCUGAGUUUCUGCCUUUUAGCGACCCAUUUAAGUGUUGGGCCAAUUUCCGGCCCGGUGUGUCUUUCAGCCUGGUGACGGCCCAUAUAUCUGUUGGGCCAUUUGUAGUCGGACCUGAAUUUUGGCCUUUUAGCGACCCAUUUAAGUGUUGGGCCAAUUCCCGGCCCUGUGUGCCUUUCAGCCUGUUAACGGACCAUAAAUGAGUUGGGCCAUUUGUAGUCGGAGCUGAGUUUUGGCCUUUUAACGGCCCAUGCCCUUCAUGGUCCAAUACCAGCCCGGUUUCUCUUUCGGCCUGCUAAAGGCCCACAACACAGUUGGGCCAUUUACAAUACGACCCGACUUUCGGCCUCUUAGCGGCCCAUGCUCUUCAUGGUCCUGUACAAGCCCGAUGUCUCUUUCGGCCUGCUAAAGGCCCACAGUAUAGUUGGGCCAUAUGUACCCCGAACUUAGUAACGGCAUGUUAACGGCCCGUGAAAUCAAUUGGGCCCACCUGUUUCCCGCUUCGAUGUCAGCCUGUUAACGACCCGGGAGUUAAGAGGGCCGACCAUUAACUUUCGGCCUGGUAACGACCCAUGAACUUAAUGGGCCCACUAAAGUUCGUACAUGUCUUUAGGCCAAAUUAGAUAAUUUGAGCCCAUUACGACGAGCAAUUAUGCACAGGACCAAAACCGAUCAAGCAAAGGUACGGCAUACAGGGAAAAACAUUGCACAUCCAGCAUAUAUUAUAGGAAAUUACAUCCACUGGGCAAUCAAAGAUCAAUGCCAGUGCAAAUAAAUGAACAGAACCUAACGAUCUACAACGUCACAAUCUGCAACCUCAGCACGGAUGACGCCCAUAAGCAUGUGGGCAAGUUCUUGCUGCUAUGCUACACUGUCUCUGUAAACAUUGAUCAGUUGUUGUGUCGCAUGACUCUGCACCUCUGAUUCCUCCACCAUUCCCAUCAUUCCUUCAGCCAUUAAUUGGUUCACAAACAUACAUUUUUUCCUGUUGCAUUCGAGACAGAGGACACUGAACAGAUUCAGAUGGCGAUUUUGGUAGGCUUGUAUUAUUGAUAGUGGAGAGUGUCUCGACCACUGCAUCAUAACAUAAACUAGGAGGGGAACCAAACAGAUUAAUCAUGAGUUGUUGGCAUAUUACCUGGCCUAGAUUUAUUGGAAAGAAACAAUGGGGUUCCCUUGCUGUUUUCAGAGUUUGUCUUCUUAUCUUCAGCAGCCUGCACCAAAUUAAGACACUAGCAUUGCUACCAUUGGCCAAGUCAGAUAAUACGAAAGCAACAUUGGCACAACGAACGUUUGGGCAACUAGCCAACACCAAAUUAACACAAUAUGGCACAACUAUCAUCAGCCAGGUAAGGUAAUACGAAAGCAACAUUGACACAAUGAAUGAAUGGGCAACCGGAGCAACACUACAAUUUAGUAAUGUGCAUGAUAUGAGAUAGUACACUCAUGCAGCUCGGUAUGCAAAGCUACCAGGCAGUUUUCUUUACAAAAAUCAACAUUGGCGCCUUUAACAUUUUGCUACAACUAAUUUUAGAUCAGAUAAAGGUUGGAUUCACGCCGAUUAACAAAAUACAUGCUGAUGUAAAAAUAUAGUGAUAUACAACAGGUACUUACAUCAGCAUUGGAGCACAGAGAAUUCCCGCAAGAUAUUUUCCUCGGAUACAAUCCCAAUGAAGGAAGUCUUCUAUCAUUUAACCUUAUUUUCUAAAAGAGAGAUGGGUAAGAAACAUGUAGAAAAUAUGAUCAGAAUGCUAUAAAAUUUCAUGAUGCGAGGAUACGCACACGCUUCUUAGAAUGGAGUUGACAUUCUUUUGCUGGACUGGAGCGGACUAGUUCUUUGGCCACUGGAAUCUGCUUAUUAUCAGUGGGAGUUGGGUUUCUCUGUGCUGGAGCAGUAUCUAUGAAAAAUGGAGUUGGUUUAUUAUCUCUUGGCGUUUGGAUCUUUUGCAAAGACCUGGUUUGUUACCCUUCAGAUUCUAACAUAGUCGUCUUCCCCUUGCAUUCCUUAUAUAGAAGAAUGGUGCUUUAAUUAUAAAACAUGCUACAGCAGAGAUGGAAUAGGUACUGAAGAAUAGAAAGGCAUGACAUAUUGACAUGUAUUCCCUCCAUUCAGAAAUAAAUGGAUGGGUCUAGGCGUAUUUCAGUUCUAGAUACAUCCAGUUUUAUCCAUUUCUGUGACAUGUAAUCCGGACGGAGGGAGUAUGAUGUAAGAGCUAGGGAUACGACAGGAAAACACAGUAAAAAAACACUGAAACCCCACUGCAGAACCAAAGUAAUCAAACCCACUGAUAUGAGAUAGUACACUCAUGCAGCUCAGGAUGCAAAACUACCAGGAAGUUUUCCUUACAAAAAUCAACAUUAUGGCCUUUAAUCAUACAUUUUGCUACAACUAAAUUUAGAUCAGAUAAAGGUUGGAUUCACGCCAAUUAACAAAAUACAUGCUGAUGUAAAAAUAUAGUGAUAUACAACAGGUACUUACAUCUGCAUUGGAGUACAGAGAAUUCCUGCAAGAAUCUUUCCUCACAGACGAUACCAGUGCAGAAAUUCUUCUAUCUGUUAAGCUUAUUUUCUAAAAGAGAGAUGCGUAAGAAACAUGUAGAAAAUAUGACCAGCAUGCUAUAAAAUUUCAUGAUGCAAGGAUACGCACACGCUUCUUAGAACGGAGUUGACAUAUUUUUGCUGGACUGGAGCAGACUAGUUCUUUGGCCACCGGAAUCUGCUUAUUAUCAGUAGGAGUUGGGUUUGUUUGUGCUGGAGCAGUAUCUAUAAAAACUGGAGUUGGUUUAUUAUCUCCUGGCAUUUGGAUCUUUUGCAAAGACCUAGUUUGUAACCCUUCAGAUUCUAACAUAGUCGUCUUCCCCUUGCAUGCCUUGUAUAGAAGAAUGGUGCUUCAAUUAUAAAACAUGCUACAACAGAGAGAUGGAAUAGGUACUGAAGAAUAUAAAGGCAUGACAUAUUGACAUGUAUUCCCUCCAUCCAGAAAAAAAUGGAUGGGUCUAGGCGUAUUUCAGUUCUAGAUACAUCCUUUUUUAUCCAUUUCGGCAACAUGUAAUCCGGACGGAGGGAGUAUGGUGUAAGAGCUAGGGAUACGACAAGACAACACAGUAAAAAAACACUAGUUGAAUGUAAAACUGUAUGCUAGCGGAAUACGUACAGAAAAAACUAAGGCAACAUACACGUGUAUGAUUGGGAAACUAAGAUGGCAUUGCAACAGAGCACUAGAACAACACUUCAAUGUAAAAAAACAUGGUAUGGUAGACAGAUGAAGUACAUAUUGAUGAAUAACAAUGCAUAAGAUAUUCAGAAGCAUGAUGUCCAAAUUAAGCAGAUGGCAUUGCGAUAGAGUAGAAUGACAGUACUUGAAUUUGAAAACAUGUUAUCAUGAAUGGAAUAGGUACUGAAAAACAGGAAGGCAUGACAUAUUUACAUGCAUGAUCAGCAUGCUAAGCACAUGGCAUUGCAACAGAGUAGAUACACUCCAGGACAUUAUAUGCAUGUUGUACCCAUAUCACGGGCCAAGUUAGAGCAAGGACCUUAUGGGGUGAAGAGGAUUCAACAUCUUUCUGCAAGUCUUCAGAAGAACCGCCUUUACAUGUUCCAUCAUAUUGGGUAUCAUUGACAUCAAGUUUAUUGGCCUUUACAUUGCUCCGUGAGGUUCUUAUGGAUAUAUCAGUGUGUGCAAUUAUAUCUGACAUGCAUGGAAGACAACUAGUAGUUAGAUUUAUGUAAUGAGUGCCUGUAGGAGACAACAUAAAUAGUAGGACCGGGGUUAACUAGCAGCAACAGGUCUCAAAAACUAAAGGGAGAACACAGAUGAAAGCUACAGAAUAUGUAUCGUUUGUACUCGAGAUUAACUGGAUGGCACACAAAAGUAUUAAAGAACAACAUAGGUAAUACUAGAAGUGGUAUAAUACUAUAAUCACCAGCCUGUGGGAUAGCAUUGGCUGAUGGAUGAUAACUAUGGAACAGCGUUACCUAAAGAACAAGUAUCUUAGCUGAACUAUGGAACAACGUUAACUCCUGAACAAGACUCAUAAGAGAUCAGCAUGAAUAUACAGUGAAAUGUGAUAAUCUAUUUUCCAUGCUUAGAUGAAUAACAAAGCCAUAAAUGUUGCACACAAGUAAGAUGAGGGUACAACCUAUCUGGCUGCCAUCCAUAGGAGUGAGCAUCAUGUGCUGACUUGUCGAUGGCCCUGCAGUUGUUGUGGCUGUCCAUGUCGGGCACGCGCAUUCGAUGCAAGGAACUGUUGAGUGGGGACUAUAGAUCCCUUCUGGUGUAUGCUUCCCUUGUUGGAGCAGCUGCGGUGAGUCGGAAGACGGUGUGACUUGCGGCCCCGCACCCUUACAUUAGACACCAGCCAACCGGCAGCCUAGGAUCUCCGCCGCCUCGAGGGGUGCUGCUUCCCAUUGGGAAUCGAUUGGCCCAGAAUAAAAAUUCAGACAAUUGACGCCUAAAUAAAGUGAUUUGAGAUGAGGGUGUGACCUAUGUGGCGGCAUGGUGAAGUAGGCAGGUCCAGCUGCCGAGUCGGUGAGGCCGGCGCGGUUGCGGUGGCCACCGGCGGCAGGGAAACAACGAUGUCGCGAUGGUCGACAGCUACGGGGAAGCAGUGUCGGGACUCUGGACGGAUCCGAAGUUGGAGCCGCUCCGGCGCCGUGAACAGCGGCCGGGGUGAAUCGGCUCCGGUACGGUUCACGCGGCCGUCGUCGAGGCAGCUCCAGCAGCACGGAGUAAGAGGCACACGACCCAGUGCAUGACGGCAAAUGGACAGUGUCUCCGGCAUUAGGGAGGAGGGCAGCUGUGAAAUUGGUGUGGUGGGGGCGCCAUGGAGGAGGGGCUGAGGUUUCGCGGCUCGGGAGAAGGGAGCUUCUGGGGAGAAGGUGAUUUGGCGCCCACGAGGUAUGUAUGGGGGGGGAUUGGGAGGGGAGUGGAACCAUGUUUUAGGGACGCAUUUGUCUGAAAUGUGAGGGGGAGUUAUAGUUCUACCCCUACCUUUAGGCUUCUCGGCUUGGGUCUGUGUACUGAGGGUCGGGGAUAGUAGAGUAACUUUGCUUCUCCCCAAAUAGUGGGCGGGAGCUAUUUCGGGCGAGGAGGGCGUGUUUUGAAAUAUAGUGGGCGCGAGCGAUUUCGGGCGAGGAGAGCGUGUUUUGAAAUAGUGGGCGCGAGCUGUUUCGGGCGAGGAGAGCGUGUUUUGCCGACCAUGGUUUAUGAAUUAUUCGGCACAUGUCAUUAUGGCCGAGGAGAAGGCGCGCUUGGAUGAAGUUACGAACCUACCCUCGAUGUACAACGGGCCAAUUAAUGCGUCUCCCACAUAGGACGGUAAUUUCGUGUCUCCCAUUUAUUUGCUCGGGCGAAUUCCACCGAGCAGAGGAUGUUUAACAGUUUGUUCAAAAAUUGGGAGAACGAGCAACCACGUCUACCUUACCAAGUCGAUUCGAAUCAAAUUUUGAAAUAUUAGCUUGCCACUUCUUUUUUAGAUGGAGAGAUGAUGCUCGGGAGUAAUGUGUUUUUACAUGCUCGUUGCUAGCGAUUUACUAUAUGACAAAUAGUUGACCCACUCAAAAACGGGAAUUAAACCCAAAAUGAAAUAUCUCGAUUCAAUGAAAUAGGUCGUUCACCAGGUCAAAAUAGUGAACUAAAUCCAAGAUUGAACACCUCAAUCGAAUAGCAUGUUGUACAGUAUUAUAGUACUCCAUGAACAUGUUGAAAGUCAAAUUAAUGAACUUGUUUGAUAUACUCAUAUAUCCGUUCAUGUGUGGAUUGCAGACAACAUGUUCUCCAAUUUAAAUAUUUGAAUGCAAGUUUAUAUCGAAACAUGGUUUAUAUCAGUCUUUGAUGCAUAAAACGCGACCUCCCCCUCUCCCGGACUCCUGCUCUCUCUCUCUCUCUCUCUCUCUCUCUCUCUCUCUCUCUCUCUCGCCGACAAUCUUCAAUUCUGUCGCACGCAUCCAACACACAAACCUUGUUGGUCCCUCUUGCUUUCUCUCCAUCUCUCUCUCUCUCUUUGUGUGUGUGCGUGGGAGGGGGUCUUUCUAGUUCGCAUGCAUAUAUACUCCAUCUAUAGGUCUCUCUCGCACACUAUGUAUGAUUCUCUAGUCCAAGCUAGAUAUCUUGGGUGCACUCAUCGUACGCACACAAAUUCCACUGCUCGUUGCCCGUAACUCUCUCACGCACCACUCUGUCGUCUCUGAGCUCUUCCCCCUCUCUCUCAAACUCUCCAUCUACUUGGGUCACACAUACACAUGCAUAUCUCACUCGCACUCGGUAGGCCCAUCUAAAACUCUAUCUCUCUCCCUCGUUCUCUCUCCAUCUCACACGCACACACACAAUCUCAUGCCUAGAUAGCCAAGUAUGAUGGUCUCUCACUCAAUUGUAGGCACACGCAGUCCCCCCUAUAUGUAUAUGACUAGCUAAACUUAGUCUCCAUCACAAACAUGUGCAUGGUCUAUCUCGAUUUCUCUCGGGGCAUCUUUCUAUCGCGCACGCACCUCCCUCGAUCUCCCACCCAUAUAGUCCCCUCACGAUCUCGAGGGGGUCUCUCUAUCACAAACACACUCUCUCGCCCUUCCCAUGCGUCCAUGUUCUCCAUGUGUCCCUCUCGACCUUUGUUCCUUGUUGGCCAGACCUCUAUUGGACAUGUGCUAUAGGGGUGUCUCUCUCCGUUGCAAACAAUCACACACUAGCUAUCUUCGUGUAUCUCCUCGCCAGCUACCUCUUGAGCACUGCGUUGGUUUUCCCUUGAAGAGGAAAGGGUGAUGCAGCAAAGUAGCGUAAGUAUUUCCCUCAGUUUUUGAGAACCAAGGUAUCAAUCUAGUAGGAGGCUACACACGAGUCCCUCGCACCUACACAAACAAAUAAAUCCUCGCAACCAACGCGAUAAGGGGUUGUCAAUCCCUACACGGUCACUUACGAGAGUGAGAUCUGAUAGAUAUGAUAAGACAAUAUUUUUGGUAUUUUUAUGAUAAAGAUGCAAAGUAAAGAAAGUAAAAUAAAAACGGCGCCAGAAAUAGCUUGUUGUCGGAAGAUUAAUAUGAUUGAAAAUAGACCCGGGGGCCAUAGGUUUCACUAGUGGCUUCUCUCGAGAGCAUAAGUAUUUACGGUGGGUGAACAAAUUACUGUUGAGCAAUUGACAGAAUUGAGCAUAGUUAUGAGAAUAUCUAGGCAUGAUCAUGUAUAUAGGCAUCACGUCCGAAACAAGUAGACCGACUCCUGCCGGCAUCUACUACUAUUACUCCACACAUCGACCGCUAUCCAGCGUGCAUCUAGAGUAUUAAGUUCAUAAGAACAGAGUAACGCUUUAAGCAAGAUGACAUGAUGUAGAGGGAUAAACUCAUGAAAUAUGAUAUAAACCCCAUCUUGUUAUCCUCGAUGGCAACAAUACAAUACGUGCCUUGCUGCCCCUACUGUCACUGGGAAAGGACACCGCAAGAUUGAACCCAAAGCUAAGCACUUCUCCCAUUGCAAGAAAGAUCAAUCUAGUAGGCCAAACCAAACUGAUAAUUCAAAGAGACUUGCAAAGAUAACCAAUCAUACAUAAAAGAAUUCAGAAGAUUCAAAUAUUGUUCAUAGAUAAACUUGAUCAUAAACCCACAAUUCAUCGGUCUCAACAAAUACACCGCAAAAGAAGAUUACAUCGAAUAGAUCUCCACAAGAGAGGGGGAGAACAAUGUAUUGAGAUCCAAAAAGAGAGAGAAAGCCAUCUAGCUAAUAACUAUGGACCCAAAGGUCUGAGGUAAACUACUCACACUUCAUCAAAGAGGCUAUGGUGUUGAUGUAGAAGCCCUCCGUGAUCGAUGCCCCCUUCGGCGGAGCUCCGGAACAGGCCCCAAGAUGGGAUCUCACGGGUACAGAAGGUUGCGGCGGUGGAAUUAGGUUUUUGGCUCCAUAUCUGGUAGUUUGGGGGUACGUAGGUAUAUAUAGCAGGAAGGAGUACGUCAGUGGAGCAACGUGGGGCCCACGAGGGGUAGGCGCGCCCCCCUACCUCGUGGCUUCCUGGUAGCUUUCUUGACGUAGGGUCCAAGUCCUCUGGAUCAUGUUCGUUCCGAAAAUCACGUUCCCGAAGGUUUCAUUCCGUUUGGACUCCGUUUGAUAUUCUUUUUCUGCGAAACUCUGAAAUAGGCAAAAAACAGCAAUUCUGGGCUAGGCCUCCGGUUAAUAGGUUAGUCCCAAAAAUAAUAUAAAAGUGUAUAAUAAAGCCCAAUAAUGUCCAAAACAGAAGAUAAUAUAGCAUGGAGCAAUCAAAAAUUAUAGAUACGUUGGAGACGUAUCAAGCAUCCCCAAGCUUAAUUCCUGCUCGUCCUCGAGUAGGUAAAUGAUAAAAACAGAAUUUUUGAUGUGGAAUGCUAUUUGGCAUAAUUUCAAUGUAAUUCUUCUUAAUUGUGGUAUGAAUAUUCAGAUCCGAAAGAUUUAAGAUAAAAGUUCAAUAUUGACAGAAAAAUAAUAAUACUUCAAGCAUACUAACUAAGCAAGUAUGUCCUCUCAAAAUAACAUGGCCAAAGAAAGUUCAUCCCUACAAAAUCAUAUAGUUUAGUCAUGCUCCAUUUUCGUCACACAAGAAUGCUCUCAUCAUGCACAACCCCGAUGACAAGCCAAGCAAUUGUUUCAUACUUUAGUAAUCUCAAACUUUUUCAACCUUCACGCAAUACAUGAGCGUGAGCCAUGGACAUAGCACUAUGGGUGGAAUAGAAUAUGAUGAUGGGGGUUAUGUGGAGAAGACAAAAAAGGAGAAAGUCUCACAUCAACGAGGCUAAUCAAUGAGCUAUGGAGAUGCCCAUCGAUUGAUGUUAAUGCAAGGAGUAGGGAUUGCCAUGCAACAGAUGCACUAGAGCUAUAAAUAUAUGAAAUCUCAACAAAAGAAACUAAGUGGGUGUGCAUCCAACUUGCUUGCUCACGAAGACCUAGGGCACUUGAGGAGGCCCAUUGUUGGAAUAUACAAGCCAAGUUCUAUAAUGAAAAAUUCCCACUAGUAUAUGAAAGUGACAAAACAAGAGACUCUUUAUUAUGAAGAUCAUGGUGCUACUUUGAAGCACAAGUGUGGUAAAAGGAUAGUAACAUUGUCCCUUCUCUCUUUUUCUCUCAUUUUUUUUGGGCCUUCUCUUUUUAUUAUGGCCUUUCUCUUCUUUUUUAUUCCUCACUUGGGACAAUGCUCUAGAAAAUGAUGAUCAUCACACUUCUAUUUAUUUACAACUCAAUGAUUACAACUCGAUACUAGAACAAAGAAUGACUCUAUAUGAAUGCCUCCCGCGGUGUACCGGGAUAUGCAAUGAACCAAGAGUGACAUGUAUGAAAGAAUUAUGAACGGUGGCUUUGCCACAAAUACUAUGUCAACUACAUGAUCAUGCAAAGCAAUAUGAACGUGUCAUGAUAAAUGGAACGGUGGAAAGUUGCAUGGCAAUAUAUCUCGGAAUAGCUAUGGAAAUGCCAUAAUAGGUAGGUAUGGUGGCUGUUUUGAGGAAGAUAUAAGGAGGUUUAUGUGUGAAAGAGCGUAUCAUAUCACGGGGUUUGGAUGCACCGGCGAAGUUUGCACCAACUCUCAAUGUGAGAAAGGGCAAUGCACGGUACCGAAGAGGCUAGCAAUGGUGGAAAGGUGAGAGUGCGUAUAAUCCAUGGACUCAACAUUAGUCAUAAAGAACUCACAUACUUAUUGCAAAGAUCUACAAGUCAUCAAAAACCAAGCACUACGCGCAUGCUCCUAGGGGGAUAGAUUGGUAGGAAAAUAUCAUCGCUCGUCCCCAACCGCCACUCAUAAGGAGGACAAUCAAAGAACACCUCAUGUUUCAAAUUUGUUACAUAACGUUUACCAUACGUGCAUGCUAUGGGACUUGCAAACUUCAACACAAGUAUUUCUCAAAUUCACAACUACUCAACUGGCACAACUUUAAUAUCACUACCUCCAUGUCUCAAAACAAUCAUCAAGCAUCAAGCUUCUCUUAGUAUUCAACGCACUCAUAAGAAAGUUUUUACUAUUCUUGAAUACCUAGCACAUUAGGAUUUCUUAAGAAAAUUACCAUGCUAUUUAAGACUCUCAAAAUAAUCUAAGUGAAGCAUGAGAGAUCAAUAGUUUCAAAUCCACCACCGUGCUCUAAAAGAUAUAAGUGAAGUACUAGAGCAAAAACUAUAUAACUCAAAAGAUAUAAGUGAAGCACAUAAAGUAUUCUAAUAAUUUCCGAAUCAUGUGUGUCUCUCUCAAAAGGUGUGUACAGCAAAUAUGAUUGUGGUAAACUAAAAAGCAAAGACUCAAAUCAUACAAGACACUCCAAGCAAAACACAUAUCAUGUGGUGAAUAAAAAUAUAGCUCCAAGUAAAGUUACCGAUGGAAGUAGACGAAAGAGGGGAUGCCUUCCGGGGCAUCCCCAAGCUUUGGCUUUUAGGUGUCCUUAGAUUAUCUUGGGGGUGCCAUGGGCAUCCCCAAGCUUAGGCUCUUGCCACUCCUUUUCCAUAAUCCAUCAAAUCUUUCACCCAAAACUUGAAAACUUCACAACACAAAACUCAGCAGAAAAUCUCGUGAGCUCCGUUAGCGAAAGAAAACAAAAGACCACUUCAAGGUACUGUAAUGAACUCAUUCUUUAUUUAUAUUGGUGUUAAACCUACUGUAUUCCAACUUCUCUAUGGUUUAUAAAAUCUUUUACUAGCCAUAGAUUCAUCAAAAUAAGCAAACAACACACGAAAAACAGAAUCUGUCAAAAACAGAACAGUCUGUAGUAAUCUGUAACUAACGCAAACUUAUGGAACUCCAAAAAAUCAUCCAAAAUAGGAAGACCUAGAAAAUUUGUUUAUUGAACAGCAGCAAUUGGAAUCAAUAUUUUAUCAUGUUGUGGUGAUUUUUAACAAUUAUUUUCGUGAACAGAAAGUUUCUGGAAUUUUCUGCAAGAUCAAAUAACUAUCAUCCAAGAAGAUCCUAUAGGUUUAACUUGGCACAAACACUAAUUAAAACAUAAAAACACAGCUAACCAGAGUCUAGAACAAAUAUUUAUUCCUAAGCAGAAGCAAAAAGCAAAAAACUGAAAAUAAAAUUGGGUUGCCUCCCAACAAGCGCUAUCGUUUAACGCCCCUAGCUAGGCAUAAUAGCAAGGAUAGAUCUAGGUAUUGCCAUCUUUGGUAGGCAAUUCUUCAAUGAGGCAUCUAUCAUCCUUGGGAAAUUCUUUCUUUUUGUUAAUUAACAAACUUUUAGGCACAAGAUCGAAAAAUUCAUUUAUAGCAAAUGGUUCCUUAAUGAUAGCAAAAAGAUCGGGAUGAAUACUUAUAGAUUUGAGAUCCGCAGUUUCCUUACUAGAGGGUUCACCCUUAUUUUUAGGAACAUACAUAAGCUUGGAAAUUUUUGUUGGAGGACUAGGAGUAUUUUUUUACGGAAGAAAAAGCGGUUCCCAAGUUGGUAAUGAUACCCUCAAGUUUAUCGAUUCUAGUAGAAUCCUGAUUUAUUCUUUCAUUAACUAUGGGUUCCUUCUCCUUAAUGUUUUUCAAAGUGACUCCUACUUUAGAUCCGUAUUGGGUAAUUUGGUUGUGGAUCUUUUUAUCCAAAUUUUCAAUUAGUUCUACGGUAGCAACUUUAUUUUCAAUAAUUUCAAGUCUUUGCAUUACAUGCUCCAAAGUUAAAAUAGUUCCAUUAACCAAAAGAGGUGGUGAGCCGAACAAAUCUAUCAUAGCAUUAUAAGAGUCAAAAGUAUGGCUACCCAAGAAAUUCCCUCCGGUAAUGGUGUCAAGAAUAUAUCUAUACCAAGUAUUAGCACCUACAUAAAAAUUGCGGAGAAGAACGGAAGUAGAUUGCUUCCUGGUAGAUCUAUUUUGAGCAUUGCAAAUUCUAUACCAAGCGUCUUUUAGAUUUUCUCCCUCCCUUUGUUUAAAAUUGAGAACUUCAUUUUCGGGAGACAACGGAGAAGAUAAGGGACUAGCCAUGACGACAAGGCAAGCAAGAAAGCGACGAACGGAAAGAGAGGGCAAAUAAAACGGCAAGGGUGAAGUGGGGGAGAGGAAAACGGGAGGCAAAUGGCGAAUAAUGUAAUGCGGGAGAUAAGGGUUUGUGAUGGGUACUUGGUAUGUUGACUUUUGCGUAGACCUCCCCGGCAACGGCGCCAGAAAUCCUUCUUGCUACCUCUUGAGCACUGCGUUGGUUUUCCCUUGAAGAGGAAAGGGUGAUGCAGCAAAGUAGCGUAAGUAUUUCCCUCAGUUUUUGAGAACCAAGGUAUCAAUCCAGUAGGAGGCUACACACGAGUCCCUCGCACCUACACAAACAAAUAAAUCCUCGCAACCAACGCGAUAAGGGGUUGUCAAUCCCUACAUGGUCACUUACGAGAGUGAGAUCUGAUAGAUAUGAUAAUAUAAUAUUUUUGGUAUUUUUAUGAUAAAGAUGCAAAGUAAAGAAAGUAAAAUAAAAACGGCGCCAGAAAUAGCUUGUUGUCGGAAGAUUAAUAUGAUGGAAAAUAGACCCGGGGGCCAUAGGUUUCACUAGUGGCUUCUCCCAAGAGCAUAAGUACUUACGGUGGGUGAACAAAUUACUAUUGAGGAAUUGACAGAAUUGAGCAUAGUUAUGAGAAUAGCUAGGCAUGAUCAUGUAUAUAGGCAUCACGUCCGAAACAAGUAGACCGACUCCUGCCUGCAUCUACUACUAUUACUCCACACAUCGACUGCUAUCCAGCAUGCAUCUAGAGUAUUAAGUUCAUAAGAACAGAGUAACGCUUUAAGCAAGAUGACAUGAUGUAUAGGGAUAAACUCAUGCAAUAUGAUAUAAACCCCAUCUUGUUAUCCUCGAUGGCAACAAUACAAUAUGUGCCUUGUUGCCCCUACUGUCACUGGGAAAGGACACCGCAAGAUUGAACCCAAAGAUAAGCACUUCUCCCAUUGCAAGAAAGAUCAAUCUAGUAGGCCAAACCAAACUGAUAAUUCGAAGAGACUUGCAAAGAUAACCAAUCAUACAUAUAAGAACUCAGAAGAUUCAAAUUAUUGUUCAUAGAUAAACUUGAUCAUAAACCCACAAUUCAUCGGUCUCAACAAACACACCGCAAAAGAAGAUUACAUCGAAUAGAUCUCCACACGAGAGGGGGAGAACAUUGUAUUGAGAGCCAAAAAGAGAGAGAAAGCCAUCUAGCUAAUAACUAUGGACCCGAAGGUCUAAGGUAAACUACUCACACUUCAUCGGAGAGGCUAUGGUGUUGAUGUAGAAGCCCUCCGUGAUCGAUGCCCCCUCCGGCGGAGCUCCGGAACAGGCCCCAAGAUGGGAUCUCACGGGUACCGAAGGUUGCGGCGGUGGAAUUAGGUUUUUGGCUCCGUAUCUGGUAGUUUGGGGUACGUAGGUAUAUAUAGGAGGAAGGAGUACGUCGGUGGAGCAGCAUGGGGCCCACGAGGGUGGAGGGCGUGCCCAGGGGGGUAGGCGCGCCCCCCUACCUCGUGGCUUCCUGGUAGCUUUCUUGACGUAGGGUCCAAGUCCUCUAGAUCACGUUCGUUCCGAAAAUCACGUUCCAGAAGGUUUCAUUCCGUUUGGACUCUGUUUGAUAUUCUUUUUCUGCGAAACUCUGAAAUAGGCAAAAAACAACAAUUCUGGGAUGGGCCUCCGAUUAAUAGGUUAGUCCCAAAAAUAAUAUAGAAGUGUAUAAUAAAGCCCAAUAAUGUCCAAAACAGAAGAUAAUAUAGCAUGGAGCAAUCAAAAAUUAUAGAUACGUUGGCGACGUAUCAUCGCCUCGCUUUUCUAUCUUGAAGAUGCAUGUGUGAUAUGUUCACCUAAGAAACGAAAAAACACACUCUCUCUCUAAUUUAUAGGUUGUUGUCACUUUAUCUUUCACACACAUACUCUUUUUGCACAUUUACUCAUUCUCCUUCACACGCACUUGAUCCCUCUCGACUUAGGCACUCUCCUCGGUCCAUAGCAUAUUGAUUUAUUGAAAAGUCAAACAUCACAAAGUUUGACCAUGUACGUGGAGAAAAACAAUUACAUCUAGAACGGCAAACAAAUACCAUUAGAUUCACCAUGAGAUGUAGUUUCAUAUGAUGUAUCUUUGGUAUUGAAGAUAUAAAUACCAUUUGUGUAAACCUGAUCAAAGUUUCCAAGGUUUGACUUCUAAAAAAAUUACAUGCACUGCAUUAUCGAGCGGAUGGAAUAUCUCUUUCCCCCUCUCAGCUAUCUGACGCACCACUCAGCCUUAUCGGGGCUCCUUAAUCUCUCUCAAACUUUAUAUCUCCCUGGUUCACACAUACACAUGUCUCGCUCGCGCUAUACAUAUAGACCCAUCCAACACUCUCCGCCCUUGUUCUCUCUCUAUGUGAAACGCACCCCCCUAAUAAGUACCAUAAUCCCUCACUCCAUCAUAGGCGCAAGCACUCCCCUCCUAAGUAUGAUUAUCUCUCACUAGCCAUCAGGAACACACGUAUUGUCUCCUUCCAUCCAUACGUCUAUCUCGAUAUCUCUCGGGGUAUCUUCUAUCGCGCACACACCUUGUCACUCGAUCUCCCACCCAUGUAGUCCCAUCACGAUCUCCAGGGGAUCUCUCUAUGACAAACAUACACUCUCUCCUUCCCAUGUCUGCAUUUUCUCCUUACGUCUCUCUCGACCUCUCUCCCUUGUUUGUCAGACCCCUCUUGGCCACGUGCUAGGGGUCUUGCUCUCUCGGUUGCAAACAACCACACACUAUCUCCUCGCCUUGCUUCCGCUGUCGAAGAUGCAUGUGUGAUAUGUUUGCAUAAGACACACACGUUUUUUCUCGACUUUUAUCGAGUGCUGUCCAUGUCUCUUUCACACACGCACACACAUUUUUUCACUCACUCUUUCUAUUUCUCUCUCUCUCUCUCUCUCUCUCUCUAGUUAGGGACUCUCUCACGUCCAUAAGCAUAUGGAUGUUUUGAAAAGUCAAACCUCAGAAAAGUUUGACCAGGUAUAUGUGGAGAAAAACAUUUACAUCUGGAAAGAUCAUUAGAUUCAUCACAACAUGUACUUACUUCAUACUAUCAUUUAUCUUUGGUAUUGUAGAUAUACGUAAUUUAUUUAUGAACUUGGUCAAAGUUUCAAAAGUUUGACUUUUAAAAAAAUGUUGGAACUACAUUAUCAAACGGAGGGUGUAGCUUUCUCUCUCUCUCUACUAUCUCUCACGGGCAUCCCCUCUCACACGAACACUCUAUACCGACGGAUUAUAUGCUCACUGUGUCAGCGUAUAGCUCCGUAUAUUGUUUAGUUGAUCGGUCAACCAGUCCAGAUGCUGCCUUGUCAGCUCGUGUUCUGUAUCUUCGUGUGCUGGCCCAUGUGGCAGUGGGUGAAAAUAAGUAAACUAGAGGCCCAUCUGACAUGCGGUGAAGUAAACAAAGUUGAAACCACUCGGGGUAGCACCCCGCACGCUAGUAAAUUGAGGGCGCAUUGAGGACACACUUCUUCCGCGUGGAGGAUGCACUCGCGCACAAUUCACCACUGCACGGUGGCAUGCACAGAAGGACGCACUCGCGCACACCCAGCACACAACACACACCAGCACACGUGUACACCGGCGUCGCCGCUGGUUGAGAUGGACGGCGAGGCAGCCAACAAGCGGAGGCGGCUCGAGCCAAAACCGCAUCCGGCGAGCCUGGACUUCAUCAGCAGCCUCCCCGACGACAUGCUACUCGUCAUCAUCGGCCUCCUCCCCACCAAAUCUAUCGUGCGGACCGCCCUGCUCUCCCGGCGGUGGCGCCCCCUCUGGCACCGCGUCCCCCUCAACCUCACCGUCGACAGCUGCCUCUGCGACGGGGAUUGCAAACGCAUGGCCGCAGUCUCCAAGAUCCUUUCAUCCCACCUUGGGCCAGCCAGACGCCUUGACAUCCGCAUGUUUAGUACCAACUGCAAGGUCCAACCCAAGUUCGACGAGUGGUUCUUAUCCCCCGCCCUAGAUCAGCUCGAGGAGCUCAGCUUUGAAGCUGGACGAUGUCGCUCUCUGUCACCGUCCGUGCUCCGCUCGCGCCAAUGCUGCGCUGCGCCAGCUUCAGCACCUGCUAUCUUCCCCAGAUUAAUGACGCGCCCGCCCUUCUUCUCCCUCAACUCAAGCAGCUCGACCUCUUCGACGUUGUCAUCUCGAAGAAGGCUAUGGAGCACCUGCUCCGCAGCUGUACUGCGCUCGAGUACCUUCGUCUUGAGCAGAUCCACGGGUUCAUUGGCCUCCACAUCGCCUCGACGAAUCUCCGAUGGAUUUAUAUGUCUUGCUGGCCCCGCAACAAGACAUCAAUUGGGAAGAGAUCACUCCAGCUGUUCCACGUUAUGGUCAUUGAGAAUGCGCCUUUCCUUGAGAGAUUGCUUGUAUCGGAUCUAGAAGGUCCAACAAAAAUCAGGGUCAUUGACGCGCCAAAAUUGACAGCGUUGCUGCACUCGUCUCCCAAAUUCUCCGAACUCUUUAUUGGAUCCGUAAUCGUUCAGGUACAGCACUCAUCUUCUUCUCCGUCUUCUUGAAAUUCACAUUUUUUAAUUUCUUCUUGAUGUAUUUACGACCGUCUUCCAGAAAAUGAUUCCCACAAGCUUGACCCAGUUUAUGCGCACAGUGAAGAUCUUGGCAAUAAAAUCUAUCGGCCCCAAUCUGGAUCAAGUUGUUGGAUUCCUUACAUGCUUUCCGUGCACGGAGAAGCUACUCAUCAAGGUGAAACUUUUCUUUCCUAUUAGUAAACGGUAAUCACAACGUAGCUCAAUUUUUUCGUAAUUUUCCCAAAGUGUAGUGUUCAAAACUGCAUCUACGCACUACACCGAAAGAAAUGUUUUUAGUAUUUUUUCUCACGUGAUCACCUGCAUCAUUUUUUUUGUUGUACUACUAUAGUAGCCUAGGCUAGUCAUAGUGGAAAGUAACUUAGACUACUCUAGUAACUCUAUGGUUACCCUAAGAGCAAGUACUACCUCCGUCCUGGUUUACUCUUCCUAUUUUGUAGUAUCAAAAUUUGACCAUAGAUUUAACUGACAAAAUGUUAAUGCAUGUCACUAAGAACUAUAUUGUUGGAUUCGUAUUUGAACAUAAUUUCAAAUGGUGUAAUUUUUAGUGACAUGCAUUGGCAUUUUCUUACAUUAAUAUAUGGUCAAAAUUUUAUACUAAAUAAGAGGUAGUACAGAAGUGGGCUAUAACGGCCCUCCACUAUGUAGGCCAAAACACGUGCCAAAUUCACUUGUGAUGCAUUUGGCAUCGAUGCCCCUCCAUUGCUCACCUGAUGCCCCAAUCUGGAUCACCUACUUUGCUCCGGUGCCAAAUUAACUCACGCAAUGAAAAAACACUUGCGUGGGAGAGAGAGAGGACUGAGGCAAUAAAAAACACUUGUUUGGGAGAGGGAGAGGCUGGUGUAGUUGGUUUGAUUGAUUUGUUUAUACAUGUGGGUCUGUGUGCACAGCGGUGCCAACUCUCUCACAUCGCGAGAGCGGUGCCAAAAUCUUUUGAUUUGACAUCGAUGCGUAUUAUGUGGCAUACUUUUGCGAAAUAUGGCAUCAGCCACAUAGUGGAAGGCAACAAAUGCCCAAGCUCUUCACAUACUCCUAGGUAAAUGAGAGGAAAGAGAAAGAGAGAGAGAGUGAAAAAAUAUCACUAGCCAACCAACCCUAUCGUAUGAGCGAAUGAUAUUGGUACCUCUUGAUGACACGGCAAUCUUAUACAGCCAGCUGCUCUAAUAUGUUCUCUUCUUUUGCAGAUAAAAAAAGACCCGAAAGUGAAAAAUGUGCUGCACUAUAACAAUCUCAUCGAAUGCCUUGAUCUCCAUCUUACAUAAAUUGAUUUGAUCGAGUACCGAGGCAGCACAUCUGAGAUUAAAUUGGCCAGGUUCUUUGUUCUGAGGCAAGAGUGCUCAAGGUAAUGAGGUUUGGCGUUCUCUGGCGCAACAAUGAAUGGCGUGCUGACCACCGCAAGCGUCUAAGCCUAAAUGACAAAGUCUCUGCAGAAGCUGAAUUUGUUUUUGAAACAUCAAGUGGCCAGAGACUCGAAAACUUAUUUGCCCAUUAGUGACUUGUCAGGGCGGUGGAUUUUAGUUUGUACGAUAAUGCUGCAUCCACCUAAAGUAACAAAAGUUCUUACGUAAACUUCCUAGUAAUUCCCUCUUCGUAUGUGCAGCAUUACUCCUAACAUUUGUAAUAUCAGUUUGAAACUUGUAAUGUUGCCGUGUCCUAUUCCUGCGUUUUCAAAAUCCCGCGAAUCAAACAGGUCCUGAGUUGGUGAUGAUGUUGUGCCUGCCAUCUUUCACCAAUAGCCGUCGGAUCUAGAUCUGACGCAUACAAACCAAACUUCUCCAGUUUUGCAAAAAGAUGCCCGCACUUGUUCCCUAUUUAAAAACAACUCCUUGUCUCUCACAAUUAGCCUAAUCUCCUCCCCACCACAUCUAGAAGGCCAUGGAAAAAUCUGGCGCGAUGGCCGCUGUCGGCGCCGUCCACCCCCAAUCUUGGUGUUCCGUGCAAUGCACGGGCAUCUACGCACGGGAAAUUAUGUCGAACACGGAUAGUUGUAAGUAGGCUAGGUCUACAGCCAUGAUGAUAGUGACUGCAGACGGUGAGGCUGACUAUGGUAUGCCGAACAUGGCGCCUAUACUCAGGUGUCAUCUCUGGCGUAGGGUCUUGUCACUUCAUUGUGAGGAGCAGCACGUAAUAAUUUGACCAACGGGUAGUACAGUGCUACUACAUUGGUAGUACUACUACUAGUAGUACUAGCACCACCGUCUGGAUUUAGUAGUACUACCACGUCCAUCUGGAUUUAGUAUUUGACUAGCAAUAUCUAGUAAUGCAUGUCACAAAAAAUGUACUACUCCCUCUGUAAAUAAAUACGUGGUGUAUUGUUUUAUUCCUAUCGGCGAGAUAACUUAAUGCCUUUUUGCUACUUAAUAGGAUUACAUGCAAUGAACUAACCACUGCAUGUGAUGUUUGGUAGUCUCAAGUCAUUGAAAGCAUGCACAGGCACGGAGGGGGACGCAGCUUCAUUGACUUACUGCACCUGCCUUUGGGUGUAUGACACGUGGGCCCAACGGGUGGCUGGCCAACCUGUCAUACUGCCAAAGGCAGGUGCAGUAGAGGGGCGAGGAGUAGAUGACCAACACGCAUGUGAAUUCAACGCAGUCUGCACUUCUCAUAUAAAGGCUCCCGCCAGUCCAAUCUACGAAAUCCUAUGCACCUAUGCACCCAAGGGCAAGAGUGAUCACUCCAAUCGCAAGAUCAGUUGACUAGAAGCUAGACCCAUGGAGGCGAUGAGCGCGAGCAUCAGCCGGUUGUGCCAGAUGGUCCACGAUGCGGCCCGACACCGAGGAACGUCUCCAGGUAGUGCUUGAGGCCGCCAGGGCGAGGGGCCGCUUGGACGACAGCUUCAUCUCCUUGUUCGACGAGGUCCUCGUUGGCUUCCUCGACAAGUUCACCGUCGUCAAGAAGCUCGCAGACGACCUUGACGUAUGCCUCCAGCCCAGGCUCUGCGAUGACUGACACCCUCAACGGCCUCUAUGGUGACAACCUCUUCGACGCACUGGUGGCCCAUCGACUGCCCGCCAUCGCGUCGGAGAAUGUCCACCUCGAGGUCGCGCUCGCCGCGCAGCGCCUGGCGCAGCAAGACACCAUCGACAUAAUCACCCACGUCUACGCGCAAAUCGUCCACGAGGACUACUACAUGCAAGUGGAGGACGAUAGGACGCUGGCCUUCUUGGACCGCAAGGCAACCUUGGACGGCAUUGUUCAGAAGCACGUUGAGCUUGCCGCCAACGCCGCUGCUCCUCACACGUCGGUUGGUGACCCGGUGCACUAGGGCGUGAGGAUGUCGUUGAUGGAUCCGUAUGUACCUUUAUCUUUCCGUCAAAUCCAUGUAGUAGUAUAUGGUACUACUAGUAAUUAUCUUAGCUUUCACAUCAACUUCAUAAUUUUCCUACGUACUCCAUGCAUGAACCGCGCCAGAACCAAACUUCUCAUUACUCUAGGGAAAAUCGUUAUUUCUAUCUAUUGGUCAUGCCAUGGAGCAGAACCAAAUUUUACAAGUUACAAGUUCAAAAGGAAAAGCCUGCCGUGUUCGCGUCGCACCCCCACACGGUUGGUCCGGCACGCCGCUCAAGGGGGAAUGCGUGUUGUGUUGCAUUUUCACUUACAAGUGGGACCGUAGUUGAUCAAACCGACUAUCGGCAAACCCCCACCCCGCCCACCGCGUGAUGGCUGAGAAAACAGGAGGGAGAAGAGAUGGUUGUAGCAUGGACUCCAAGAAAAUUGGUGUCGGAUGGGACUCGUGUGGGUGGCGUGUGCCGUACUGCUAGACAUGAAUGCUAGUUAUGGCCCAUGCCACCCCACUAUAUCGAGGUGUUGGUUACAUAGAACAAAUUUCCUGGAGUCUGUGCCCAGCCCUCCUCUAUCUCUCUUCUCAGCCAACCAGCAGAUGCGCGGAGCCCAUCGUCUGUUUGCUCAUAUGCGGUCCCACAUGUAAGUGAAAACGCAAGAGGACCCACUGAACCUGCACAUCUUUCACCUCGACGUGCUGGUGAUGAAAAACCAAUCCAAUAAAGAUCUUCGGUGGCCGCUUUUGGAGUUACUCAAGAGUCGUAAGAUUCUAUUUACAGUUUAACCCAAGAUGCACAUCACGUGGCUUCAACUACCACUCUAUUUUCUUGCAUGACACGACCUGGAUGCUGGAUGCCCCACGUGUCGGCAAAAGGAGGAAGAACUCGACCAAAUCUUCGGUUGUGCUCUCGGAUUAGACUAGUUGUGCUAACUUAAAAUUUUAUUGUGUAGAAUGGAUGCAAGUUUUGGUAUGGGAAGAAGAGUACAACGAUAUAUUGAUAGAGUGCAAUUUAGUAGAUGUUCUAGCACUUUUAGCUAGCAUUGAGGCUAGAAAUGAGACUAGUGCACUUGUUGAUAGAAUAGAGGCUAGACACGUCUACUUCUUUACACUCGAAGAAGAAAGAAGCACGCAAGAUCAAGCCUCCGCAGAUCAACAAUGAAUGCAUCGAGAAGGCACUAAUCCAACUUACAGGAGCAGUUAUGGAAGUUGGAUAUCUUCUAAAAUGUAUUCUUGUGGUUCUUGUUUUCUUUGGUCUUGCUUUUCUAGUCAAAAUUUUGGUCAUGUAUUUCCAUGUACCAAAAAAUCAAUGAUGAAAAAAAGAUAUGUGUUUGCAAAGAAAAAUGUACGCGGCCGGGAUGCGUCCGCACGUUCGGCGCACGGCCACCGCAUCCGAGAAAUGGCCCGGACACGACCCCAUUGCCCUACCCAAACGGACAGAAUCCGGGCAAAACGGAGGUCUGUUUGGGGUCGUGCGUUGGAGUUGGCCUUACAAGUGGGACCGCAGUUGAGGAAACCGACUAUCGGCAAACCCCCACCUCGCCUGCCGCGCGAUGGCUGAGUUAGAGAAACGACGAGGUUGAAGAGAUUGCUGUAGCACAGACUCCAAGAAAUAUGGUGUCAGAUGGAAGUCGUGCUGGUGGUGUGUGACGUACUCCUGGACGUGAAUGCUUGUUCUGGCCCAUGCCACCCUACUCCUACUACUUAUAGUAGUAGUAUCGAGGAUUCGAGGUGCUGGUUACGUACAGCGAACACAUUAACAUAUGGCCCACCUCACACUGUGGCCAAAUUUCUUGGAGUCUGUGCUAGGUUAAAAAGUGUUCUUUGUGAGGAUGGGUGGCUGGUCUCAAAUGUAAAACUUGUUGUAUUACGUACGUAGACGUAGAGAUAGUGCAGCAUGUGAAGCUAGUACAAAUAGUGUAAUAUUGUUGAUUGGCCUCAUCCGAUAACCUGUUGCAAUGCACGUACAAUUAUGUAUUCGGAAAAUAUAUUUUUCCUCGUCGCAGCACCCACUCAGAAAAGCGACUCGAAAGCCAUUCAUAAAUUUAGUAAGUUUAUCACAGGCAUAUUAUUUUAUUACAUACAACAGGUCAUCAACCCACAACGACAACGAGGAUACAUUAUAAAUACUAAAGUUUUCAUCACACAACAAAUAACAAGCAAUGAAAUGAACUUCAACUCAACCAAUCCUCGGCGUUGGAAACGCUUGCUUUGAACCACAAGUGAUUCUCUGGGAAGGGCCAGCUACUGUAAAUCUCGAGACCAACGCAGGACUGAUCAUCCAGGCUGAAGCGGCCUACUAUAUCACGACCAGGGUAGGGAACCACCGCAAUGUCCGAUGUAUAGAUACAAUUGCUUCUCAUAAAUGGUAGUAAUGUUGUGUCAACAACAGUUGGAUCGCCUUUCACCAUCAUUGGAUAGUUUUGUCCAAGGAAGAGCGAGUUUGCUCCAAGACUAUCAAUACUGUACCAGGGAGAAGGUGUUGGCGCUAGCACACUAGUAUCCAUCCAGAAUACCAUGCAACGGGUGUUGGAAUAGGUCCGGAGAGUGCGACCAUGGGAGACAACACCUGCUCCCUCAGUAGUAACAUCAGCAGUGGGCUGUAUACAUACAAGAAGUGGUGAUCCAUUGGAAUUAGUUGCCAGCCGCCAGUGAGCAUAUGGGACCUGCUCGUCCUCAUGCUCGUGAUCAUCACCAUCGUCAUCUCCCCCUUGGUUAUAAAAAUUUUCAAGUAUAGGUGGUGGAAUGUUCACAGGACCUUGGAAACACAAGAAGAAGGUUAAUUAGUAGAGAAGGGAAACUUGCUAACUCGCAUGCAUGUGGAUGAAACAAUUAUAAUUACGGUGGAAGACAAACGUACCGAAACUACGAGGAUCCCAUGCAAAAACAGUGCCACGAGUGGUGGCAGCAAACACAAGACCCUCGUAUUCAAUUGCAUCACAGUACACAUCCGUGUAUAGAAACUGUUUUUUGAGCAAUAUCCAUCUAGUCGAACCAUGAAGGACGGCAACAAACUUGUCGAAGAUAGCAACAACUUGAUAGUUCUUGUAAUUCCAAGAGUGGUUGGGAACUCGAGAAAUUGCUAUCUUCCAUAGACGACAGUCACCAUGAUCAUAUUUGAACGUACGUAGAUCAUCUGUGUGCUCAACCUCAAGGCACUCGGAGAUUUUUGGAAGUGGAAUCCGCUGACGAGUGUACACAUUCACAAGUUCCCACUCGCAAUUGUACCCAAUAUAAACAACCCAAUCUCCAUUUGCGCCUGCCCAAGCCUUGCCCUCAAGCGAUGGCAUCUUAACAUUAUACGUAUCAUUAUCAAGCGGCAUCAAAUUGCACAAGGCGAGGCUUCCCUCGUCCCCGCGCCAAUCAGCAGGGUCACGGCGAAGAAGAUAGGGGAGAUCAAACCGCUCCUGGAGCCUUGGGUUCCUUGUAAUGAUGUUAUUAGUUGAGUCGAGAAUGGUCUUGAAUGAACCUGCCAUGCUAGCCGAGGUGAUGACGUCGCACCGAUCAAUGAGUUCCCCCACCACGUCAUCUUUCAGAUCGGGGCAAGAAUAACGGGGUCGUUUCUGGCUUGUUCCCUCCAUGGAGAAGAUGAUCGAACAAUGGCAGAAGGAAGGGUGAAGGAAAAUGGAGGAGGGAGGAAGAGCGUGCAACAGCGGUUCCAAAUCGAGAGGGAAAGGCGAAGAGUCGGUGGACGGUUGCCAGUUUGCCACGGUACAUGAAGAGGCGCCCCGGCCUACACGUCCUUUCAUAAAUUGUACAAAAGGACUCGCCGUCGUCUCACUGACAUGUUGGAACGGGACCACAUGUCAACGAAACAUGGUGUGUAAUUUCUCAUGCAAAAUGCGAUCUGGCUGCGUUGGCGCGAGGUGCCGCAUUAGUUAUCGACCUUUAUUUUUUAACAUACAAUCUGAGUUCCUGUGGUCAUCACACGUGAGCGGAUAUAUAGGUGGGCUAGGUGGGCAGGCGGCAACAAUCUAAGUUCUAAAAGAGUUGAUCCAAUGCUUGGUUUUGUUUGGAUUUUCCAACUAUGACCAUUGGAUAGAGUGAAUCAAUGGCUUACGUUCAAAGUUAUUCUCAUACUAUAGAAUGGUAUAGGAACGUGGAGAGAUUUGGUUGAUUUUAUAUCGCUGAAUAAUAUAAAAUAUUAUGAGUGCAGACGCUCCACCCCGAGGUUUGUAGCUCCUUCUCGGUUGUCGGGAAUCUAUGUUCUUCCACUCUUUCGUUUAAGACAUGAGCUUUGUUCAUCCUGUUGCCGACACGCGGGACAUCUAUAUGCCUCCAUUUUACGAAAUCAUACUAUAUGCCUCCAUGACACGCGGGACAUCUAGCAUCAAGGUGGCGUGUCAUGCAAGAAAAUGGAGAUAUGCAGUGCGUAAGUGAGUCGUGCACUUCGAUGGCACCUAGUACUACGCAAUAAUUUUUCUCCUCGAUGGCACGUGAAUAGUGCACGUACACAAUGACAGAGCACGGGAUGGUAGCCAUGGACAUGGCCGGCCCUUUUUGAAGAGAGUACUAAUAAAUACGUAACUUUCAUGUGUCCCAUCAACUCGCAGAACGACGAGAAUAAAUACUGAAGUUUUCAUCACACAACAAAUAACAAGCAAUGAAAUGAACUUCAACUCAACCAAUCCUUGGCGUUGGAAACGCUUGCUUUGAACCAUAGGUGCUCUGGGAAGGGCCAGCUAUUGUCAAUAUCGAGAGCAACGCAGGACUGAUCAUCCAGGCUGAAGCGGCAUAUAUCGGGAGCAGGGUAGGGAACCACCGCAAUGUCCGAGGUAUAGAUACAGUUGCUUCUCAUAAAUGGUAGUAACGUUGUGUCAACAGCAGCUGGAUCGCCUUUAACCAUCGUUGGAUAGUUUGGUCCAAGGAAGAGCGAGUUUGCUCCAAGACUACCAAUACUGUACCAGGGAGAAGGUGUUGGCGCUAGCACACUAGUAUCCAUCCCGAAUACCCUACAACGGGUGUUCGAAUAGGUCCGGAGAGGGCGACCAUGGGAGACAACACCUGCUACCUCAGUAGCAACAAUCAUAGUGCACUGUAUACAGACAAGAAGAGGUGAUCCAUCGGAAUUAGUUGCCAGGCGCCACUGAGUAUAUAAGUUCUGCUCGUCCUCAUGCUCGUGAUCAUCACCAUCGUCAUCUCCCCCUUGGUUAUAAAAAAUUUCAAGUAUAGGUGGUGGAAUGUUCACAGGACCUUGGAAACACAAGAAGAAGGUUAAUUAGUAAAGGGAAACUUGCUAACCUGCAUGCAUGUGGCUGAAACAAUUAUAAUUACGGUGGAAGACAAACGUACCGAAACUACAAGGAUCCCAUGCAAAAACAGUGCCACGAGUGGUGGCAGCAAACACAAGAUCCUCGUAUUCAAUUGCAUCACAGUACUCAUCCGUGUACAGAAACUGAUUUUUGAGCAAUAUCCAUGGACGAACCGUGGAAUCAGUAACGACGGCAACAAGCUUGUCGAAGAUAGCAACAACUUGAUAGUUCUCGUAAUUCCAAGAGCGGUUGGGAACUCGAGAAAUUGCUAUCUUCCAUAGACGAUAGUCACCAUGAUCGUAUUUGAACGUACGUACAUCAUCUGUGUGCUCAACCUCAGGGCACUCGGAGAUUUUUGGAAGUGGAAUCCGCUGACGAGUGUACACAUUCACAAGUUCCCACUCGCAAUUGUACCCAAUAUAAACAACCCAAUCUCCAUUUGUGCUAGCCCAGGCCUUACCCUGAAGCGAUGGCAUCUUGACAUCACACGUAUCAUUAUCAAGCGGCAUCAACUUGCACAAGGCGAGGCCUCCGUCAUCCGCGCGCAAGCGAACAGACUUAUAGCGAAGAAGAUAAGGGAGAUCAAACCGCUCCUGGACCCUUGGGUUCCUUGUAAUGAUGUUAUUAGUCGAGUCGAGAAUGGUCUUGAACGAACCUUCAAUGCUAGCCGAGGUGAUGAUGUCGCACUGAUCAAUGAGUUCCCCCACCACGUCAUCUUUCAGAUCGGGGCAAGAAUAACGGGGUCGUUUCCGGAUUGUUCCCUCCAUGGAGAAGACGAUCGAACAAUGGCAGAAGGAAGGGUGAAGGCAAAUGGAGGAGGGAGGAAGAGCGUGCGAAAGCAGUUCCAAAUCGAGAGGGAAAGGCGAAGAGUCGGUGGACGGUUGCCAGUUUGCCACGGUACAUGAAGAGGCGUCCCGGCCUACACGUCCUUUCAGAAAUUGUACAAAAGGACUCGUCGUCGUCUCACUGACAUGUUGGAACGGGACCACAUGUCAACGAAACAUGGUGUGUAAUUUCUCGUGCAAAAUGCGAUCUGGCCGCGUUGGCCCGAGGUGCCGCAUUAGUUAUCAACCUUUAUUUUUUUAAUGGCAUGCCGUUCAGUUUUGAAGCACGACUAACUGGUACUGUUUGCAGAGAAAAUAUAAACUACUCUACCACUACUCCACCUCUAGUACUAGUAGUAUAAAAAAGAUAUAUAGGCUGGAGCUUCAGAGCUUUCUUGCUAAGGGCUGCCCACUUGCUUCUCACACUAUCACCCUCUCUCCAGAUCUAAAAAGACGGCCUCUCUCUCUCCCUCCUCAACGGUGGUCACAGAUCCGCCGGGGAACAAAAGGACGUGCAGCGUUGACGCACUCGUCGUCGGCGAGCGAGGUCACGCACUGACGACAAGGCCGUUCUCUCAGACCUAGCGCCCACGCAGGAUGGCCUCCGUCCCCAAGCUCGUUGUCGUAGUGCGUGCGGAGGACGACGACCAAGAGCGAAGCCACUUCCCGCCGACCCUCAGGUAUGCUACCUCCUUUCGAACCAUACCCUUGUUCUAUUCCCCCAUCUGCCACGUCGUUGCAUGUGGAUCUUUUUCCACUCCACCAUCUUCCCAAUUUGCUAUCCUAUGCUCUCCUGGUCACGCAGACGAAAACCUUAAUUUGAACUAUUAAAGGAAACCCUACUUCAUGCAGACUAAUCCAUGUCUGGGUUGAAUAAGGAAAGGAAGGGAGACUGUACUGUCCAAGAGAGUAGGCAUCGAACCCGCAUCUAGGUUGAAAAGGGGAAAAUCAGUAGCUAAGGAACGAGUCUCGUGUCUCUUGGUUGAAGAAGGGUAGAAAGGCAUGACAAUGCAAUAGAGAAUGACCAGGUCGGUCGGUUUGUUGUCCUCACAUAGGAAAAAGGUGGCUAAACAGAACAAAAAUGGGACGUAAUCCACAUAUGCUGCCUGGAUAUUUGUUGCUCUGGGCAACCAUACCUCCCUCACCACUCUAUGCGUCCGUGGAGUUACAUCGUACUGGUGCGCCCAUUGUCCGUAUGGCCUCCCAUACUCUUAUUGUCACUUUUUUGCUAUUAGUAUAACGCCAGUAGUCAAGUCAAGUAAUGCUACUACUAAAGUGAUGCCACAUUUAACUAAUGCCGCACUCAGUCUAAUGCCACCGAUAAAUUUAAGCAAUGCCAUUUAAUGUCACUGGAUUAUUUCAGGGUUAGCUGUUGAUUGUGGAUGUAUUAAAGAUUUUUCAGCUAAGGCAUCUAAUGUUGUUGCACAGCUAGUAUACCAACGAUGAAACUUGUUACUACCUUCAGAUUUUUGCACUGUUAAUGCUUAUAGAUUACAUACCUCACUUCCAUGAGAUAAGUUAAUUUUUUUGUACAGUGUCACCAAAAUGCCAAGGCGCUGAUGUCAUUUUAUUUUGGUUAAACUGCACAAAAAUUAUGAAGACAAGAGGAAAGGUCAAGAGUGGGCACCUCCUCCUCCGGCUGUUCUCUUGAUUCAUUCGAUCAAGUUUUUAUGUUUGAUCGAUUAUCAAGAUUGGGAUAGCAAUUUUUAAGGUCCCCCGAGUUCGAAAUGAUAUUUACCUUGGAGGUAGAUGGUUUGCAAAUUUUUUAUACUGUCAUUAGUUAAUAAUGCUAGUUACCUUCACACUUCUGUAUUUGGUUUAAUGCUCAUGCACAGCUAGUAUACCAAUGCUGAAACGUGUUACCUUUACAUUUUGUAUUGUUCAUUCUUAUAGAAAUCUUCUAGUGCUAGAGUUUAUUGAAAUAUGUUCAGUAAAACCAUUGUACUGUACCCUGUAAUAAAAUAACUACUCUACUGUUGCACUAGCCACUGGAUUAGUGUAUAUUUGUAGUAUUCGAAAUUUCGAAUGGUGUUGCAUUAGCGUAUGGACAUAAAUAAAGUGUGGCAAGCUUUCCCAGAUAUGUGCUCAAGAAAACUACUACCUGUUUUUCUAAAUACUAGACGUUUGGGUACUUUAAAUUGAACCGCGAAAACGUCUUAUAUUAAGGAACAGAGGGUGUAGAGUUCACUCAAAUUAUCCCGGUAAAGCUAGUCACACCUUUGUUAAAAUUAAUAUCAUUAUGUUAUCGGAGGAGGUCUGUAAGUUUGUCUCUAAUGCCUGUCGACUACACACCUGACAUCAUGAUGUAAUGUUAAGUCAUUUCCUUUUGUACAGUGUCACUGAAUUGUCAAGGCGGUGAUGGCAUUUUAUUUUAGUUGAACUGCACAAAAUAUGCUUAAAAGAAGAGGAAAGGUCAGGAAUCGAUCAUUCUUUCAGAAAGAACUAUAUAUGCCUUUCUGACAUCAGCCGUUGUUGCCUUAUUUAUUCCUUCAAACAGGUGGUUAGAAAGAGUCUUGCUACCUUUUCCCAUUAAGAAAUUGGAAUGCUUAUAUUUGUGAGUCUAUGCUUCAACUAGUGCCACUUUUAUAGUAAUCACACUUUCAAUAUCUAUGCAAACAGGGAUGCUCGAUUUUAGUGGAACUGCACAAAAAGUCCAACUGGUUCAACAUUAGGAGCAUGUUUUUUUCCAAACCUUUAUAUCCAAUUGGUGGCACUAUGAGCUGUUCAUUAUGAAGGUACAUGGUUUGCUACUAUCUUGCUACUCUUUUUGUACUGUCAUUAGAUAGUAAUACUAGUGGUUUGCAUGUAAAUUUAUUGGCAGGGUGGACCUACAUUGGAGGUGCAGGACAGGAUUCAAUGAUUGGAUGCUCAAUUUCGGUUGUAUCGAUUUCACCUCUUCCAUCACUACGAACAUGGAUAUCCAUGGUCUGAUGAAGAAUAGGCGCUAUAUUUCUGCUCUGAACUAGCAAAUCAAUUCAGUAUGAAAUUUUCCAGGGCAAAACAUGACUGUAUCAAAUUGUCCAGUGCAAAACAUGACAGAUGCUAAGCGGAAGAGACAUGUUUAAACCGAAAAUACAAGGUGGGCUAUAUGUUUACUAGCUGCUUGAUAUUUGUGCAGACAGAGAUGUCUGCCCGUUGCUAUUUGGCAAACACACGAAGUGACCGCGAUUUUGGUUAAACUGCACAAGAGAAUAGUAUAGUCACUGCAUGCAGUGCCAUUUGAAAAUAGACACAGAAAGAUUGGAUAGUCACUUCAUGGACUGCAGAAAAGUAGUACUGUACUAUUUAUUGGCCAACACUAGGUGCUUCAUUGCUUUGGUCUAAUUAUACAAUGGGCACCAUUUUGCCUAAGUUAAAGUUUGUAUUCUGAAAAUAGUCUCGCCGCGUGAUCGAUAGAAGACCAAAUCAUAUUGCAGUGGAUGUUCCUCCAUCAUGUGUGGUUCAUUCUCAUGGUUCCAGCUGUUGGUGAAACCACUUACGUUUGCAAGAGGAAUUGUAGACUUCACAAACAAAUUUGUCUUUCAGUCUGUACUGAAUGUGCCAAGAGAAGCAUCCAUGUUAGUAGGCAGAACAGAUGUUUUUUCUAGAUCUUUGCUUUUGGAGCCACAUAUUUGUAUAUGAUCUGUGAAUCAUUGAGAUGCAUUAACAUGUUGAUCUUAUGUAUGGGAAUCAUACUAGUUGGUUUUAGUUGCGACGCAAGAUCCGAAGUGGCUGAUCUUUGCUUUUGGAGCUACAUAUUUGUAUAUGAUCUGUGAAUCAUUGAGAUGCAUUAACAGUUCCUUAUUUCUGUUCGCUCAAUGUUUACAAGUUACUGAUCGAUCACUAGCUAGCCUACUAAUGCGCUCCUGGCAGUUUUAAUUGCGACGCAAGAUCCGAAGUGGCAGUUUUUUGAAUAAAAAUGCCUGCCUAUGAAGAAACUGACAAGCUGCUCUGAAGAAAAUGCCAUGGGAAUCUGAAGAAACUGCCAGCGAAAACAUUCGCAAAUGCCUUAUCUCCCAGCUAAAGUUCAUCAACUAAUGCCCUCGGCUGCGACUCGUUGCAUGCUGCUCCGCGUACUGGCUGCGAGCGAUUUUGAGUGCCUGCAUGCAGCCGGCCGUAAUUAAGGCAGCUAACUGAUGCGAAAAAAGAUGCGCUUUAAUUGUUGCGGGCCUUUUAAAUCCGUGGAAUCAUUAUUGACAAGGAGGGAGAUGAUUCGAGUGCACUCGUUUGACCGUCAUGCCGGCAUGCGACCCAGCACGGACGGGACGGGAAGGCACAGUCAUAAUUUCAGUUUCUCUAGUUUUCCACGGCAAGCUAGCGCGCUAAGCCAUGCCUGCUUAAUUAUGCAUUGAAUUCUGAUGACCGUCGCGCUACCUUCUGCCUAUAAGUACUGUUUCCCGGCCUUCUAUGGUGGCACCGUGACCCAACUCGCCCUAUCCUCAUAAGCCCCCACCGGCCCGACGUCGCUCGCCACUUAUCCCCGCUCUUGCCACGUCCGCCAUGCCCCAGCCCGUCCGCGAUACGCCAGGCCGGAGGCGGUCACCGCCGGAACUAGUGUUCGGUUUUUCACAGGAAGGCAGACGGAGGGAGGAGGCAUUCUAUUGGUCUUUAGAUGGCAAUGCGGAGAUCGAGGACUUGUUGGAGCGCGACCGCCUGACGGAGGAGCAGGAGUUGUUGGAGCGCGACCGCUUGGCGGAGGAGCAGCGUAUCGCCGAUUUGCGCCGCCAGCGGGACAUGGAGCAGCAGCGCACCGACGCUCUGAGUCGCGAGCAGAGCGCCCGCAACUGGGCCGACUACGCGGAGGUCGGCGCCCGGCAAAUAGACCUGGAGGCUGUCGGGCACGCACGCGUUUGCGACGCCGAUUUUUACUACCAGCUCGUCAAGUGGGUUUCCCGCUUAGAAGUCGAAGCUUCUGUGGACCACGCCGGCAUGGAAAGGGCCAACACGCACGAGCAACGCACCCUAUCACACCUCUGGCAAGUCCGAGGCGAGGCGGAGGACGUCGGUGUCGGCGUUUAGCGUGUACCACAGAUGGCGGCCGGCAUCGUCUAGUUAGCUAAGAGUAAGUUAGUACUUGUACGCUACUAGAGUAUUAGUGGGAGUAGAUAGUUAACUUGGCUAUGAUGGUUGUCAACGUGGAAGUUCAGUACUCUAUAUGUGGAUCAGACCUGUUACUUUGCUCUGAAUGUUGAACUUUCCGUUUGAACGUAUGAAAUGAGCUGUUAUUUUUUUAAAUGGGUUGUAUUUGUCCUCCACGGGUUUAGAGGCUGCCUUGUGGGCCUACCAAGUUGACGCGUACACAAUCAGGAGAUGAUUGUACGUGGAGAGGAUGACAACAGGGACCCGCCAAGGUCAUGGCAGUACGCAAGCAAGUGCCUCCUUAUUUCAAGCCAAUAAAAAAUGGCUCGUCCUAAUGGAUUUCUGACAUCUGGGUCCCAUGCCAUUGUCAAUGUAGUCAAUAAACGAGAGAAUUGCACAACAAGCGGCUGACACCAGGGACCCAGCAGCUCGCCCAGUUAUUUUUGUUUUGGGUUAAUUUGAUAAAUGCCACUCCAAAUCUGGUGUUUCUGAGAAAUACCACUGCAAUUUCCAAACUUUGAAAAAUGCCAUUUCAUGCCAUUUCCAGUGGCAUUUUUCAAAGUCUGGAGUGGCGUUUUUCAAAGUUUGCAAAUUGCAGUGGCAUUUUCCAAAGUUUGCAAAAAUUGCAGUGGCAUUUUUUAAAGUUUGGAAAUUACAAUGGCAUUUUUAUGAAUCGCCAUAAUUGGAGUGGCAUUUAUCUAAUUUGUUUUUGAGACGGAAGCAGGGUGUCAACUGGGCUGUGCGGGGCACUCUGGCCUGUCUAGACAGCCUUCUCUUUUAUGUUUACCACAGACCAGCCCAGUAGUUUUUUUUCUUUCUGAAAAUGGCUAGCCCAGUUUUUUAGUGAUUUGCCAAGUAAGUCGCUAGGCCUGUUGGGCUGCAAAUAUUUCAAGACGAGGAGAGCUUCAUUUGACUGGCCGAGAAAAUGGCCUAUCAGUAAUGAGAAAUGGGUUGUACAUUUUUAAAACACAUCAAACCGGCAAUUAGUUUCAAAUUUCUUUUUUUCAUUUUGAGAUUUUAAAUUGCAUUAAUUUUUAUGCGUUGACAAUUUUUCGGAUUUUAUAUUGAUAUACAUUUAUUUUUAAAAUCAGUUUGAAUGUGACUCAAAAUUUCAGGAUUAAAAACAGUUCGGACCGCACCGAAAUAUGCAAAAUUUCGUAUAAUUUUUUAACCGUGGCCACAAUAUGGGUUGUAAUGCUAACAAAAAGAAUAUGGGCUCCAAAAAAACCUUAAGAAUUAGCAAAUGGGCUGUAAAUUAUUAGAAAUAAUGGCAGAUGGGUUGUAUGCUGUUUUCCACAGAUUUGAGGCUUUCCUAAAAAAAAGGUUGGCGCACAAGCAGUGACUGUUGGAUGUCCAUCCAACGGCCGUCGUGCUUCUUCAAUCUCUGCUCUUCCUGCUCCAGCCGCUCAAACAAGUGCCGGCGGGACUGUCUGCUCCCUCCUCCCUGCGGCCGGCUGUGCUACCGCGCAGGUCUCACCGCCCCACCGUACUCCCAUCGCUGGCCUAGCCAUCCCUCUACUCACCCACACAUGCUGUUAUUCUCCGGCGACGGCAGACGAACCAGUAAACCCUCGUACAGUCGUACCCCCCUCCGCGUGGGAAACAACUGCCGAGUCUUCCCUACCUCUGUGUCGUUCCCUUCCUAGGCCUCGCCGUCGUCCACCGCCCUAGUGCUCUCGGCGCGGCUUGGUCAACAUGGUCAACGACCGACAUGCAUCUGAAGUGGACUGUACAUGGAGAGGCUGAUAGCUGGGUCCAUGGCCGCACGCAAGGAAAUGCCUCCUUAUUACGCGCAAAAUAAUGAUUCCUCCACCUGACAUCUGGGACCCACCAAAAGGGCCUCUGUAUUUCGUGAAAAAAUGUUACCGCCGCUGACAGCUCGGACCCACCAGCUAUAUCUUCGCAUGCAAGGAAGUGCCUCCUUAUUAUGCACAAAAAAAUGAAUACUCCCCUUGCUAGCUGGGACCCAGUAUAGUGGCAGGCUGACUUGUGGGCCUACUAAGUUGACGGGGACGGAGAGCUUUGUCAACUUAGUCAAUAUGAACGAUUCUAGCUCCCGUGACCGUACGAUGUCCAUCCAACUGCCGUAGUGCUUCUUCAACCUCUGGUCUUCUUGCUCCAGCCGCCCAAACCAGCGUCGGUGGUGCCUCGUGCUCCGGCCUCCCGUGGCCGGCUGUGAUGCGGCGGAGGCCACACCGCCCCCUACUACUCCCACCGCUGGCCAGGACAUCCCUCUACUCACCCACACCCCCUGUUAUUCUGCGGCGACAGCAGCCUCACACCGCAGCGAACCAGUGAACCCUCAUACUCCUCUACACGUGGGCAUCCACUGCCGCAUCUUCCCCGGCUCCGCUUCGUCCCCUUCCUAGGCCUCGCCGUCGUCCACCGCCCUGGUGCUCUCGGCGCGGCGUGGUCAACGUGGUCAAGGAACGACUUCCAUCGGAAGAGUACUGUACGUGGAGAGGCUGACAGCUGGGUCCACGGCAGCUGCAAGGAAGUGCCUCCUUAUUACGUGGAAAAUAAUUAUUCCUCCGACUGACAGCAGGGACCCACCGGACGGGCCAUCGUAUUUGGCGGAAAAAUACAUUUCCCCUCUGACUGCUGGGACCCACCGGACGGGCCACCGUAUUUCGCGAAAAAACGUUCCCCCCCGCUAUCAGCUCGGACCCACCGGAAGUGCCUCCUUAUUACGCACAAAAAAUGAAUACUCCCCCUGCUAAUUGGGACCCACCUUGGUGGGUGGUUGACUUGUGGGCCUACUAAGUUGACGGGGAUGGAGUGCUUUGUCAACUUAGUCAAUAUGAACGAUUCUAGCUCCAGUGACCGUACGAUAUCCAUCCAACGGCCGUAGUGCUUCUUCAACCUGUGGUCUUCUUGCUCCAGCCGCCCAAAGCAGCGCCGGUCGUGCCGCAUGCUCCUGCCUCCCAUGGCCGGCUAUGCUGCCGCGGAGGCCUCACCGCCCCCUACUAUUCCCACCGCUGGCCAGGCCCUGCAGCGAUGGCAGCCUCAGACCGCAGCCGAACCAGUGAACCCUUGUACUCCUCUCCGCGCGGGCUUCCACUGCCGCGUCUUCCCCGGCUCCGCAUCGUCCCCUUUCUAGGCCUCGCCGUCGUCCACCACCCUGGUGCUCUCGGCGCGGCGUGGUCAACAUGGUCAAGGAACGACUUCCAUCGAAAGAGUACUGUACGUGGAGAGGCUGACAGCUGGGUCCACGGCCGCAGCAAGGAAGUGCCUCCUUAUUACGCGCAAAAUAAUUAUUCCUCCACCUGACAGUGGGGACCCACCGGACGGGCCAUCGUAUUUAGCAAAAAAACAUUUCCCCCUGACUGCUAGGACCCACCAGCUACAUCUUCGCACGCAAGGAAGUGCCUGACAGUCGGGACCCACCUGGUCGAAGCGUACGUAGCAUUGUCAUUCUGGUCGCGAACAUGUACGUACAUACUGGUCGAUGUAGAGGCGCGCACGUGUCGUAGUAGAGGCGCACACGUAGCAUGUACAUGUACGUACAGCGGCCAGUGUGCAAGAAAGAAAAUACGGCCACAUACGUACAUACGGGCAGGGUCUCGAACGCCUACUCGCGCAUACGUACGGCCAGGGCUCGUGUACAUGGCUGGGUCGGAACGGAGAAACUGCGUCGUUGUCGUGUUCAUGGGGAGCCAACCGGCUGGGUCGGAACGGAAUGCAUCGUCGUGUUCAUCGGGAGGGCUUGGACGGAACAGCCGAUGGAAACGAGGCCUGGCGUACCGCAGAACGGAGGAAACGGCCUUGUGUUCGACCGGCCACGUUCAAAACGGGAUCCUGUUCAUUGGGAGGGGUCUGGCGUACCGCAAAACGGAGGAAACAGACCUCCUACGGUCGAAACGGGGGUCCUGUUGAUCGGGAGGGGUGUGGCGUACCGCAAAACGGAGAAAACGGACUUGUGUUGGAGCGCUACGGUCGAAACGGGGGUCAUGUUCAUCGGGAGGGGUGUGGCGUACCGCAAAACGGGACUCCACGGGAUACUGUUCAUCUCCACCGUCGACCCCCUCCAGCCUCCACGGGCUAUUGUUCAUCCACCGUCGACCUCCUCCAUCCUCCACCUGCGACUGUUCAUCCACGGGCUCCUGUUCAUCCAGCCUCCAUCGCCCGCUACUCCACCGGCUACUGUUCAACCAGCCCUCUCCACGGGUUCCUGUUCAACCACCCCUCCACGGGCUACUAUUCAUCCAGCCCUCCACCGUGUACUGUUCAUCCAGCCCUCCACGGGGUGGUCCUGUUCAUCCAGCCCUCCACGGGGUCCUUUUCAUCCAGCCCCAACCGGCUCGAUCGAUCGGGGUCCUGUUCAUCCAGAGGCAACACCACGGGGUCCUGUUCAUCCACCCCCACCGGGAACUGUUCAUCCAACCCCCCCCAGCAACGCUCACUGUUCAUCCAGAGGCAGCAUCGAUCGGCUUCAGUUAGCAGCAGUAGCGAAGGAAUCGCUCGAUCGGGUUCAGUUAACAGCCAUCGAUCGAUCGCUCGGGUUCAGUAACGCGUUGCCUGCAGUGCAAUCGCUCGGGUUUAGUUAGAGCCCAACGCCUCACUAGGGUUCAGUUAGAGCCCAGCGCCUCGCACCCACGCGCGUGCGUGUACGAGAGAAACGCGCAUCGCUCGGCCCCGACCACCCACCGUAACCGGGAACACCCCGAUAUUUUCCUCGCCCUCGCUUCUACCACGGUUUUUUCCGUCAUGGUCGGCCCAAAGAAUGUCAUGCAGCUGCGUCUCCGGCCCGCCCAGGACGAAAAGCCCAUUUUCUGUCAUGAUUUUUUGUCAUAGAAGUAGGACCCAACCACCUCUAUGAUGAUACCAGGCUUUGUCACAAUUAUCGUCAUAGAAGUGUCAUAAGUAUGACGAAAAAAAUCGUUCGGCCCAAAAUGUCACGGAUGUGUCUUUUUUUGUAGUGAUUCCUUUGGAGUAUGCCCCCCGGCUUACGAAACAGGGACACUGGCUGGUAUCUCUACUCGUCCUAGCCCUCAUCAAGCCAUGAGAUCUUCAAACAAUCAAGCAAGCUUGGAAGUGCAAGAAGAACUCCCACCAAGGAGGCCUUUACACAGGUUACAUCAUAACAAUUUUCACAACUUGAUUCACAAUUAUGGGUUCGAAAAUACUCCUCAUAUGCACAUACCAUCCAAUUGGGACAUAUCCCAUCCAAGAGAAAGUGAUUCAGGAGCAAGUUCUUGGGGGCCGGAGAAUAAGUAUAUCAUGGCUGAGGUGAGGAAAAAUGUUGAGUUGCUUCAUAAAGCUCUUCGUGAGAUUGAGGGCAUAAAGGAGACACUCAUGGAAAUAUUGGGAGUUGUAUCACCAUCACCUUGUUCUUCAUCACCAAAAGAAAAUUGAGUAUCGGGUAAGGGCACUCCCUUGGCUUCCGCCAAGCUUGGGGGAGGUGCCCCGGUAUCGUAUCACCCCACUAUCUUUUGCCUUUACUUAAUUUAGUUCGAUCUUUUUCUUUAGAUGAAUAAAAGUUUAGUUCGAUCCUUUCUUUUCGAGGGUUUGCUUAGUGAUUUAUCCUUGUAAUCGUGUGCAAGAUAUAUAAUAAAGUUUAGUUUGAGUUUUUGCUUUCUUUACUUUCAUGUUGCAAUAAAAAGAAAGGAAAUAAAUUAAAAAUAUCAUAUGUUAAUCUUAUGGUAGGUGAUGACACCACAUAAGGAAAAGUAUAAGUAGGAAAUUUUAUUAGAGAUUGACAAACAUAGCAUUGGUCAAUGAUGCAACUCAUGAAAGAAAUAAUAAGGGAAGAGAAGAUUCGCAUAUAAAUACACUAUCCUAGAGAUCUUUUGUGAUUGUGAGCCCCCAUCAAAAUAUUAUAUGCCAAAAUUGUUGACGUUGGACAAGGAAGACAACGUAAUGAUUUAUGUUUGUUCAUAUUCACAUAGAAGUUAUAUUGUCAUAGAUCCUUCAACAUGUGGUGCUUGCCCCCUAUCUUUGCUAGCCAAAAAUUCCGCACUAAGUAGAGAUACUACUUGUGCAUCCAAAAACCCUUCAACCCAAAUCUUAUUUUCAAGAGUCCACCAUACCUACCUAGGGAUUGAGCAAGAUCCCUCAAGUAAGUUGUCAUCGGUGCAAUAAGGCAAUAAAAAUUGCUUCUAAAAGUGUGAGAUCAUUUAGUGUAAGAGAAAAUUGAGCGUUGUACCAACUUGUGAUGGUGAAGAAUAAAAGCGACAGACUGCAUAAUAAAGGUUGCCAUCACAAGGGGCAAUACAAUGUGACUUUGUUUUGCACCUAGGGGUUGAGCAUACAAACAAAUAAACACAUGGCAACCUCCGCUUCCCUCUGCGAAGGGCCUAUCUUUUACUUUUAUGAAAAGAGUCAAAGUUUUUCUCUCUAUUCCUUUUUAUUUUUCUCCUUUGGCAAGCAUCAUGUGGUGAGGAAAGAUCUAGGCACAUAUGUCCAGUUGAAUAUGGGUGGCAUGAGUUAUUAUUGUUGACAUCACCCUUGAGGUGAAUACGUUGGGAGGCGAAACUAUAAGCCCCUAUCUUUCUAUGUGUCUGGUUGAAACGUUUUGCUCAUGUGUAUGCAGUGAGUGUUAGCAAUCAUAGAAGACUAUAUGAUGGUUGAGUAUGUGGACUUGCCUAAAGGCUCCGAUACGUGACCCUUCCUAAAAAUAUGAUGAAUUGUAGUUGCAAAGUUGACUGAGAACAUAGUUUGUUGGUUUCUAAUAGAGUAUAUGCUUUAUACUUCAAUUAUGUGAUGAAUUGUCACUUAUUCAUGGGAAGUCUAUGAUAAAAGUUCUAUGAUAAAAGUCUUAUGUUUAAAUUUGUUGCUGCUAUAAUAAUCUACAUGAUGCUUCUAUGUCCGUAUUUUGUUUUUAUCGACACCUCUCUCUCUCUAAGCAUGUGGACAUGUUUUUCGAUUUUGGUUUUCGCUUGAGGACAAGCGAGGUCUAAGCUUGGGGGAGUUGAUACGUCCAUUUUGCAUCAUGUUUUCCUACUGUUAUUUAUGAUGUUUUUAUGCAUAAUAAAGAUUUUUGGAGUAAUUCUAAUGCUUUUCUCUCAUAAUAUGCAAGGUACACUCAAAGAGGGAGAAUUCCGGCAGUUGGAAAUCUGGACCUGGAAAAGCUACGUCACGCCACCUAUUCUGCACAACUCCAAACAAGCUGAAACUUUACGGAGAUUUUUUAUGGAAUAUUUGAGGAAUAUUGGAGCCAAUAAGUACCAAAGGGGGCCCACCAGGUGGGCACAACCCACCUGGCAGCGCCAAGGAGCCCAGGCGCGCCCUGGUGGGUUGUGCUCACCCAGGCCCACCUCCGGUGCCCAUCUUCUGGUAUAUAAGUCAUUUUGACCUAGAAAAAAUAAGGGGAGUACUUUCGGGACGGAGCGCCACCGUCUCGAGGCGGAACUUGGGCAGGAGCACUUUUGCCCUCCGGCGGAGCAAUUCCGCCGGGGGAACUUCCCUCCCAGAGGGGGAAAUCAUCGUCAUCAUCAUCACCAACAACUCUCCCAUCUUGGGGAGGGCAAUCUCCAUCAACAUCUUCAAUAGCACCAUCUCCUCUCAAACCCUAGUUCAUCUCUUGUGUUCAAUCUUUGUACCGGAACUAUAGAAUGGUGCUUGUGGGUGACUAGUAGUGUUCAACUAUAUGGUUUAUUUGAUGGAAGAUUAUAUGUUCAGAUCCAAUAUGCUAUUUAAUAGCCCUAUGAUCUUGAGCAUGAUUAUCAUUUGUGAGUAGUUACUUUUGUUCUUGAGAUAUGUGUUCGAUAUUUUGAUAGUAUGUAUGUUGUGAUUCCCUUAGUGGUGUCAUGUGAACGUCAACUACAUGACACUUCACCAUAUUUGGGCCUAAGGGAAUGCAUUGUGGAGUAGUUAUUAGAUGAUGGGUUGCGAAGUGACUGAAGCUUAAACCCUAGUUUAUGCGCUAUUCCGUAAGGGGCCGGUUGGAUCCAAAAGUUUAAUGCUAUGGUUAGAAUUUAUUCUUAAUACUUUUCUCGUAGUUGCGGAUGCUUGCGAGGGGGUUAAUCAUAAGUAGGAGGUUUGUUCAAGUAAGAACAACACCUAAGCACCGGUCCACCCACAUAUCAAAUCAUCAAAGUAGCGAACACAAAUCGAAUCAACAUGGUGAAAGUGACUAGAUGAAAUUCCCGUGUACCCUCAAGAACGCUUUGCUUACUAUAAGAGACCGUUUUGGCCUGUCCUUUGCCUCAAAAGGAUUGGGCUACCUUGCUGCACUUUUGUUACUACUAUCAUUACUUGCUCGUUACAAAUUAUCUGGCUAUCAAACUACUCUGUUACCUACAAUUUCAACACUUGCAGACAUUACCUUGCUGAAAAUCGCUUGUCAUUUCCUUUUGCUCCUCAUUGGGUUCGACACUCUUACUUAUCGAAAAGAGCUACAAUUGAUCCCCUAUACUUGUGGGUCAUCAGACAGCAGCUUCAGCCUAGGAUAGAAAUUGAUGCAUACGGGAUUGAGGGGGGACCAAUAUAUCUUAAUGCUAUGGUUGGGUUUUACCUUAAUGAACGUUAGUAGUUGCGGAUGCUUGCUAAUAAUUCCAAUCAUAAGUGCAUAGAAUUUCAAGUAAGAGAUGACAUGUUAGCAGUGGCCUCUCCCACAUAAAAACUUGCUAUCGGUCUAGUAAUGUAGUCAAUUGCUUAGGGACAAUUUCGCAGCUCCUACCACCACUUUUCCACACUCGCUAUACUAACUUAAUUGUUUAUUUAUCUAAACAACCCCUAGUUUUUAUUUACGUGCUCUUUAUUAUCUUGCAAACAUAUCCCACAACACCUACAAAGUACUUCUAGUUUCAUACUUGUUCUAGGUAAAGCGAACGUCAAGCGUGCGUAGAGUUGUAUCGGUGGUCGAUAGAACUUGAGGGAAUAUUUGUUCUACCUUUAGCUCCUCGUUGCGUUUGACACUCUUAUCAAAAGAGGCUACAAGUGAUCCCCUAUACUUGUGGGUUAUCACUAGGCUAUCCCGUUGGUCCCAAUGGUUGACCACACCUACCCUAGGUUUGCGGUAGUCGUUCCGCCUCGUCAUGGAUGAGAAGCACCUCGUGGCAGAGGUGGAGCUUGAGGCAGAACGAGCAGGCGCUAUCGCUCUCACCAAGCUCUGCGUCGACCCGGUCUUCAUUGCGGAAAAUCGCGCCAUCUCGAGUCCAUUAAGGAUGAACAGGUGGUGUCAGGCUAUCAAUGAACCGCUGCACGAUCUUCAUCCAUGACGGAGAGCAAUAAGAGACCUUUGUGGAUGAGGAUGAGGACGACGAGGGAGAGCAGUUGCCUCCCACCACUGAGAAAUUAUGUAGGGCCUACUUUCUCUGCAUGUUCCCUAGUCCCUACCCUCCCCCACUGCCCAAGUACAACAUGCUAGCCAAUGAAUCUUGUUUGACGCCUUACAUGUGUGAUGUGUCAAAAAAAGAUUGUCGUGACGUGCACAAUGACUGAAUAAUGUCAAUAAACAUAAUGACAUGCCCCAUCUCUUGCCAAGCUGUUGUUGUGCCACUGGUAGUGUCAAUAAAUGCAUCUAGAAAGAAAAAUGCAGUUGCCCCCGUGUCGCCUCCCAGGGGCGACACGGCAGAUCCCCAGUCUCGCCGCCACCGACCCCUCCUCCUUCGCCCCUUCCCUCGCCACCGCCGGUAGUCCCUCCCGGACGAAGCCCUGACGUGGGUUGGCAGCGGUGAGGCCGCCCCACCUCUCCUUCCCCUUCCUCGCUCCCCAUGCUGCUCCUCUCGAACCCCAGCGCCUCAGACGCGCCAUCAUCAGUUAUCCCUGCUCUCCAUCGUCCAGCUCGGGUGGCCGGCCUGGAGUUUGCUGUUAGCGGCGAGGUAGGCUUGCAUCUGGCCACGCCCGUGGUGCGGGGUUACCAUCCCUCGAGAUCGUAUUUGCCCAUAUCCAACUGGAGGUCGGGUCAUUGAUCCAAAGAGGCUACGGCUAGGGGGUUGGCUGGUACUUCCCGUCCAGGGGGAUGGGCCUGGUUGUCGGGGGGAUGUCAUGUCUCCUAAUAUAAAUCGGCCAGGCGGUGGCCCUCGUGCUCUUCGCGUGAAGUCCCCAUUCUACAUGUGAUCAAUCCUCUUUGAUCUGGCCAUCAAUGAGUUCCGGACAUCUCCUUCGAAGGAAAACAAGGACUAGCAUAUAUGACACUUUUUUGGACAGCUUGAUUGGAUAAGGGCCCGUCGUGUGCACCCGCAAUAUCAGUAUAACCAACUUCACUAGGGUAUCACGAAGCUCUGUUUUUGUUGACACCUUGGGACAUGUCUUCUCCAAGAUUUCCAAGGGAUCGACACAUGAUGAGAAUGCCAUGGCGUGAUUGGAGGACCUGCAAGUUGCGAAGGCGGGAUCUUGGAUGCGAUGAAGACUUUGCUUCAUAGACAGUUGUUUAGAAUUGGCUUGCGGGGUAUGUUCUCACCCAUGCCGGGCACGAGUUUCUGUGAGCCCGGUGGUAAGUGACUUGUAGUAGUAGCCUCCGCGAGUGGGGGCGGCAACAUUGGAGGACUUCUUUGUUGGUGGUGCUCUUUUGAGUACCGAGUCAUGAUUUCCAGGGUGAAAACCCAAGGUCUAGCCUUUAUUAGUUGUGCCUGAUAGUGGCCUUGUUGAAGUCAUUGUUUUGGUAACGCGGUCUUUCUCCAGGGUGAAAACCUAUGAUCAUUGAUCGGGCAACGACAACACUUGUGCAUUGUUCCCUUCCUGGAGGCGUUGCUUUUGAAGAACCUUCUUUCUAGUUUGGGUGUUGUCUUUGGUGGUGUUAAGAGUGCUGCUACUGCGGGUGAUUGAUCACCAUGACAUGUUUUUUUCUCUUAUUAUUUUCUUUUUUGGCCGUGUGCAUCCUGGAUGUUCUUACGCGUCUUGUUGGUGCAUAGGCUGGGCGUAAUUGGUAUCUACUUGAUAUUAAUAUAUUCCUCUUUAAAAAAAUCUUUAUCCAUUAGGCUUAAUAAGCUAUAAUAACAUAUACAAGCAAAAUUAGUAACAACUAGGAACUAGUUGGGAGAUUAGCACAUCUGGAACUGUACAACUAGGAAGAAAUAGGCAAAGUGCCACAAUAUGAAAGUAAUACGAAUGUUACUUUAAUUCGUGCUUAUGUUUAAGAAAACAUACAUGUCCUUUCGGUGCAUGUUACAGGGCAAAAAUAGGAACAAAAAUACGAUUUCUUGCACCUGCCAUCUAAACACUUACAUGCAAUACAUAGAUCCUCAACUUUAAUUAAUUGGUCUCCUUGAUAAUAGUAUCUCCAUCCAGCUAUCUCUCACGUAGCCAUGCACAUGAAAGUUUUCAUAGUUUACUUAUUGUACUCUUUCCUCCAAACAUGUAUGUGUAGAGCCUUAGCUUCUUCACAAGGAUUAGUGUUGUUACUCGUUUGUUUAUCUCCUGAAAUAAAUGCACCAGUCUCUCUUUGACCCGCGCGCUUUGUAUUAUGAACAACAAAAACUAGCUGUUCAUCAUUGUAGCUUGGCCGCACGUACUCUAAUGUAUAUGCAGCAUAUUUUCGGACAACACCAACUUCAGGCGAAACAUUAACUUGACUGCCAUCCUCAUGUGAAGUCAAUUAAAAAGAUUCCUUCCAUUUUUUUCAGCCCAUGUGUAUUUUAUGUGAAUAACAAUUCCAUGUAGAAUCAAACUUAUUUAAUUCUGGAUAGGCAAACUAUUUUCAAUAGCACUGCCAAUGAUAUAAUUCACAUAUCUGAAUAGUCUGCACUAUCUUAGUUAACUGCUCCAAAUUCCGUGCAUUAGAAGAAUGGGAGAAUCCCUGACCAAACUGCGUGCAAGGGUGAACUGAUUGUUAUCUUCAGCGGAGCAUCCAGCAUCUUCACAAAUUGUGUGUGAUCAGUUUUGUUAAAUGAACAAACAAAAAGCAAUAAUAAUAAAGAAAAUAAGGACAUGUCCUGCAAUCUAGUAUUUGGCAGACGAAGUGACAAGAUUGUGACAAUGUGAUGAAUCUUUGCAACAAAAGGGAGUACUUAUAUAUGCAUUUGACAUUCAAGAAUAUGAGCUAUUAAACCAAAAAUGGAAUAGUAAAGUUAAAAGACUAAGGGCCAGUUCGCUGUGGAAAUAAGUUGCCCCCUCCUUACUUAUAGUAGGCUUAUAAAAUGAAAUUUUAGGUUAAGCUUCUAGAAUAGCUAGGAAAGGGGCAGCUUAUUUCCACACCCUGCCAUAGGCCAAAAAAAACUAGCCCUAAGCAUGUUCCCUGAGAAAUGCUUCAAUCGUCCACAUGGGUGUAAUAGAAUGGAUUAAAUCAGACUCAUCGUCUGUGAAAUAGCAGCAAAUUUAGAGAAGCUGAAAAUGACAAUAACUUUGCCAUCAGUUCUUGGAGCCAUGAUGUUCAUCAGUUAGUGUUUUAUUCAAACCGACCACCAUUGUUGAUCUCCUCCAAUUCAUUCCCAUGUCUAAGAUCAAAUUACCGCAUGGUGCUUAAGCAAUAAAAUCAAGAUCAGUUGUUUAACUGAGGCUCCAAUUCACUGGCAGCUACCAAUGCUGGAAGUGUCACUGCAGAGAAAAGGAGCUGCAUCACACUGCAAACAGAUAAAAUAACUGACAACAAAUGCAGGGCCAAAAGGCACAAUUCAGAGUACCUCAAAGAUAAUAGGUGCAUAAAAUUCAGUCACAAACACAUAUAAUCCUCACAUUACAUAAAACUCAGUCCUGGAACAUAGCCAGACUAGUAUUAAACAGCUAAACACAGGUAAAGCAACUUCCACAGCCACAACCGCAAAACAAAUCAGGAAUCACUCGGACAAUGCCAUCAUCCCUCAGAGUUCCGCUGCCUGGAUGUAAGAUGAUGCUUCCCCUCCCUCCAAGGCACCUACUUGGAUCGCUGCCUCAUCUUUCGGCGCUUCCUCUUGAGCCUCCUCAUCCUCUUCUUCUUCCACUGCACAUUAUCACAAAAAUGCAGAUCAUCAGUACAAAUUGCAUAGUGCUAGAUGCGCAGGAACAUGAGAUAAUUCCACAUGAAAAGAGAAAGUAGUAUGUGAUUUAGAAUCAGAAGAUUGAGUGUUUCACUGGAUAUCAUCACAUGAUUCUCAGAAACACGGACCAAUUGUUCUUCAUCAUGUUCCAAAACUGCCAAUUUGGCAUGGCGAAAAGAGAACUACUAAAGAAGGUCAUACCUAUCUACAAACUAGAUCUGCAGUCGGGUUGACAUUCAGAAUGAGUAGGAGGAUUUUAUCAUCAAAUAGAUCAGACGCCAUUUGUCUUCCUCAUCAUGGCAACCGACGCAACUGAUCUAAAGAAAGAACAAAUCUAGGAAAAACACUGGCAAAGAAAACACAGUUCUCUCAGACAAAUGCCUCGAUUGUCCACAUGGUGUAAUAGAAUGGAUUACAUCAGACUCGUCAUCUGUUUUCAUCAUCACAGAGAACUAUGCACAAAUGAAAACAGCAAAAAAAACGCAUAAAUCUGGCUAACAUAACUAGAAGCAGUAAUUAUAUAUCAUAGAGCAAGCAAAUCUGGUCGAAAUAGCAACGGUUCUCUCAGACAAAUGCCUCAUAUUGUCCCCACGGUUGAAUGGAAUGGAUUGAAUCGGACAUCUAAUCAGUGUUGAUCAUCACAGAGAACCACUACCUACGCAAGCGAGCGGCAGCAACAGCAAGAACGAACGCUCGGUAAGCACUAGCACAUGUCUAGAUCUACCACGGUCGGGACGCAGAUAACAGCAGGCGAGGUAGAAGACGGGCGGCAGUACGAACCUUGGCCCUCAUCGCGGCGGCGGUGUCGGCCUCGCUCUCCGGUUCGCGGGGAUGGCGGCGGCGGGAGUGUGUGGACGAACACCCUAGCGGCGGGGGCUCUCGUUAGAUUGUUGGCGGCGGGGGCUCUCGCCUCGUACUUAUACGGGCUGGGUGCUGAAGAGGGGGGAAACCCUAGCGGGGUUGGACGGGUGGACGGCUGGGAUCAGCCAAUGAACGGCGUUCUUAUCCGAUUAGUUGCUCUGGUAUGGGCCUGUUGGGCCUCCAAACAACGCCUAGGCCCACGCUAACAUUUGACUGGACUUGAUUUCCUAAAGGGAGGAAAAAGAAACUUGACCAGUCUUUACUUUAUUCUCUUGUUUUUUUAUUUUACUACUAGAACAAUGCCCGUGCGUUGCAACGGGAUAUAAAUAUUCUAGCACGUUAGCUUGUGAUUUACCUGUCAAUAAUAAUGUGAUUGUGUAAAUAAAUGUUCAUAAAAUUCUGACCAUGAAUUACCUUAUAUUUUGAUUAGAAGAUUGGUAAAUAAAUUAAAGUGGAGUUGAUUCAGAAGGUAAGUAAAUUAAGGUGAUUGAUUAUCAUAUACAUGGAAGACUGGACGAAGGGUUGGUGGAAAGAAAUAUGAAAUGUGAACCUUACGUUCUUUUUAAGUACUAGUAGAGAUUUAAAAAAAAAGAAUAGCAUUCCUUUUCCUGCCAGGCGGAGUGAUUCGUCCAACAUUCCCUUUUUCUAAUGAUCAUUCCUUGAAAACCGUCUUAAUCGUCUCAUCUUUUAUUGACUUGUCAAAUAAAUUUUAUUUUCUUUGGUAAGUCAAUAAGUGAUUACAAAAUAAAAUCACGGGCAAGAUUUGUUAAAUAUUUAUUUACACAAUCACAUAAUAUGAAGAUGUAAAUUAUGAGAUAAUGUAUUGUAAUAUAAUAUUUAUGCCCCGUAGCGACGCACGGGGAAAUAUCUAAUUUUACUAGAAAAAAGACUAAUACAUUGUGAUGGCGCUGGUGCGCAACUGUUGGUGCAGCACGAUUCAGGAUUAAUUAUACUAUUUUUAACACAAUAUAGACGCAAGCGCUCAUAUAUAUACGCGCAUAUACUCACCCCUAUGAAUGCACACACGUAUACCUUUUUUUUUGCGACAACAUAGAGCACCUCCGAAAGAUUGAGUCGGCAUACUAUCUACAUUUUACAAAGUCACCAUUGGCGCCUAUCCAGGAUAUAUAUGCGAGCAGCAAGACUUGAACCCUGCUGGGUUAGGGAUAUCACUGUCCUCCUAACCAUCCAACCACAUGUUGGUUCGCCACGACUAAUCAUACUGGUGUAGCCAAGUCUUAUUUAAAAACUAGGGAGGAAACUUUGUCCUAGUUGAACAACACGUUGCUGCGGUCUGAUGUAGUUGCUACUCGUUUGUUUCUAAAGUACCUUGUAAUCAAACUACUUGUGAUGAGAACAAAUCGAUAAAGUAUCUUGUAAUCAAACUACUGAGAUAAUUUGUACCUUCUCUCCAUACCCAUGUAUCAUCAAGUAGCCUCUUAAUGUAGUUUCCCUUUUCCCGCUUUGAAGCAAGUCUACGAAAAAAUGAUGUAUUCCGAUCUCCAUGAAGCAACCAAUUAGCUCGUCCUCUCUAUAACCAAAUCAAUUCUUCUUGGUACAGAAGAUUUUCAAUAUCUAGCCUACAAAAAAGAAGAUUCUCAAUAUUUGAAAAUCUUUUUUAUCCCUAAUCUCCCUGUCGAAUCACUUUGUCUCCAUUUUAAGGUCUUUUUUUAGCUUCGAUAUCCUCUUAUUUGGGCCUUUCAGAACCUCCCGAUCCCUCUGGUGUAGAUCUUUAUGAACAGCCUUGGUACGAUCAGACAAGGAUGGCCCCACACUAGCUAGCUUGCUCUCUCCCAAGCCAAUUGGACUACCGCAUUAACGGUUUCUUCACACAGCCAACGGGCUUCAAACUGUUUUCGGGCCUUCGGUUGUUGAGAAAAACAGAUUUAGAAUAAUUCUUAUGAAGGAGAAUAGGUCAAUGGUUUGAAUGGACAUGGUGCUCAUGAACCAAUGCAUAUGGCAAUUUAUCUGCACACGCCUCAUUACUUAGUGAUACCUUGGCUCCAGGUGAACUGGUCACCAAUAACAGUGGUCUAUUGAAGUCCACACAACCUCUGAAAUUAUGCAUCAACUGUUGAGGUCGAACAUUACCACCCUCCUUCUCACUUGCCACCAAUCUCUGAUUAAAAUCACAAAAACUAACCAUGGACCAGCCACAUUACAUUCCACAAGUAUGUCCAGGACAGGUGCUUCCGAUCCCAAGUUGGUUGUCCAUAAAAUCCUCAAGCGCCAUGAAGCAUUAUUUCCACCCAUAACAAUUCCAUCAAUAAAGUGUUUAGAAGAAUAAUUCAACAUCACUUCAUUAGACUGGUUAUAGAACAGGACAAGGUUCCCCGAGCAACCAUCACUCUCAACAAUAUGAGUAAAAUCAACCCUAGUUUAACUCUCAAAUCAAUUGCACUCGCUUUGUUCAUAUGUGAUUUAUAUAAGAAAAUCACAUAUGCUCUCACACUCCCUUGGAGGUCCAAGAGCUCUCAAACUGUCGUGGAUGAAAGCAUCCCACGACAGUUCCAAUCUAAGGUUUUCAUUGUGCCUGGCUGUCCUUCUCACCUGAGGCCACCAAUCCAUCAUUAGCAUUGCAGUCAAUUUCCGUCCAUCACUUCCCUUUAGUUUAAUUUUGUUUGCAUUUUUCCGAGGCCCACAAACCUUUUGUCUAGUACGUUUGAACCAAAAAAGAGUUAAAAUACAUGGUUUAGUCCACACUACGAGAAAGUGGCCGAACCAAAAUAAGCCACCUGAUUUUGAAAAUUCGACAAGUGCUUUAAGGUGACUUUGGUGUCCUUCCAACACCAUCCUUCGCGUCGUAUUGUCCAUGAAUCUUGCUUCCAUGAUGUACAUAUCCUCUUCUCCAAUCUCCACAACCUUCAGUCCUGUGGAUUUAAUUGUUGUGUACGAGCUUGCGUCAUUGAUCCUUGUGGGAUUACGGUCGUAGGUGUAGCAGGGGCUGUAAUGGUAGAAGAGGUGUCCCCAUCACUUAGUUUGGGGCAGGUGUUGGUGCUUUUUUAACACAGUACACAUGCAUGCGCUUAUAUAUAUACGCAUACACUCAUCCCUAUAAACAUAUACACGCAUACCUUACUCCUAUGAGCAUCUCGGAGAGACUAAGCCGGCAUAUCAUCUUGAGAUUGACGAAGUUACCAAAGGCGCCUCGUAGUUGACUGAAACGUCUCUUCCUACUGAAUGUGCAUCACCAAAAAUCCUGAAAUAAAUUCAAGAAUAAAUGCGAGCACCAGGACUUCAACCCUGCGGGCCUGGGGAUACCAUUGUUCACCUAACAAUCCAACCACAGGUAAUUGGUGUUACUAUGUACAGAUUUGGGGUCAUGAUGUCCGGAUAGCAGAUUGUGGAGCCUGUAUUUUUUGUUUCUAUAAUAGCCNNNNNNNNNNNNNNNNNNNNNNNNNNNNNNNNNNNNNNNNNNNNNNNNNNNNNNNNNNNNNNNNNNNNNNNNNNNNNNNNNNNNNNNNNNNNNNNNNNNNNNNNNNNNNNNNNNNNNNNNNNNNNNNNNNNNNNNNNNNNNNNNNNNNNNNNNNNNNNNNNNNNNNNNNNNNNNNNNNNNNNNNNNNNNNNNNNNNNNNNNNNNNNNNNNNNNNNNNNNNNNNNNNNNNNNNNNNNNNNNNNNNNNNNNNNNNNNNNNNNNNNNNNNNNNNNNNNNNNNNNNNNNNNNNNNNNNNNNNNNNNNNNNNNNNNNNNNNNNNNNNNNNNNNAUGAAUUGGUCACAGGUCAAUGGUUUUAACUUUCUACCUCAUGUUCAAAUAGGGGAAAUUCUUCACCCGGCCUAUCCAGCAUGUGGCAUCCGCCGCCUCUAGCGUGCGGACGCAUGUCAUGUGUGGACCCUCCACACCGCUCUGUCUUUUUUCUUAUUCCCACACAUGGUCGACCUUUGUUGAGAAAAAAAACUACAACAAGACCUCUGUUGCAAAAGUUUAUGCUCACGACCUCUAUUUUUGCAAAAAAAGAGCUUCUACAACAUGACCUAUGUUGCAAUGAUAGACAAUAGAAAAAAAGAAAAAUGAAGAGGCCAAGCACAACAAGGCUCAUGUUGCAUAGAUAGGAGGAAGAAAAACAUGGGUUGAGGCUUUUUGCAAUUAGUCCGUAGUUCGAGGCCUUUUGCAACAGGUCCUCUGUUCUAGAGAGACGGGUGCAACUACAUGCUUGUUGCAACUUCCUUUGCUCACGUGAAGAAGAUGUAGUGACUUUCUUUGUCUUAGUCCGACGGCUAUGGAUGUGGACAAUCUUUUCCAUUGCUUAAACCGGCCAACGCCUAGCAUGGCCCAUAAAAUAAUUCCCGGUGCCUUUCAAGCCUAUGCAACUCGUAUGGAACACACUUUCUACUCUUUUGACGUAUGGAUUGUCUCAUUGUUUCUAGAGGAAAUGAAUUUGGAAUUGAGAGGCAUGGAAGAGAUUGAUAUUUCUCAGUUGAGAAUUGAUGACAUGAAGGUACCCUGCUGCCCACCGCAUUGCAUGGUUUUGUGUGGGCCCAUAAUAUUUCAGCACCUAUAAAUGAGCUUAGUUUGGGCAUCAUGACAUUUAUGUGGGGCAAAACAACUUAUUUGUCGCGUCAUAGGCUCUCACCGGUUCCACGCCUCCCAACUAUAACCAUUCACAAAGAAUUAAGCAUACAACCAACCUAUUAUAUCAAGUUGUGCUGAGAGCAGAGCAUCUCCAAUAACUGCCCUAUAAUAGGGCACCAAAAUUUGCUUGAGGUGGGAUACAAAAAGGUGUAUUUUAGGGCACGAGAAAAUGAGUGUUUCCAAAAGUUACCCUAAAAUGGGGCACUAAAUAGGACACCAUUGCUCCAACAGCGGCCAUAAAAAUAGGGCAGCCGCACCACAUCUUUCUUCUCCACAUAUGGAUAGAAUUUAAACUUUGCAAGAUUUCCUUGAGUGUUUUCUCCACCAACAGCUGAUCACAAAAUUCAACUACUAAAUUUGAGUGUCUUCUCCACCAACGGCUGCUCACAAAAUUCCACUACUAAAUCCAAAUUUAAAGGGAUGACCGAUAAAAUCAAAGUAGAUACUAAAUUUGAAUGUCUUCUUUUAAUUUCUUUGUAUUGCACACAACUACACACCAAACUGACCUGGGAUACAAUCUCAGCGAAUAACAAACGAAAUUGACAAGUUCCUUUGUAACUUUCUUCAGAAAAAGGAACACUGAAAGUCUGAAGUUUCUGAAAACUAACACUGCAUCUUGGCCUCGUACACUUUCUUCACAAAAAGGAACGCUGAAAAACCGAACUUUACUGAUGAAUUCAAUCGGGGAAAGCAGCGGCGCAUUCCAGCAGCACCUCCACGACCCGUACAAACUCCAGCAACACAUUCUGCAGCACCACCACACAAACCACUAACUAGCCACCAGGCUUCCAUUUAGCUUUGUACUCCCUCUGUAAACUAAUACAAAAUCAUUUAGAUCACUAGAGGGAAUAUAUGCCAAAGGAGUUUGGAAGAGGGCUAACUUGUUUUUAUUUGGAAACGCAAAGGUGAAUCUAACUUCCUUUUUUUUUUGGCAAAACAAAAUAACUACACUAUCGUGCUGCAAUCAGCAACAAAAUUGGUCCUACACAGACAAUUCAGCUCAAUUCACUCCAUUAAAGAAUUUCAAGUCAUAGUACUGAGAAAUUUCCACUUUAAAGGAACCGAAACAUCCCCACCAUGCAACCCGGUAGAAAUGCAUUUCUACUACUCCCUCUGUUCCUAAAUAUAAGUCUUUUUAGAGAUUUCAAUGCAGACUAUAUACGGAGUAAAAUGAGUGAAUCUACAUUCUAAAAUAUGUCCAUAUACAUUUGUAUGUAGUUCGUAUUGGAAUCUCUAAAAGGACUUAUAUUUAGGAACGGAGGGAGUAUAUGAAACGAUCCUACAUGCUCAGCCCACAACAACGGGAAGCGCCGAUCCGCACUAGCCCGGGGUCACCACAAUUGCAUUCGAGAACUUAGCCUCUGGCCUCGACGACGAUAUUGGAGAAGGCGUCGGAGCGUAAGCCCUUUGUCUGGAUGUCCUGGCAAAGCUCCGCCACCACAUGGAGCUCGCUCAGCUUGGCCAUGGUGUGGCCGGAGCCGAAUCUUGCAGGGACAAAGACCAAAUCGGACUCAGGUAAGAGGGGACGGGAUGAGGGGCGUCAGAGUUGGGGAGGCAUCAGCCGGCGGUGAUGCUCGCAGGAGCAGAGGCAGGAAGGGCGCGUGGGAAACACCCAACCGACGGUUUUGCCACAGCAGCCCAAGUGUAGAGUUGGGGGAGGCAUCAGCCGGCGAUGAUGCUCGCAGGUACAGAGGCUGGAAGGGCGCAUGGGAAAUGCCCAUAGCAGCCCAAGUCUCAAAUCUGCAGUACUGUUUUAUAUUUUUGGGCAGCCCUGAAAAAUUUGGAGCAAAUUUUACAUUAAGGGCAGCUAUUGGAGCAUCCUUUUUUGCCUAAUGCUCCAAGUUGAUGGUGAGUAUAGGUGUUUACACAAAUCAUCGUUUCAAUACGGAUGCAAGUCUUACAACAAUAGUUUCAAGCACAAUUGAAAAAUCUGUCAGGCAGAUUAACUGUCCUACACAAUCAGAAGCAAUUUGCUUGGCUUUAUCAUUUCUAAUACAUGCAUUGUAAUAUUUCAACCAUUCAGAAGGCAUAACAGAUAUUAAUCAUCUAAAAUUUUAGAAACAUAUAGCAUCAUCGCAUCACAAAAAAGAUGAGACGCCGCAAAAUUAAUAGGUGCAUAAAAUUCAGUCACAAACACAUAUAAUCCCCACAUUACAUAAAACUCUGUCUUGGAACAUAACCAGACUAGAAUUAAACAGCUAAAUUGGACAUAACACAGGUUAAACAGCUUCCACAGCCAUAGCAGCAAACACGCCAGGAAUCACUAGACCAUGCCGUCAUCCCUCGGUGCCUGGCAGCCUGGAUGUAGGAUGAUGCUUCCGCUGCUCCAAGGCGCCUACUUGGAUCGCUGCCUCAUCUUUCGGCGCUUCCUCUUGAGCCUCCUCAUCCUCUUCUUCUUCCACUGCAAAUUACAGUAACCAUGCCGAUCAUGAGCAUAAAUUGCAUAGGUGCUCUAUAGGAGAUGCAAAAGGAACACAGAAAGUACAACUUGUUCUGGAAUCAGAAGAUUGAGUGUUUCAUUGGAUAUCAUCACGUGAUUUUCAGAAACACGGACCAAUUGCUCUUCAUCAUUUCCCAAACUGAAGUCAAUUUCAAAGGCAAACAGGAAAAAAACGAUGAUAAGAUAUCUAAAGAACUAGCUAAGCAAAGUAUAGAUCUGCAGUGGGUUUGACAUUCAGAAUGAGUAGGAGGAUUUUAUCAUCAAAUAGAUCAGACGCCAAUUGUCUUCCUCAUCACGCCAACCGACGCAGUUGAACGAAAGAAAGAACAAAUCUAGGAAAAACACUGGCAAAGAAAACACUGUUCUCUCAGACAAAUGCCUCGAUUGUCCACAUGGUUUUAUAGAAUGGAUUACAUCGGACUCGUCAUCUGUUUUCAUCAUCACAGAGAACCACAAACAAACACGCGCAAAAAAUAUCAAUUCAGUCAACAGAAACUACAUCCUAGUAUCUCUCAGAAUAAGCAAAUCGAACUAGAAUAGCAGGUUCUCUCGGACAAAUUUGCCUCAUUUUUGUCCCCACGGUUGAAUGGAAUGGAUUGGAUCGGACAUCUAAUCAGUGUUAAUCAUCACCGAGAACCACUAAUUACGCGAGCGAGCGGCAGAAACAGCAGGAACGAACGCUCGAUAAACACUAGCACAUGCCCAGAUCUACCGCAGUCGCGAAGCAGCUAACAUCAGGGGAGGUGGACGAGAGGCAGUACGAACCUUGGCCCUCAUCGCGGCGGCGGAGUCGGCCUCGCUCUCCUUUUCGCGUCGUCGGCGGCGGCGGCGGAAGUGUGUGGACGAACCCGAUCUCCGUAGAUUGUUGGCGGCGGGGGCUCUCACCUCCUACUUUAUAGGGGGGUAGGGUGCUGGGAAGGGGAAACCCUAGCGGGUGGACGGCUCGGAUCAGCCACGGGACGGCGUUCUGAUCCGAUUCGGUUGGGCUCUGGUUCGUAGGCAUAAUUGGGCCUCCAAACCAACGCCUCGGCCCACGCUCACGUACAAAGAUGAUGAGUCUU
rnacentral:lncRNA from 1 species